AGGGAUGUGUGCUAUCUUGUGCCGGUAUCGUCCUUUGUAUCUCUGUUCAAGUAGAGGACAGUUGUGAAUACGAAGUUGUGAAAGAGGCAGGCCUUCCUCCACUGGAAGGGUUGUAAGCUUCGGACAGCUGAGGAUGGAAAGAAGUUCAAGAGAGGUGAGGAAUUGAAAGCCCUUGCUCAGUUUCUUUAGAUUUGGGAAGCCUUCAAUUCUCAAAUUAACAAGAGAUCUGGGGAGCAGUAUCUCCGUCUCCUUUGAAUUCUCAGCAGCAGGUGGAAAUGACACCAGACCUCCAUCAUCUUCACCCCAUAGAAGCAAACGUUUCAAAGAGGCGAGUCUCUGCAACCCUUGAGAUUCCAUCAGCGCCUUACAGUUCUUGAUCUUGAGAAUUGACAGCGAUGUUAGGUUGGUGGGGAAGGAAGUUGUAGUUGUCAAAUCUUCAAAGUAAUCAAUACUCACAACUUCAAGAUUACUGGUGUGCAUCAUGUCUCUCGCCAACUGUGCCACCUCCAAUUUAUCGCAAUUUAGGAUCUGUAUCAUUCUUGGCCACACAUUCAUUCUCGGCAACGAAACAAGACUUUGACAAUCAUAAACAAUUAAUGACUGAAGAUUGGUGAGGUGGCACACUCCCUCGGGUAAGGAUUUCAGGUUUGGGCAGUCCCAGAUGUAAAUUAACUCGAGUUGGCAGCUGUCAUCGAGGAACCUCUCAGUUAUUAGCUCCAGCUGUCCACAAAACACUAUCUCAAGCUGUUUAAGAGACCUGGGUAAUUGAUUUUUGCAUAAUAAGCACAUCAAAGAGGGACAUUCAUUUAUCGUCAAACGCUCAAGACAAGAAGAAGAAGAACCGUUACCCACCUCCUCCUCCUCUUUCUCUAUUAAUGACUUUAAAUUCUCACAAUUCUCAAUCUCUAUUCUUUUUAGGCUGGGAGGAAUCUGGUAUUUUGCAAAGUGCGAAAGAGAAUCGCAGCCCUUAAUCUCUAUGACUUGGAGACAAGGUGGCAGACCAACAUCCGGAAAAGAAACAAGACUUGAACAUUUACUUAUGUGCAGCUCUUGAAGUGAUCUAAGGUGAUGCAAUCUUUCUGGUACCUUCACAAGGCUUCCACACUUGCUUAAUUCCAGACAUUCAAUAUUGCAAUCCAGGAUUUGCAAUUGCACCAACUGUUCUACUUCAAUCCCUAGCUUUUCAACAAGGAUCGAGUUGUCUUCGAUAUACAGACGACCAAGAGAAAUCAAGUGUUGCAGUAAUCUAUCCUCGUUUUGAAAGCAACAUGUAAGCUCCUCACAACGAGUGAUCUUCAACUCUUUAACAUUUUUCAAGCUUUUCAUGAACGCCUCUGUUUGGAAUCUCAAUUCUGAUACAUUUGAAAAUGUCAAACUCUCUAGUAAGUCAAACCGAACCGUACUUGUGUCGUACACCACCAUCUUGCACUUUUCAAUGAUUGAUCCAUGAAGCUGUCUGUAUUUGGAUACUGAAACAACCAAUUCCUCACAUCCAUAUAUCCUAAGCUGUGCUAAUGAAUCAAGAUUCUCUGGUAAAUCACCCUCUAAUUUGGGGCAGCCCCUGAUGGAAAGCCUUUUCAGGCAAGAGAAAACUUCAACCCCCUCACUUUGUUGGCAAGGAUACCAAUUCUUCCAAUUUUUCAGAUUCCAAAACUCAAGGGUCUCUAAAGCUUGAAACGACAAGUCACCUUCUCCAUAAAACUCAACACCAACACUCUCCACUGCAUCCAUUUCUUGUAUACAAAGUUCUUUGAGACAAGGCAACUGUCCGAAUGGUGGCAAGAAUUGACAAUGAUUACAACCUUCUAACUUUACCCGCACCAUUUUAGUGAAUGAAGGAUUCCCAAUCCAUGUUGAAAAUUUCAAUCCACCAUAACCUUUGAUGGUGAGCUCUUUGAGCUUGCUAUGAGGUUGUAACAUGUCAAGCACAAUUGCUGCAUCUUCUGUUGAGACAGUCGAAGAAGACCAUUCAAGAAAUAGGGCUUCAAGCCUUUCCUUGCUCUUUAAGUUGGCACUCCUGGCAUCCUCGACACGAAUCACAUUUUCUAGUCUUGAGAUGUGCAAUGUCCCUUGCAGAUGCAAUAAUGACUCAAUCUCUCUUACUCCUGAUCCACUACCUUUGCCAAUAACAAACUCAGGCAAUGUUUGGAGGUUAGUCAAUUGACCGAGCUGAGGAGGCAUUUCUUCCAACGAAGAUGUCUCUGAAUUGUUGAGAUGACGCAAAUUAACUAGGUUCCUCAUGCUUGUGGGCAGUGCCUUCAACUGGUGACAACUUUCCAAUAACAAUGUCUGCAAGUUGUACAGAGUUGUUGUCGAGUCUGGCAAACUUCUUAUCCCAGUGUGGGAGAGAUCAAGAUACCGUAGAUGCUUCAAUUCACCAAUUGUAUCUGGCAACUCGAUUAUUUCAUAACUUUUCAAAGAGAGGAGUCGUAAGUAUUGGAGUUUGGGCAAUAAAUCAGAAGUAACCUUCUGAGCCAGAUAAUGAUCAUAUGAAGGUGAAAGUGGUAAGAACGUUCGCAAAGAUGUAGCUUCAGAAUAGACCUCGAACUUCUUAACCCCAUCAUACUUUCCAAGAAUGUAAGACGAAUGACGAACCUUGGGCAAACAUGUACGUUGCUGCGAGUCAUAAUUCUGCAUAUCCUCCAAUCUACAACAUGAACUUCCUGCAGCCCAACGUGCCAAAUCAGUAACCAGGUCAUGCAUUAUGUAUCGCGACUCUGUUUUGCUUGAUUUUUGAAAUAAUGAUCUAGACACCAACUCUUGAAAAUAGUCACGUCCCAAAUCUUCCAUUUGCUUAUGUUCUUUGGGUUGCUGCGGAAUCAAACCUUCCGCCAUCCACCAAAGGAUCAAUUGCAUCUCCUCAAAUUCAUAAUCAUUCGGAAGUAUUCCACAGUAGGAGAAACACCGUUUCAAAGUUGAAGGGAGAUAAUGAUAGCUCAGUUUUAAUGCUGGACGGAUAUCCUCCAUCUUGUUCUGGUCUGAGUCUGAUAGUGUCCACAUCUUGUGGUCUAAUAUGUCUUCCCAUUCCUCUAGUCUUUUCCAACGUAAAAGCCCACCAAGUGUCCUUGCAGCUAACGGUAACCCAUUGCAUUUUUCUACAAUUUUCUCUUUAAGGAACUCAACAUCUUCGGGUCUGUUUUUUAACUGUGCAUGGUGCUGAAAGAGUUCCCAACAUUUAUCUGUUGACAUCGGGUUCAAGUUAUAAGGGCUCCUAUCUCCCAUCAUAUUUGCGACAUUGGCGUCACGUGUUGUCACGAUGAUCUUACUUCCAGCUGCUCCAACACGAAAGGAGGCCUGCAGUGUAGUCCAUUGACCAUAGCUACAAGUGUGCCAGACAUCAUCAAGAACAAUUAAAAACUUCUUGCCAGCCAAUUCCUUACUCAACUUCUCCAGAAUUGAGUUAAGCUCCUUCAAUUCCUGAACUGGAGAGGACGUGACUGAUUCCAAAACGGCUGCUGCCACCCUUACAAUGUCAAAGUCGUCUGACACAGAUACCCAUCCUUUUGGGGAAAACUGGCCAGUUGCAGCAUCGUUGAAUACAUGUUUAGCAAGUGUUGUCUUUCCUAGUCCUCCAGUACCGACAAUACCAACCACAUGAUAAUUCUCUUGUUUUGAAAGCAAAUCAUAGAGAAUCUUAGCCUUUGCUUCAUCCCUUCCCAUCACAGGUCCAUCAAGUUGAUAAGUAGUGGGUGGCAUUUUCCAUGGCUUUUUAGACACUCCAAGUUUCUUCAAACCAAGCUGCUUCUCUCGAGUGGUUAUCUCCUCAAGUCGAUCACUUAUCUUCUUGAUUGCUGAGUUCAGACCAAAAUUGGACUUAACUUUAGAGAGUGAGCUCCAUAACUUGCUUUUGCUUCCUUGUUGUCUUUCUAUCCUCCGCUUCAGCAUUUUAGUAUCAAAUAUGUCCAAUACAUCUUGAAGAUCGUAAGACAAAUCUACUGAGAUCAUCCAGCCACUCUUUACUGCUCUUCGUGUUAGUUGCUUCUCCUCAGCAUCACUCAGCACCGCUUCAAUGGCCCUCAACGUUCUAGUCCAUUUCUCCAGCACCUUUUUGUCGACCCCCUUAAGGCGUCCGAAGUACUCAGUGAUCUCUUGAUCCGCCAACUUCUCAAGCAGCACCGGGAGGAAUGCACCAAGAACAGCCUCCCCCAUCGUUUCUUUUUUGUACAAUCGAUGUAUUCAAAACUGCAGAAAGUGAAGCUAGUAGUUAAUUAAGGUACAAUUAUAGUUGAUGCAUGCAUGCUAGAAAAUAAUUUAAACAAUGAAAUGGGUGUUAAAUCUGAUUCGUUUCCCUUAAUUUGCAAGAUCGGAAAACAUGCACUUACAUGAAAAGUUGAUUAUUUCUUCUGUGAGAUCACAACUAAAACACUUGCAACGUUAAUUCUUGCACAAGGUGAUCGGCCAAGUCUCUGAGAUCAUGAUCAUGACAGACUUUCUUGUUGCAGAUCGAUCUGAUUCCAGCUAUACUGCACAAAUUAGUAAGCGGAUCCAGUUUAAUUAGUUCAUAAUGAUAAUCCAACAUGAAUAUAACUGAUUAACAAAAUGAAAUUAGUAACGGAUUCAAGAAGAGCUAGCUUACAUGGAUCAAAGGAUAUCUGAGUCCAAAAUCAAGAAGCCCUUUCUUCUUUAGAUGAAUAAUGCAUACAGUGCGGUGUGUAUAGAUCAAGUAUGAAUGGAUAGAAGCUCCUCUGGCGAAAAGUCUAGAUAUGAAAGCCACUUGCACUUUCCUAAAAGUCGAUGAAACAAAGGUGAGCCACACAACAGGAACGACGAGAAAAGGCAAUGGAACACAAAGGUUUCACCCUGCCGACGCCGAAGUUACUAAUGUUUGUGUUCUACUGUGACUGUUGAUACUUGCUGUACAUGCAUCUAAUGUUUUCAUCUGUUUUUUCUGUUUUUUUGUUCUACUGGAUAGGGUAAAACUAUUUUUUUGUUCUACUUGUUAUAGAACAGACGACGACUAUGUUUUGUGAGACUAAUUACGCUUAUGGUACCAAUUCAUCAACGAAGAUGCGUUUUUGGCAAUAAAACAUAUUUGGACCACCGUUUUUUGGUGAAUUUGAAUAAUAUUAUUGGAUAGUCUUCACAGAGAUGGGCUCAUGGGCAAUAUCAUUCAAAACCAUACAAUUAUUCGAAAAUUUGAAAUACAAAUUCGACGCUCUACAAUAUAUGCAGGUUGAGCACAGGGCUCAAAACAGGCACAACAUUGGAAUGCCACCACCAUGGAACUACUCAAUCGUCAAGAGAGUUUUACAUAUACAUUUGUACCUAAAUGAGAGCUGGGAAUUGGUUGCAGAACCAACUAGCACAUGUAGUAGACAAACAAGAAGUUUCUCAUACAUACGUUGAAGAUAGAUAAGCCCUCACAAGAAAGGAUCAUUCACCAUGAUAAAGUAAAACAUCUGAACCAAAAGAGAAAAGUUCAACAAAUUAGAACAAGUUAUACUUGAUAUGAUAGCAAAGAAGCGACUUGUGUUCAACGCAAAGCUACAAUUGAAAUGAGCAUGGAAACAUGGAAAGAAAACAGUAGAAAUGGCCAUUUAGUAAAGGGAUUGGAGACGUACCAGCAUCACUUGUUUUGUUUAGCAACGGUCCUUUGAACAGUUGAAACUCCAUCCACAAACUUUGUCCGGAAAAGGACAUUAGCAUUAUUGAACAUGCCUUCUUUCAGUGAAACCACAAUGAACUGAAAAAAAUGUGAUAAACAAGAAAAUGGGUAAGUAGAUGUCGCAUAUUAUCUUUAUAAGUUAUGCCGCAAUCUGCUCUUUUGUAGAAUGAGGUUUGAAUUACAAACUCCAGAAUACCAGACUCUACAAACAGCCAAGGGACGACGAUCAGUCAAAGAGCAGUGAAUAUACCAGAUCACAACUAUGCCUAAAACGCUUUCUGAACUUUUUGGGAUUUGUAAAAGUCAGAUAGCAUUACUUAUUUACUUGCACAAUGAAGGAAAAGAAGUUGUAUGGAUUACUGGAGGAGAAGAUGGCACAUGUCAGAAGAAGAUUCCAGCUAGGUAAAAUGUAAAUAACCAGAUGGCAGAAUCCACCGACCUGGGAGUGUGGGAAAUGACUUUUGAUCAUUCUUCCAAUAUUCUGGGUGUGACUUAGAUCAAGAGCUGCAUCAACCUGCAAGUGAAUAACAAGAUGCUGAAAACUGUUUCAUCUUAACAACCAGAGAUCAAUACAAUAUAAUGCAACCCACAUUAAAGCUUUGCAGAGUCUACAGAUGCUACAAGUAUCCCACUAGAUUACUCCAAAAAGAAAAAAAAGUAAAACUUUGAAUGACAACUUCCACAGGUGGAGUAGCGAUGUCAAACAAAGAAACGACACAAAAAAAAAGAAGCUAAAACCCAGGUAAAUAAGAAACGAGCCGUCCAUUAAACACAUAGGAACAACAGAGCACCAAUGUUGUAGAAAUGUUUUGGUAGAGAAUCCACAGCAGAAUCUUAUAGUUUAGAAUUUCUAAACCCAAAUUGCACCCAGUUCAGUGAAAAAAGUCAAUAAACCCUAAAAGAAAAGUUAAGCAUACCUCAUCCAGUAUAUACAGAGGAGCUGGUUUGAAGAGAAGCAAUGCCAAGAUCAGAGAAAGUGCCAGCAGGGAUCGCUGACCUCCACUCAGUUCUGACAAAGACUGUUUCCAAUCACCCCCAAAUGCAACACACACCUCAAGGCCAUCUAGGAAACUACACCCUUCAGGAGGUUCAAGCUUUCCCAUUGUGCCGGGUAAAAGGGUAGAAAAGAUAGACCGUAAGUCUCUGAAGGAAGAAUUUUUUUAUCAGUUUCAGUUUGGAGUCAAAAAUAAAUAGCAUUGGAAGUAUAGAGAAGUUGCUGAAAAUCACAAAGUCAACUGAGAAUGACUCACUUGUUAACUUUGACCCAAGUAACAUUCAAUGUUUCCUUCUUUUUCUCAUCCAGCUCUUCAAUCACCAUCUUGAUCUUAGACUUGUCAUUCUAAGAAGGAAUUCUAGAAGUAAAAGAAAAGGAAAACAGCUCACAGACAGAUCAAGGUUCACCAACCUCAAUGAUGUUCUUCUUAGACAUUAGGUCAUUGUACUCGUCUUCUGCUUUCUCAAACAUUGCCAUAACUUUCUUAUUCACCCUUUUCUCAAGGCUACAAAAGGUAUAAAAAAAAAGUCAUCUCUCAGCCUCAUGGAAGGAACUAAUAACAAACUUCACAACAUAUCAAUUACGGAGGGAGCAUCUUAGUUAAACAACUCCCGUGCAGUUUAUUUUCCAUAACAACGUUAUGUAAAUUGGAUUUAAAACCAUAAGACUUCAUGAAAUUCAUAACUAAGUUUAUUUUAUGUUUGUUUUAUAUAUAAGGAUGGCGAACAUAGAAAUUCUUUUACGAAUUACAUUUAUAAUAGUAUGAGAUCCAAAAUUCGAUAGGUGAUUUAAGCAGGCCAGCCAAAUGAUUCACAAGAACCACUAUCUAACAACAAACUUCAUCAAACAAGUUGUUUCAGAUAAAGGAAGCUCAAUCAGACCAAAAAGAAAAAAAAAACUCAAUUAGAUGCCACGGACGAUAGUUCAAUUAAAUCUCAGCAAUAAUAAAACAUACCUUGAGAUCCUUUGAAGCUGACUGGAGUAGAGCUUUUGUCUCUUUGAUCUUCUUUUCCAAAUCUUUCAGCCUUCCCUCCCGACUGUUGUCGUGCUCUUUGAUUGAUUUCUCAAGAAAUGACACUUUAUUCACACAAUCUUCAUGCAAAAGUUUCUUUUCUUUGGCUGCAGUAUUAGCUUCUUGUAGCUCUUGCUCAAUCCUCUUUACUAAUUCACCAAGCUAGAUAGCAGAAUAAAAAAUUAGGAAAAAUUCCCAUCUGCCCUAAUUUUAAAAAAAAAUUUCCCGCUAAUAAAAUAAGAAUCUAAAAUUCCCACUAACCAUAACACUUCUAAUGAUUUAUUCCCUCUAACAAAAUUUUCAGCUUUUCUAUUAUUUUUAUUGACAAAACUGACCUCCCCUCCAUUCUCUCAUCUCUCUCUCUCCCCCCCUCCCCACCGUGCUUGUGCUUCGCCAGAGCCUUCUUCCCGGUGCGAAUUCACUACAACGCCGCCUCUACCGGCUCUCCCUCCAUAUCUCCUCCACCGCCACCACCUCUCAACAGCUCCUCCCUCCACUCUCCAACCAUCGCCGUCAAACAUAUCGAAAUCACCACUCUCGAAAAUCUCUGUGUGGAGAUCGUCUUCAAAGUUGAUCACCUAACGCCGGUAUGGAUCUAACGACAGUGGUGGAUCUGACGACGUCGAGAUCUGAUCGUGCUCCGAUCCGCUCCGCCGUUGUCACCGUCUCUUGCCGUAAAUCUCAGAUCCUUCCAGGCAUGGACUUCUGAUUGAAAACGCUCUUAACGAGGUGAGUAGAGAGUGAGGUGAAUUGGUUUUCAGUGCCACUUCGAUUCUGUGUUUGAGAAAAUGUGAUGGAAUUGUUAAAUCUUGUGGUUUAGUAGUAUUUUCGGCCUGAAAUGAGGGUUAGAUUUUCAAUUUUGAGUGGUGGAUUAGUGUAGAACGGAUCGGUUAUUGUUUGUAGGGAUAUUGUUUGAAGCAUGUUUAGGUUAGAUCAACCUGAAAUGGUAGAUUUUUGUGACUGGAAAUGGUUGUGACGGAGGGAUGCUCUUCAUGGAGGAGUCUGGGUGGUGGGUUCACUGCUCCAAUUUGAAGAACGACCAUUAUUUUUGGGGUUGUUGAACUUGAAGCAUUUAUGGAAGAGGGUCGUUUAUGCAUCAAAAAGAGAUCAUGGAUCUCUCACAUGGGAGUCGUAUUUGUAGUAUUUAUUGAUGGAUUUCUUAGGGAAAAUGGAGGAUUUCAUUUCAUGCAUAUAUAAUAUAUGGCACUAUGGCAGAUAACCACCAAGACACUAAGCGUGGAAUAUUGCUUUAUGGUCUUUGAGCCUUUGUCUAUGUAGACACAGACUUCUAAUUCACCAUUUGUCCUAGUAUUUUAGGGUAUAUGCAUGUAUGGUGUAACAUGCAAGUUUUGUUUUACUUUGUUUAAGACCAUAAUAGUUGAUUUUUAGUACACGACUUCAAGAAUACAUGAAUUAUUCUUUGCAUAGUUGAAUGUAUUAUAUAUUGAUUGUGAUAGUAGUUUAUAAAUUGCGAUAGAUCGACUUCCUAUUGUCUUUAUACAUGGCGAUAGACUUCCAAUUGUCUCUAGUAGACUAUGUACUACCCCCAAUAGGAGGUCCUAUUGCCCCCAAUAGGUGGUCCUAUUGCCCCCAAUAGGUGGUCCUAUUACCCCCACUAUGAGAUCCUACUGACCCUAGUAGGAGGUCAUACUGACCCAAUAGGUGGUCCUACUGCCCCCAUUAGGAGGUCUUACUGCCCCUAGUAGACCCUAGACGAACCCCCUACUGCUCCUAAUAGACCCCCGAAGAACCCCCUACUGCCCCUAAUAGACCCCCCGAUGAACCCCCUACUACCCCCAGUAGGAGGUCCUAAUGACCCCAAUAGAUGGUCCUACUGCCCCAGUAGGAGGUCCUAGUGGAGGAAUAUUAUGUUCUUUAUGUAUGUCCUAUUGUCCUUUAAUUAGGGUGUGAAGAGUCACUUGUUUUGGUGUAGAUUUGGAUAGAAGUUAUCUUCUCAGUCUUACAUCUUAUAGAAUAUUAUAGACUUCACUUCUUCCAUUUCAAAACUUUUCUUAAUACAUGUAUACCUUAUAUCUUAAGUUUAAGGAUCCUACUGCCCCCAGUAGGAAGUCAUACUGCCACUACUAACCUACUGACCCUAGUAAGAGGUCCUACUGAUCCUAGUAGGACCAGUAAGAGGUCAUAUUGCCCUAAGUAGGAUGUUGUAUUGCCCCCAAUAGGAGGUCUUACUACCCCAAUAGGUGGUCAUACUGCCCUCAGUAGGAGGUCCUAAUGACCCUAAUAGGUGGCCAUAUUGCCCCCAAUAGGGACAUAUUAUAAGUGACUAAAGCACAACGACCCCUGGAGUCCGGUCAACGGUCGUCGGAGCCCGGUCAACCACCCUCGGAACCUAGUCAAUGGUCCCCGAAGCCCGGUCAACGGUCCUCAGAGUCUGAUCAAAAAUUGUCGGAGUCCCGUCAACAUCAUUGGUCGUGGGAAUCCGGUUAUAAAAACUUUAUUUUAUAAUAGACUAUUAUAAUGGUCUAUUGUAGUUUAUUUAAUUCAUUAAGGGUAUAAUUAUCUUUUUGUUCUUAUAAUGGUCUAUUGUAGUUUAUUUAAUUCAUUAAGGGUAUAAUUAUCUUUCUGCUCUUAUAAUGGUCUAUUGUAGUUUAUUUAAUUCAUUAAGGGUAUAUUUGUCUUUCAGCUAUUUAAGUUGACUCUUGGGAAUUUUAAAAUCUGAUUUUGUUAGUGGGAAUAAAAUUCUUAAAAUUAGGGCUAGUGGACAUUGUCCAAAAAAAUUAAGAUUCAUGUCAUAAAUCCAGUAAACACAGUCCGCAGCAUAGUUCUGAACUGAAUAUGCUAAAAGAGAAAAGAAAUGUGACAAAACCUUAUGAUGCUCAUUUUGUUCAGCCCUGCCCUGAAAUAAUUUAAGGUCAUAUGAUUUGAGUUCUAACUAUUGUUUAAGCUCCAUGAACUUCUUGUGAAGAGGCUGAAUUUCUCUUAUCUGCAAAUAGAAAUACAUUAAUGAAAUUGCUAUGGAAAUGAAGUUCCCAAUGACAUAUAAAACAGCCACACUAUGAUUUUUCAAUUGCAUAUAGUGUAAUAUGGAAUUUCAGUAUCGUAUUGAGAGAAAAUAAGAUUUCAUAGGCAACCUUAGCUUCAAUCUCAGUCAACUUUUUCUGAUGCUCAGAGAGUUUUAGCUCAGCUUCAGCCAGCUCAUGACGCUGCCUUAACAGAUCACCCCCACCCCUGUGACAGGAAAUUAUUGCUUUAGAAGGAAAACUAGCUAGAUGUAUAUGUACUUUGAAUUGAUAAAUGAUAAGGACAACACAAGUACGGAAAAUUAGUCAGAGAAAUCUAACAACAGAUAUAUUCUAGACGAAGGGAGAUAAAGCAUGAAAUCUGAACUGGAGGAAAAAGAACAGUGGCAUACUUGCGGCUUCCACCAGUCAAAAGACCACUGGGCUGAAAGAUAUCACCUUCAAGAGUGACACUAGGGGUACGAACUUCCCUGUUAAAAGCAACCUAGGAAACAUUCAUAGAGAAUCAGAUUGGGUCAUGCCGCUUUCCAGUUUAGAAUACAAGUGUUUAAAAGGACAAUACUAUAUAAUCAGCCAACAGCACGAUCAAAUCCACCUCUCACCUCCUUUGCAGCAUCAAUAGUCUUGCACACAAAGGUUGAACCGAAGACAUAUUCCAUAGCACUCUGCAGUAAACAUUAAAUGGUAGGUAAAGUGAGCAAUUAUCAUAUUCCGGAGGUCUGUAAUUUGUUUAUGAUCGAAAGAUACCCUCAGGUGCUCAUCAUAGCCAACCAAAGAAAGUGCAAGUUCUGCGUUUUCUCUGCCAACCUGAUCAUAGAAAUCAAGGUUAUUAGUAUAAUAAGCCACACCAUUGGGAGGAAAGAAAAGCCUAAAACGAGGUCGGGGCAGGACAAACUAUUGGCAAAAGAAACUAACCAAUUUAGCAGCAGCAUUUUGAACCCUAGGAGGAACUGUGUGAGCUUGAAUUUUGUUCAAGGGUAUGAUUGUUACUCUUCUUCGAAGAUUGCCAUUCUGAAGAAGUUGUUUUCCAGUACUUUCUGUGUCUACGACAACAUUAAACAACUUUCCACCAGCAGUGACCUAGAAAUCGAAGGUAUGCAAGUUAAUACACAUUCUAUAAGUCAUGAGAUGAAAUCAUUUGUGAUAAAUGCAUUUUCACCUCUAAGGCAGUCAUGGUGGAGCUAUCCUUCACUUUGAUAAGUUUUGCAACUACACCCUUGACCUUAGACCUAACAAAAUUGUUCACAGGAUCUCUAUAAGAAAAGUCAACAUUUCCAAAGUGUACUGAAAGAUUACGCAUUUAAUCCUUCAACUUCUGCACACACUCCAACUCAGAUGAUCGGUCCUGAAUAGAAUAUUCAUUUAGAGAAGGAUCCAAAUUAAGAGUUAUAAACUGUCUAGAUGUAAAAAGAAUGAUCAAACAGACAGCAUGUUAACCUUUUGCAAAGCUUCCAUCUGGCCCUCCUUAUAUGGAAGAGACUCCAGUGCCAAUUUAACAUUUUCAACAUCUGUUUUCCUAGCCUUCAGCUCACUCUCUACAGCAACAGCUUCUUCACGCUUUGACAUUAGUUGAGAACUUUUCUCUUUCAACUCCUUUUCACAGUGACGAAUUUUUGUUUUCAACUGUUCCAGUUCUGUUUCAGCACUCCCUACAGCUCUUUUGGCAUCACCCAAUUGAUAUUCGAGGCAUUUAUCCUCAUUUCCACUACUCUUGCCAGCGAUUACACCCUGGAAACAUUAAUGAAUCAAAAAUCAUAGUGAUUCCAAGAGUAACUCGCACACCAUGCAAGCCUAACAUGUGACUUAGAUGAACAAGGUAUAGGCAACACAUAGAUACACUAUCUACCUGGUACUGAGUCUCAUACUCAUUCAGACUAUGAGAAAGUUCCUCCGCUCUCUUUUUCAAAUCAGCAGCUCCUUCUUCGGCAUUUCUUAUAGCACAGUCCCUAUCUUUUAGAGAUUGUUUCAUGUCUUCAAUGUUGCUAGCGAUCUGACAACAGAGAGAGGCAAAUUCUAUGUUACCAUAACCAUUUCAGACAAAGCAUGUAGCAAAUGAUUACAUAACAGACUUGAAAGAGCUUGGUGUCAUACAAAAGAAAGCAGUAAGUAAUACAAUAUAUCAAUUACCAUUCUAGCAUUAUCAUUUUCAGUAUCAAGAUUGUCCUUCAUAUUAUCCAGUAUAGACACUUCCCUCACUACAUCUUGAGAAAGCGCAUCUACUUGGUUAGACAGAUUUUUCACUUCUCCACCCAUACUAGCCUCCUUUUCAGCAGUCAACUUGGACACUUGUGUUUCCAUUUCCUUUAUUGUUGCCUGCAUCUUUCUGGUAUCAUCAUCAACCUCAGAAAUUGGCCUUCACUUGUUCCACCUCAUAAACUGCACUGUCCCUUAUCCUCUCCGCUUGAACAUAUUCAUAAGCAAUGCAAAACCUCUUGAGCCGAUCCAAGUCAGCAUUGCCAUUAGCCCAUUGCAUAUACUGUGUCCUUUCUCUCCUCAACUUGUCCAAUGCAGGCAGUAUCUCAUGGUCCAGAAGCUUAUUUAUCUCAUCAACUUUACUCUGCUUCUUCUCAAGUGUCUUAAGAGCCGCUUCCUUUUUGGUCUCAUACAUUCUCGUCCCGGCAGCCUCUUCAAGCAUAGACAAAAUCUCGGGCGGUUUCAUAUUCAAAACCUUGGUAAUUCGGCCUAGCAUAAUCAAAAAAUGUGGAUUAUUCACAUUGAGCUGCACCGAAUGAAAAAGAUUCUGGACCUGACUCGGCUGCGCAAGUUUCCCGUUGAUCAAGUACUUGUUCCUCCCACCAACCACAAUCUGAUAUAGCAACACCAACGAAUUCGUAUCACACACUCAAUAAUCAGAUUCAUUGAUAGAUUCCGGUUGCAAUCAGAAGCGUUACAACCACUCCACUAAUACAGCAACUUAUAACUAAAUUCAACCUAAGAAAUAGUGAUAAAUUAAGCAAGAAACCCUAAAUCUCAACUACUUAUCGGCUUAACUAAACUCCGGUUGCGAUUAAUCUAACUUCUCGUAACAUCACUACAAUUAAUUACUUAAAUUCAACUUCAAAACAGUAAGAAACCCCCAAAUUCAACAUCAAAAACGACAUCAAAAUCUCACAAACGACACACCUGCCGCGUGACCGUGAGUUCCGAAUGGGCCUCAUACCCGAGGGGACUGCGCGCCCGGUCCGAAUUAUCGAAGACAAUCGACACAGUGGCCUUAGUAAUUCCUGCCUGGCCUUGCUUACACACCAGCUCCUGCAGAUUGGCGGCCCUCACUUGCUGUAAGUUGGUGAUGCCCAGAACGAAGCAAAUGGAAUCGAGAAUGUUGGACUUACCCGACCCGUUUAGCCGGUUAUGGCGUUGAAAAACGGGUCGAAUCCCGGCACCACCUGAUAUUUUACUCACUUAGUCAUGUGCCGCGCACGUGACCAGCCAAAUAGGUCUAUAUAUACUCCUCUCCUUUGAGAGCUUUUGCUCAGUUUCUGGGGCGAGGAUUUGUUUCUCCUUGCAAUGAGCCGUGCACUGGAAAACACUUUAGCGUUGCUUCAAUCCAAGAUGCAAAGUGUAUUGACAACACCACCACCGGGCCGCUACCAGCAGCGACCAUUGGAGCAGUCAUCAACUCCAAUUUCUGAUCCUAAAACUCAAAUUGAGAUUGUUCACUCUCAUCUCUGGAAGGCUCGAAGCAAGCAAGUCGCUCUCAAGUCGACUGCGGUCACCGGAGGAGUGAAGAAUAGACACCGAUCUAGGCUGGGAACCUACGAGUCCCUUACGACUGACACACACCCGAAGCGCAAGGUCUCUUUUCUACGCCUUGUGGCUGAAAUAGCUCAAGAUGUCAAGGUUGAUUGGAGGUCCCAGAGCUUAGUUAUGCCUUCUCUGCUAGGCAGCACUGUGUCGACUCAAGUGAACAACACUCAUGCAUCAUUUUGUUCAGUAAGCAAUACUGGAACUCUCAGUUUCGUGAAUAAUGGUUGUGGGUGCUGUUGAUUCUGUGUUUGUUGGGUCAAUUCCUGUUGGUGUUAGUGUUAGGCAUGAUAAUCAGGGACCAAAUUCGGGUGAGAAGGUGAGAGAAUGUCAUGCACUCCACCUGUUUGAUGAAAUGCUGCAUUCAAAUGAGUUGGGUAAUGUAGGAAGGACUGUUGCAGCUCUUACGAGUAUUCGAGAUAAAAGGUGGGGGACUUGCUCACCAACCUUUAGAAUAUGCACUUGGGGUGAAUCGUGCAAAAGAGAAUGAAGGUGUUGACAUGAAGGCUAAUCAACUUGAGGAUGGCAAUGCUAUAUCGGAGAUAGGUUUUAGCUCUCAACUUAUUCAAAGCAAUGAAUCACUUAAGAUUGUUUCCAGGGCAGAGGUUCCAAUUGAUGGGAUUGUAAUUACUGGUCAAAGCCAUGUGAAUGGGAGUAUGACCACACAUGAGGCAAGGGCCAUUUGUGAAAGAUUUGGUUACAGGAUAAUUGGUGGCACCAUGAGUGAUGGAUGCUUACAGGUUAAGGCAAUCCGUCUUUUUGAGGUUGAUAAAGAAAUUGAUGAAAAUGUGGGAUUAAGUCAGCCUCGAGUGAAGGGAGAGAUCAAAAUGAAAAUGAUGUUAAACAGGAUUUGAAGAUUUUCCAGUCAAGCUAUUUUAGUGGAGGCAUUGUAGUUUUUUCGAAUAUUCAUGAGCUGGAAAAUUAUUUUCAACUGGAUGCCUACAACAGCAAGUCCUUUUUAGGUCUUACGCCCCCUUGAAAGAGUUAUUAAACAGGUGUUGUGGAAGUGUGAAGGGUGAAUGGGAUAACUUACUUGCUGGUGGUUCAUCUGUUACAUUGCUCACCAAGGAUAUAUGUAAUGUUCUGUGGGUGAGUUCUGAUGCGCUAAAGCUAAUCCAAUAUGGGUUGAAAACUGCAGUUGUUUUUGUGAUGGAUAAACCACCUGAUAUUACGAGCGAAUUCUAAAAGGGUACUGGAGUUAAUAUUGGAGAAGUGGAAAUCAAGAGGUACUGUCGAAACAAUUAUUGGCUUGCAGUGUUGCUGUUGUGAGGCAGAGGAGAUUCUACUCUUUUGCAGGGAAGUGUUCAACGUAAUUGGUGAAAUGACUCAAACCACCUCAUUGUCCCAGGUAUCCGCUAUAAAUUUUCAAGAUGAUAGAAGAGAUUUUGUGAGUUUCUUGUGUGACAUGAUUAAGCUCUAUGUCGUGAUCUUUAGUGCUUUUAUUGAUAAUGCUGGAAGUUUGCUUCAUGCUGAUAUAUUCGAGAUAAAUGGAUCUAUUGCUAGCUCUCUUGUUGAUAUGUAUGCCCACUGUGGAGUAGAUAUAGAAGAGACUGUUUUUCACUUGAUGAUAUCCAGGGGUUUAGGGAAUAUGGGUCAGAUUAUUAGUUCAGUGGCUGACUCCUCAAAUAAGAACUCAUUUUCUGUUGAGGUUGUUGGGGUUUUUGCUUGGGAUGGUGAUCCAGGGUCUUCACACAUCAAAAGGGCCAAGGCUGAGAUGUCAACUAUUUGUGUUUUGGACUAUGAGAAUGGGUUUAGUGCAACAGAAGUGCCCCAGUUUGGCGGAAUUGAUUUUGGCCAAGGGUUUUCAAGUGAUGAAAUGCAUAAGUCUGGAUUCAUGUUAUAUGGGUUGGGGUCAAUGAAGAAUUUUGCUACUCCACAUGAAGUUAUUGCUGUCUCUUGGAAUGUUAAUUUGCUGGCAGCAUAUGUCAAGUCUGGAUGUAUAUAGUGGCCAUCAAUUGGGGCUGAUAACACAUAUGUCAUCUCAUUCUCAAAUGUGACUUCAUGGAAUCACAUAUUCUGUUGCUAUUUCCAGAAUGAGAUCAACAUGGAGGUAAAACAUAUAAUUAAUAGCAUACAAGAAGUUGUUGUUUGCUGGAACUAUAUGAUAGCAGGGAAUUCACUCAAUAUCAACAUGAGGUGAUUACCAUGCAAAUUUCCUAUGCUACUAUACUGCUGAGUUGCUGUGCAAAGCUUGCUUAUUCAUCUCCAGGGAAACAUGUUCAUGUCUGGUUACAUUUAACAAAAUUUGGAUAUGUGAAUGAUGCAUGCCUUAGUUGAGUUUCAUGAUCAAAUGUCCCCACGAUACAAGUCAAAGAUAAUGAAGUAUCUCAGAGAGCAUCUGAAAUCAUCAAGUGAGCUCUUACUUUCUCCUCGUGUGAUUCAACUCUCUUUGGUGGAAUCUACUUAUCAAAGUAAAUUGGUGAUGACUUUAUCCACUAGUUUAUUGGAUGAGCUUUACAACACAGGAAUUGGAUUCAGCCAUAGUGCAACAUCCAUGCUAGCAAUUGGAAAUGGUUCUAUGCUUGUGCUAUUGCAACUGGUUUGGUUGAUGUUAGAAAAACUUUUCAAGUGUGAGCACAAGGAAAAUGUAUUUACCAGUUUCGAGCUACUGUUGACUAACCAAUUUAUCAUAAAGGCUCUUGGGUUCCAGCAAAAGCUCUUUAUUCUUAUUGGUCUACUAGUGACAGAGAGUUUACCUUAUGAUCUAAUCGUGAUAUGGGGUGAUGAAUGGUUUUUGUCAGGAAAACACUAUUGUUUUCUUGGAUAUGUGAAUGAGGUGAACAACUGUUCAUUCAGGUUGCUUGACAAGCUCAAGGCUGAGCGUAAGUGUAAUAAAACCAUUGAUAUCACGCUGUGGAAUUUUGAGACCACCAAGUACUACACUGACUUGUUGCUCCCAGACAUCCUGAUUUCAUCAAGGACAUGAUUACUAGUACUUCCAAGGCUGAUAAUGCUAUCCUCAUCAUUGACUCCACCACUGGGGGUUUGGAAGCUGAUAUCUCGAAGGAUGGGUUAGCCUGCGAGUACACUCUGUUCACUUUCACUCUUGGUGACAAGCAGAUGAUCUAUUGCUGCAACAAGACUUCAUGGGAUGCCAUACUCUCUUGCAGGUGGUUAUUUGAGCUCCAAUUAUCCAGCAGGGUACUUCUCUUAUGCUCAUAUGAUUCUUUCCAAAUACACAUCAUGGAACCGUUGCUGCAACAUGCUUCAGUUUUUUCCUGAUAACUUGUGGGGCGGUAUUUGAAGAUCUAUAUUUUUGGGUGCUGUGUAGUCUAGACUAUAGUUGGUUAAAUUGCAAUGUCUCUUUGAUAAUUGAAACUUGAGGUCAAGUUUGUUAAAGGGGUAUGGAUUGUCAUGAUAUUUUACUCAUUUAGUCAUGUUAUGAUGUUUUUGGGUGCUGUUUAGUCUAGACUAUAGUUGGUUAAAUUGCAAUGUCUCCUUGAUAAUUGAAACUUGAGGUCAAGUUUGAGAGCUUUUGUUCACUGUCAAUGAAAAUAUCAGCAUUUUAAUUUCUUUCAUUUCUGCAUUUCUUUGCUUUUCUCUCUAGUUAGGGCUAAUACCCUAACACCACCAUCCGCGUCGCGUAGGACUUGAAUCCUUCCAAGGUCACCUCCUUGAUGUACAUAGCUGCGCUCACCGGAGAGAUGCGGGCGCUAAUCGGUGGCCGAUUUUGGAGAGAUUUAGGGUCGGUGGUUGGAUCGAAACCCUAGAAAUUUGAGCUUCUGGUUUUUGGUUUUGGGAACUUGAAAGUCUAAAAUGAAAUGGUUCGAAUUUCUUUUUGUUGUUUUCCGCUUUUUUGGGUGGGUUCGAAUUUUUAACCCUAGACAAAGGCGGGAAAAGACAGAUAUAUUUGGGCUUUAUCUAACAGUGUAUGAGCUUUAAACUCAUGAACGAUGUUGUUUUGUAACGCAGGAUUUCGAUUUUAAAUUCGCAGUUUUCCCAGUUUGAAAACUCAUUAAAAACGAUCGGGUGAAGAUUUUUCAAGUUCGUCUUAAAGAUCAUGAUUUACCGAUAUAAAGAAUUUGGUGAACAUGUAAGAAUAUGAGAUUUUUGUCAAAAAAAAAACGUGUGCUACAAUCCACAAUACAAUUUCAUAUGGAUAUCAUGAUUUCGAACAAUUUCUUGUUUUCUUAGAAAAAUCUCUGCAGUUGGUUCCUAUUGUAAAACUGGUGUUUAACUGAAGCAAUUUCUACGAUAUAGAAGAGUCAAAACUUCUUUUUCUUAGACAGACUGGUUCAGUACAACAUGGUACACUCGGCAUUGUACAUGUUUCUAUAGUCUGUAUGUAUGAAUAUCUACUCACCUCAGUUUCUCUUUUACAACACUAAAUGACUGCAUAUUUCUCUACAUACACAAGAAUCAAUAAUGCCAUUUUGGUCUUUCUUCCUCUUCCUUUUCGGUCAACUCCCGGUACUGAUACCACACUGCUCCAGACUUACCCACUGGGAUUGGAGACCUAACAAAUAUUUCGACUAGCUUGGGAACAUGCACAGCUAAAUGCAGUUCCCUGCAGUUUUUUCUGCAUUUGAAUCAGAACUUCUUAAUAAUCUGCAAAUAGGUUCAAUACUAGUCCAACCUAAGCCUGAUAUAGCCGCAUCACAUGCUGGCCUGCAUACAAGGAAAAGAGAAGAAUUCUCAUAUUGAUUAACUAACUAACUUUAUGGAAAUAUCAGAAUUGCGAUACUCAUAUGGAUGAUUUACCUUUGCACAUCUUCAACUUUUAUUUGCAAUUGACGCUGAGAGUCGAGACCUCUCCAUUCAUCUGCUCUUUCUUUCCCAGUUGGAGGUGUCAGUAAGACUCCAACGUGUUUCUGCAACAUGGUAAAAGGCACAUUACAAUCACACCAAUCAAUUUAAAGAGAAAAAUAUCACGCACACCUUUAAGGCCGGAAUGGUAUCACAUUUUCGUAGUGUCAGUAACAUAAAAGGGUUCACUUUAAUUGCUUUCAAAAUAUUUUAAAUGCUUCAUAAGUCAGCUGUACUUGGGAAAUAAGAAACUAUGAAUCUCAAGUGGGACCUUGAUUACCUGGUAAAAUUCAUCAGCCUCAUCAGUUGGUACCAUAUGAAUCUGAAGACUCUUUGGCCCAUAAAAUGUUAAACAUGUCUCAGGGAGAACCUGAAAUUACCAAUAUUUGAUUACUCAGGAAACACCGUAUAUGCAUCAGCCAGAUAAAGAUCGUACCUGAAGCUACAAGGCCAAACCAAACCUUUAAGACAUCUACUCUGAGAAGACCUCCCCAGAAUAUUAAAUAGCCAUUCAAAUCAUUGGAAUUGCCUUGCCUUGUUGUUCCACUUCCAGAAACCUGAGAAUUCUGGAGGGAUAAGAAACAGUCAACAACUCAAAGAUACCAAAGGAAAAAACAAGAGAAAGAAAAACAAUUAACUUACAGGCAAAGAUUGACCCCUAAGCCGACUUUGAGGAGCAAGGGAAGGUAGGUCUUCUGAAUGAACCACAGCGGCUUGCCUAUGAUGGAGAUGAACUCCAGGUGUGUCGUAUAAUUUCUGCAGAUAACAGAAUGUUACUGUACUAAACUCUGAAAGGCAAUGGUAAUAUACAGAUGCUAUAGCAUACCCCUCCUCCUAGGAAAGCGUUGAGUUGAAUUGAACCCAGGGUCGUUCCAGGGACAGCAGACUGUAUUGGUUUGUACUUUUGCGCUGAUGCAGCAACUGGAUCCUUUUCCGCCAUCAGUUCUGGUAUAAUGGUAAUACAGUAUUAACAAAAGUCAGUUCAAAAGAAGAAUAACUCGUUUAGAAAAAUAAAUCCCGACAUUUAUCUUUGUGAACAGAAUUGCUAUGAACUUCAUAGCAACCAAAGGCAACAAAACAUAUCAGAUGUCAACUAAUGAACUUACUCAGUUAAGCACCGAUAAAAGCUGAUUUCCCAACAUUUGUGGAGCCCUGUAGCAAAAGGUAAGCUAAACUAUCAGAUGCAAAAGCAUUUUUUAUAGGUCAAUCCAAGUAUGCACCAGCUAGAGGAUAAUCGAUACAGAAGGCAAAGCAAGAUAUGACAACUCUUUUGUUUUACUUCCUUUUACAAGCAUACUCAAAUAGAAAUCAGCAACAUGACUUGACUGGGCAUGAAAGAUUUUCAUGGAUAAAAUACCAGUAAAAAAGCAUGUGCUGAUUCAAAAUCUUAUUGAAGUUCCAUACAGUCAACAGGUUAAAAUCUCAAAUGUGAUUGAGAAUCAAAUCAAAUUCAUAGCAGUUCACAAGAAACCACACACUCCAAGAGCAAGGAUAAGUAAAAAAAAUUCAGGUUCUGAGAAGUGUUAAAUUCACUUGACAAAACCAAAUACUCAGCACUAAGUAAGUAAACUUCCAGAGUUCCCAUCAAGAAGCUCACCAUAACAUACACGUCCCGCCCCUGCACCAAAAAAUAACCAAAGAACUCAGUUUGAAGUUCCUGUAAAUGAUAGAUAUUCAUACUUAUUUCAUUCAACAGGAAGUACAAAUUUACAAUGUAUAAACCUAUUUCCUCUGUUGGCUAUAAUUAAAUAACUUAUAUCAAUGGCUUUAGUCAGAUCAAUGAAUUUCACACAUGAAGAUGCACAUACACUGAGAAGUAAAUACUUUUUUUUCCAUUUGAAUCUCUGAUGCAACUCCAGCUACUCCAACCAAAGACUUUGAACUCAUCAGAUGAAUGCUCAUAACACUGCAAAUAAGCCUCAAGGACACUCUUUUAAAAAGACACCAUAUAAAAUAAGUAAAAGCAAAGGCUAAGGAAACAAAUCUUACUUAAGCUUCUUCUUUACAGUGGCCUCUACAACCCCAUCACCAAUGCAAUUAAAAUCAGUCCCCUUGGGAAGUAAAUCAAUCUGUCAUUCGAAAAGUGCAAUUAGAAAGCUGCGUGCAUCAAUGUCAUGUUACAUAAGUUACAUAAGUACAAAUGAGAAGCUUAAUACCUUAGUAAUGACUAAUAUUAUGGGAUUUGCACCGGCCAGAUCACGCAUACCUUAGUAAUGAUAAUGCUAUACACAUAAACUGAUAUCAAUGGCUUAAACAAUGAACUGGACACAAGCAUACACAUAACUAACAAGUGCAUACCUUCUUUUCCUUUUGAAUCUCUGAUGCAACUCCAGCUAGCUACUCCAACCGAGGACUUUGAACUCAUCAGAUGAACGCUUAUAACACUGCAAACAAGCACCAAGGGAAACUCAUUUGGAUGGAUAAUAUAUAAAUAAGUACAAGCAAAGGCCAACGAAACUAAUCUUACUUAAGCUUCUUCUUUACAGCGGCCUCCAGUCCACCGCAACUCAAUCACCAAUACAAAUUAAAUCAGUCCCCCAACCUGUCAUUAGAAAGUCCAAUUAGAAAACUGCAUGAAUCAAUGCCACAUUACAUAAGUACCAAUGAGCUGCUUAAUACCUUAGUAAUCACUAAUAUUAUCAGAUUCGCACCAGCCAAAAAGCUACCAUUGAAGUCCACAAUAUCAAGUUAUCAACCAACAUAACCAUCUGCCUAGUUCAAAAUUUAGUCAGUAGAUUAAGAAAUGAAUUCGGUGUUGAUAGGUAACUAAAUUUAAAACAGAGGAAAGUUUGACAAGCUUCAAUAUGUUCCUUCACUUUUCAAACAUAUUUGAUAAUAUUAUCAUCAGUGCGGAUGUUGUCUGAAAUUACAACUAUUUACCUGUAAAGGACUCUAUAACCCAUACACGAGCUGCCCAUCAAUAUGUAGAGGACAGUCCCAAAUAAAAAUUUCAAGUCGCUCAAGUGAAAGAGGCAGGCCUUCCUCCACUGGAAGAUUUGCAAGCUUGGGACAGCCGGAGAUGUAAAGAUGUUCAAGAGAGGUGAGGAGUUGAAAGCCUUUGAUUUGAAAGCUUUUGUGGAGGAAAAGGAUGUGAUCAACAGUUUUGAGCAUUAGGAGACCUGUAGAUGGAAGAAAUAAAACGUUAGAUGUGGAAAACAGAGGAAAGUUUGACAAGCUUCAACAUGUUCCCUCGCUUUUCUACAUGUAUUUGAUAACAUUAUCAUCAGUGCGGAUGUUGUCUCAAAUUACAAGUGCGUACCUGGAAACCACUCCAUCGAGGAGUGUUGGUUUUCUCUUAUAUGAGUUCCAGAUUAAUUCGUACUUCAGGGAUGUGUGCUAUCUUGUGCCGGUAUCGUCCUUUGUAUCUCUGUUCAAGUAGAGGACAGUUGUAAAUAUCAAGUCGCACAAGUGAAAGAGGCAGGCCUUCCUCCACUGGAAGGGUUGUAAGCUUCGGACAGUUCCAGAUCCAAAGACGUUCAAGAGAGGUGAGGAAUUGAAAGCCCUUGCUCAGUUUCUUUAGAUUUGGGAAGUCUACAAUACUCAAAUCAACAAGAGAUCUGGGGAGCAGUAUCUCCGUCUCCUUUGAAUUCUCAGCCGCAGGUGGAAAUGACACCAGACCUCCAUCAUCUUCACCCCAUAGAUACAAUUCUCUCAAAGAGGCGAGUCUCUGCAACCCUUGAAACUCCAUCAGCGCCUUACAAUUCUUGAUCUUGUCAAUUGACAGUGAUGUUAGGUUGGUGGGGAAGGAAGUUGUAGUUGUCAAACCUUCAAAGUAAUCAAUUCUCAGAUCUUCAAGAUUACUGGUGUGCAUCAUGUCUCUCGCCAACUGUGCCACCUCCAAUUUAUCGCAAUUUCUGAUCCCUAUCAUUCUCGGCCACACAUUCAUUCUCGGCAACGAAACAAGACUUUGACAAUCAUAAACAAUUAAUGACUGAAGAUUGGUGAGGUGGCACAGUCCCUCGGGUAAGGAUUUCAGGUUUGGGCAGUUCUCGAUGUCAAUUUCUUCGAGUUGGCAGCUGUCAUCGAGGAACCUCUCAGUUAUUAACUCCAGCUGUCCACACCGCAGUAUCACAAGUUGUUUAAGAGACCCGGGUAAUUGACCUUUGCAUAAUAAGCACAUCGAAGAGGGACAAUUCCUUAUCCACAAACUCUCAAGACAAGAAGAAGAAGAACCGUUACCCACCUCCUCCUCUUUCUCUAUUAAUGACUUCAAAUUCCCACAAUUCCAGAUAUCUAUUCUUUUUAGGCUGGGAGGAAUCUGGUAUUUUGCAAAGUGCAACAGAGAUUCGCAGUCCUGAAUCACUAUGUCUUGGAGACAAGGUGGCAGACCAACAUCCGGAAAAGAAACAAGACUUGAACAUUCACUUAUGUGCAGCUCUUGAAGACAAGGUGGCAGACCAACAUCCGGAAAAGAAACAAGACUUGAACAUCCACUUAUGUGCAGCUCUUGAAGUGAUCUAAGGUGAUGCAAUCCUUCUGGUACCUUCACAAGGCUUCCACACUUGCUUAAUUCCAGACGUUCAAUAUUGCAAUCCAGGAUUUGCAAUUGCAACAACUGCUCUGCUUCAAUCCCUAGCUUUUCAACAAGGAUCGAGUUGUCUUCGAUAUACAGACGACUAAGAGAAAUCAAGUGUUGCAGUAAUCUAUCCUCGUUUUGAAAGCAACAUGUAAGCUCCUCACAACGAGUGAUCUUCAACUCUUUAACAUUUUUCAAGCUUUUCAUGAACGACUCUGUUUGGAAUCUCAAUUCUGAUACAUUUGAAUAUGUCAAACUCUCUAGUAACUCAAACUGAACUGUACUUGUGUCGUACACCACCAUCUUGCACUUUUCAAUGUUUGAUCCAUGAAGCUGUUUGUAUUUAGAUACUGAAACCACCAAUUCCUCACAUCCAUAUAUCUCAAGCUGUGCUAAUGAAUCAAGCUUCUCUGGUAAAUCACCCUCCAAUUUGGGGCAGCCCCUGAUGGAAAGCUUUUUCAGGCAAGAGAAAACUUCAACACCCUCACUUUGUUGGCAAGGAUACCACUUCUUCCAAUUUUUCAGAUUAUGUAACUCCAGGGUCUCUAAAGCUCGAAACGACAAUUUACCUUCUCCAUAAAACUCAACACCAACACUCUCCACUGCAUCCAUUUCUUGUAUACAAAGUUCUUUGAGACAAGGCAACUGUCCGAAUGGUGGCAACAAUUGACAAUGAUUACAACCUUCUAACUUUACCCGCACCAUUUUUGUGAAUGAAGGAUUCCCAAUCCAUGUUGAAAAUUUCGAUCCACCAUAAUCUUUGAUGGUGAGCUUUUUGAGCUUGCUAUGAGGCUGUAACAUGUCAAGCACAAUUGCUGCAUCUUCUGUUGAGACACUCGAAGAAGACCAUUCAAGAAAUAGGGCUUCAAGCCUUUCCUUGCUCUUUAAGCAGUUGGCACUCCUGGCAUCCUCGACACAAAUCACAUUUUCUAGUCUUGAGAUGUGCAAUGUCCCUUGCAGAUGCAAUAAUGACUCGAUCUCUCUUACUCCUGAUCCACUACCUUUGCCAAUAACAAACUCAGGCAAUGUUUGGAGGUUAGUCAAUUGACCAAGCUGAGGAGGCAUUUCUUCCAAUGACCGUGUACCUGAAUUGUUGAGAUGACGCAAAUUAACUAGGUUCCUCAUGCUUGUGGGCAGUGCCUUCAACUGGUGACAACUUUCCAAUAACAAUGUCUGCAAGUUGUACAGAGUUGUUGUCGAGUCUGGCAAACUUCUUAUCCCAGUGUGGGAGAGAUCAAGAUACCGUAGAUGCUUCAAUUCACCAAUUGUAUCUGGCAACUCGAUUAUUUGAUAACUUUUCAAAGAGAGGAGUCGUAAGUAUUGGAGUUUGGGAAAUAAAUUAGAAGUAACCUUCUGAGCCAGAUAAUGAGAAUCUGGAAGUGACCCAAGUGAAAGUGGUAAGAAUGUCCGCAAACAUAUAGCUUCAGAAUAGACCUCGAACUUCUUAACCCCGUCACACACUCCAAGAAUGUAAGAUGAAUGACGAAUCUUGGGCAAACAUGAAUGUUGCUGCGAGUCAUAAUUCUGCAUGUCCUCCAAUCUACAACAUGAACUUCCUGCAGCCCAACGAGCCAAAUCAGUAACCAGGUCAUGCAUUAUGUAUCGCGACUCUGUUUUGCUUGAUUUUUGAAAUAAUGACCUGGACACCAACUCUUGAAAAUAGUCACGUCCCAAAUCUUCCAUUUGCUUAUGUUCUUUGGGUUGCUGCGGAAUCAAACCUUCUGCCAUCCACCAAAGGAUCAAUUGCAUCUCCUUAAAUUCAUAAUCAUUUGGAAGUAUUGCACAGUAGGAGAAACACCGUUUCAAAGUCGAAGGGAGAUAAUGAUAGCUCAGUUUUAAUGCUGGAAGGAUAUCCAUCUUGUUCUGGUCUGAUAGAGUCCACAUCUUGUGGUCUAAUAUGUCUUCCCAUUCGUCUACUUCUUUACAACGUAAAAGCCCACCAAGAGUCCUUGCAGCUAACGGUAGCCCGUUGCAUUUUUCUACAAUUUUUCCUUUAAGGAACUCAACAUCUUCAGGUCUGUUAUUUAAGAGAGCAUGGUGCUGAAAGAGUCUCCAACAAUCAUCUUCUGACAUCGGCUUCAAGUUAUAAGGGCUCCUAUCUCCCAUCAUAUUUGCGACAUUGGCGUCACGUGUUGUCACGAUGAUCUUACUUCCAGCUGCUCCAACACGAAAGGAGGCCUGCAGUGUAGUCCAAUGACCAUAGCUACAAGUGUCCCAGACAUCAUCAAGAACAAUUAAAAACUUCUUGCCAGCCAAUUCCUUACUUAACUUCUCCAGAAUUGAGUUAAGCUCCUUGACCUGAACUGGAGCUGACGUGACUGAUUCCAAAACGGCUGCUGCCACCCUUACAAUGUCAAAGUCGUCUGACACAGAUACCCAUCCUUUUGGGGAAAACUGGCCAGUUGCAGCAUCGUUGAAUACAUGUUUAGCAAGUGUUGUCUUUCCUAGUCCUCCAGUACCGACAAUACCAACCACAUGAUACUUCUCUUCUUUUGAAAGCAAAUCAUAGAGAAUCUUAUCGUUUGCUUCAUCCCUUCCGAUCACAGGUCCAUCAGGUUGAGAAGUAGUGAGUGGCAUUUUCCAUGGCUUUUUAGUGGGUCUAUCAAGUUCCUUCAAACCAAACUGCUUCUUUCGAGUAGUUAUCUCCUCAAGUCGAUCACUUAUCUUCUUGAUUGCUGAGUUCAGAUCAAAAUUGGACUUAACUUUAGAGAGUGAGCUCCAUAACUUGCUUUUGCUUCCUUGUUGUCUUUCUAUCCUCCGCUUCAGCAUUUUAGUAUCAAAUAUGUCCAAUACAUCUUGAACAUCGUAAGCCAAAUCUCUGAGAUCAUCUAGCCACAGUUUCACUCGACUUUGUGUUAGUUGCUUCUCCUCAGCAUCACUCAGCACCGCUUCAACGGCCGUCAACGUUCUAGUCCAUUUCUCCAGCACCUUUUUGUCGACCCCCUUAAGGCGUCCGAAGUACUCAGUGAUCUCUUGAUCCGCCAACUUCUUAAGCAGCACCGGGAGGAAUGCACCAAGAACAGCCUCCCCCAUCGUUUCUUUUUUGUACAAUCGAUGGUAUUCAAAACUGCAGAAAGUGAAGCUAGUAGUUAAUCAAGGUACAAUUCUAGUUGAUGCAUGCAUGCUAGAAAAUAAUUUAAACAAUGAAAUGGGUGUUUAAAUUUGAUUUGUUUCCCUUAAUUUGCAAGAUCGGAAACAUGCACUUACAUGAAAAGUUGAUUAUUUCUUCUGUGAGCUCACAACUAAAACACUUGCAACGUUAAUUCUUCCACAAGGUGAUCGGCCAAGUCUCUUAGAUCAUGAUCAUGACAGACUUUCUUGUUGCAGAUCGAUCUGAUUCCAGCUAUACUGCACAAAUGAGUAAGUGGAUCCAGUUCAUAAUGAUAAUCCAACAUGAAUAUAACUGCAGAAUGAAAUUAGUAACGGAUUCAAGAAGAGCUUACAUGGAUCAAAGGAUAUCUGAAUCCAAAAUCAAGAAGCCCUUUCUUCUUUAGAGAUGAAUAAUGCAUACAGUGCAGUGUGUAUAGAUCAAGUAUGAAUGGAUAGAAGCUCCUUUGGCAAAAAGUCAACGAUAUGAAAGCCACUCGCACUUUCCUAAAAGUCGAUGAAACAAAGGAGAGCCACUACCCAACAGGAACGACGAGAAAAGGCAAUGGAACACAAAGGUUUCACCCUGCCGACACCGAAAUUACCAUUUAACACCUGCUGUAUGUGCAUCUAAUGUUUUCAUCUGUUUUUUUGUUCUACUGGAUAGUUUUAGAACAGUGGGCAAAACUGACGACGACUAUGUUUUGUGAGAAUAAUUACGCUUUUGGUCCAUUACAAGCGAGGCUAGGCAUAUGGCUACUGUCGUUUUAGUGAAAAGAUUACGCUCUGGCUUUCAAAUAAUCCACGAUUGUUUCAGUGAAAAGUCAUGAUUUUGGAUGGACCAAAAGAUUACAUAACUCACAGUCAGUGAGACUAAUAUUGCUAUGUUUAGUGAGACUAAUAUUGCUUACGGUACCAAAUGUUUAGUAAAUGAUUUUUGCAAGGUGUUCCAAUUGAUCAACGAAGAUGCGUUUUUGGCAAUAAAACGUAUUUGGACCAUCGUUUUUUGGUGAAUUUGAAUAUUUAUUGGAUAGUCUUCACAGAGAUGGGCUCAUGGGCAAUAUCAUUCAAAUUCGACAAUUAUUCGAAAAUUUGGCGUACAAAUUCGACAAUUAUCAUUCAAAUUCGACGCUCUACAAUAUAUGCAGGUUGAGCACAGAGCUCAAAACAGGCACAACAUUGGAAUGCCACCACCAUGGAACUACUCAAGAGUUGAGAGAGUUUUACAUAUACAUUUGUACCUAAAUGAGAGCUGGAGAUUGGUUGCAUAACCAACUAGCACAUGUAGCGGACAAACAAGAAGUUUCUCAUACAUACGUUGAAGAUAGAUAAGCCCUCACAUGAAAGGAUCAUUCACCAUGGUAAAGUAAAACAUCUGAACCAAAAGAGAAAAGUUUGACAAAUCAGAACAAGUUAUACUUGAUAUGAUAGCAAAGAAGCAACUUGUGUUCAACGCAAAGCUACAAUUGAAAUGAGCAUGGAAACAUGGAAAGAAAACAGUAGAAAGGGCCAUUUAGUAAAGGGAUUCGAGAUGUACCAGCAUCACUUGUUUUGUUUAGCAACGGUCCUUUGAACAGUUGAAACUCCAUCCACAAACUUUGUCCGGAAAAGGACAUUAGCAUUAUUGAACAUGCCUUCUUUCAGUGAAACCACAAUGAACUGAAAAAAAUGUGACAAACAAGAAAAAUGGGUAAGUAGACGUCGCAUAUUAUCUUUAUAAGUUAUGCCGCAAUCUCCUUUGUAGAAUGAGGUUUGAAUUACAAACUCCAGAAUACCAGACUCUACAAACAGCCAAGGGACGAUGAUCAGUCAAAGAGCAGUGGAUAUGCCAGAUAACAACUAUGCCUAAAACAUUUUCUGAACUUUUUGAGAUUUGUAAAAGUCAGAUAGUAUUACUUAUUUACUUGCACAAUGACAGAAAAGAAGUUGUAUCUUAGCUAAACCUAACUUUAUGGAUUACUGGAGGAGAAGAUGGCACAUGUCAGAAGAAGAUUCCAGCUAGGUAAAAUGUAAAUAACCAGAUGGCAGAAUCCACCAACCUGGGAGUGUGGGAAAUGACUUUUGAUCAUUCUUCCAAUAUUCUGGGUGUGACUUAGAUCAAGAGCUGCAUCAACCUGCAAGUGAAUAAUAAGAUGCUGAUAACUGUUUCAUCUUAACAACCAGAGACCAAUACAAUAUAUAAUGAACCCACAUUAAAGCUUUGCAGAUACCAAUACAGUCUACAGAUGCUACAAGUAUCCCACUAGAUUACUCCAAAAAAGAAAAAAAGUAAAACUUUGAAUGACAACUUCCACAUGUGGAGUAGCUAUUUCAAACAAAGAAAAGACAUGAAAAAAAGCUAUAAUUAUGGAGAACACUUGGAGGACCAUUAGCAAAGUACCUCGUUUUCCAUCCUCUUCCGUUCAAGAUUUGUCUCGUGAAGUUUGUCUUGAAGUCUUUGCUGCUCAGAUUCAAUGCCAUUAAUUCGGGAAUUACACUCCUUCAUCUUCAUACGAAUUGAAUCAAAAUGGGAUUUUGCAUGAUCAUGCUUAUUUCUUGUAGAAUUUACCUGUGAAAGAGAAGUUUGCAGCAUGAUUAAUCGUACACAAAAUAUGAAUCAAAAACAGUAUCAGAGUUUUUACCUUCUCUUUCUGUUCUUCUACUUCUGAAAUGAGUCCAUCAAUUUGUUCUCUCAAAGAAGACAACUGAGUCUCCAAAGAAGCAAGCUCUUUUAAAACAACAUCCUUUUCCAUAAUAAGCUUCUCCUUUUCAUUUUCAUGUCCCUAUCAGUCAAUAAAAUCAUAUCACAGAAAAAUUAAAGUGCUGAUGUGGAAUCAGACAAUUUAAUCAACCCAGAUCCUGGAGCAGUUUCCAGACAGAAUUAGCCACAUGAAGACUUCUAAAUAACACUGGCAGACAUCUUCCAAAAUGCUAAUCUUUUACUUUUUUCCUGGAUGUUUCAAUUACGGAGGGAGCAUCUUAGUUAAACAACUCCCGUGCAGUUUAUUUUCCAUAACAACGUUAUGUAAAUUGGAUUUGAAACCAUAAGACUACCUGAAAUUCAUAACUAAGUUUAUUUUAUAUAGAAGGAUGGGGAACAUAGAAAUUCUUUUACGAAUUACAUUUAUAAUAGUAUGAGAUCCAAAAUCUGAUAGGUGGUUUCAGUAGGCCAGCCAAAUGAUUCACAAGAACCACUAUCUAACAAGAAACAUCAUCAAACAAGUUGUUUCAAAUAAAGUAAGCUCAAUCAGACCAAAAAAAUAAAAGCUCAAUUAGAUGCCACGGAUAAUAGUUCAAUUAAAUCUCAGCAAUAUUAAAACUUACCUUGAGAUCCUUUGAAGCUGACUGGAGUAGAGCUUUUGUUUCUUUGAUCUUCUUUUCCAAAUCUUUCAGCCUCUCCUCCCGACUGUUGUCAUGCUCUUUGAUUGAUUUCUCAAGAAAUGACACUUUAUUCACACAAUCUUCAUGCAAAAGUUUCUUUUCUUUGGCCGCAGUAUUAGCUUCUUGUAGCUCUUGCUCAAUCCUCUUUACUAAUUCACCAAGCUAGAUAGCAGAAUAAAAAAAUUAAGAUUCACGUCAUAAAUCCAGUAAACACAGUCCGCAGCAUAGUUCUGCAACUGAAUAUGCUAAAAGAGAAAAGAAACGUGACAAAACCUUAUGAUGCUCAUUUUGUUCAGCCCUGCCCUGAAAUAAUUUAAGGUCAUAUGAUUUGAGUUCUAACUGUUGUUUAAGCUCCAUGAACUUCUUGUGAAGAGGCUGAAUCUCUCUUAUCUGCAAAUGGUAAUACAUUAAUGAAAUUGCUAUGGAAAUGAAGUUCCCAAUGACAUAUAAAACAGCUACACUAUAACUUUUCAAUUGCAUAUAGUGUAAUAUGGAAUUUCAGUAUCUUAUUGAGAGAAAAUAACAUUUCAUAGGCAACCUUAGCUUCAAUCUCAGUCAACUUUUUCUGAUGCUCAGAGAGUUUUAGCUCAGCUUCAGCCAGCUCAUGAAGCUGCCUUAACAGAUCACCCCCACCCCUGUGACAGGAAAUGAUUGCUUAAGAAGGAAAACUAGCUAGAAGUAUAUGUACUUUGAAUUGAUAAAUGAUAAGGACAACACAAGCACAUGAAAUNNNNNNNNNNNNNNNNNNNNUCAUCAUAGCCAACCAAAGAAAGUGCAAGUUCAGCAUUUUCCUUGCCAACCUGAUCAUAGAAUCAAGGUUUUUAGUAUACAAACCACCCCAUUGGGAGGAAAGAAAAGGGGCAGGACGAACUAUUGGCAAAGCAAAAUAACCAAUUUAGCAGCAGCAUUUUGAACCCUAGGAGGAACCGUGUGAGCUUGAAUUUUGUUCAAGGGUAUGAUUGUUACUCUUCUUCGAAGAUUGCCAUUCUGAAGAAGUUGCUUUCGAGUACUUUCCGUGUCUACAACAACAUUAAAUAACUUUCCACCGGCAGUGACCUAGAAAUCAAAGAUAUGCUGGUUAAUACACAUUCUAUAAGUCAUGAGAUGAAAUCAUCUGUAAUAAAUGCAUUUUCACCUCUAAGGCAGUCAUUGUGGAGCUAUCCUUCACUUUGAUAAGUCUUGCAACAACACCCUUGACCUUAGACCUAUCAAAAUUGUUCACAGGAUCUCUAUAAGAAAAGUCAACGUUUCCCAAGUGUCCUGAAAGAUUACGCAUUUCCUCCUUCAACUUCUGCACACACUCCAACUCAGAUGAUCGGUCCUGAAUAAAAUAUUCAUUUAGAGAAGGAUCCAAAUUNNNNNNNNNNNNNNNNNNNNNNNNNNNNNNNNNNNNNNNNNNNNNNNNNNNNNNNNNNNNNNNNNNNNNNNNNNNNNNNNNNNNNNNNNNNNNNNNNNNNNNNNNNNNNNNNNNNNNNNNNNNNNNNNNNNNNNNNNNNNNNNNNNNNNNNNNNNNNNNNNNNNNNNNNNNNNNNNNNNNNNNNNNNNNNNNNNNNNNNNNNNNNNNNNNNNNNNNNNNNNNNNNNNNNNNNNNNNNNNNNNNNNNNNNNNNNNNNNNNNNNNNNNNNNNNNNNNNNNNNNNNNNNNNNNNNNNNNNNNNNNNNNNNNNNNNNNNNNNNNNNNNNNCUUUUCUCUUUCAACUCCUUUUCACAGUGACGAAUUUUUGUUUUCAACUGUUCCAGUUCUGUUUCAGCACUCCCUACAGCUCUUUUGGCAUCACCCAAUUGAUCUUCGAGGCAUUUAUCCUCAUUUCCACUACUCUUGCCAGCGAUUACACCCUGGAAACAUUAAUGAAUCAAAAAUCAUAGUGAUUCCAAGAGUAACUCGCACACCAUGCAAGCCUAACAUGUGACUUAGAUGAACAAGGUAUAGGCAACACAUAGAUACACUUUUUACCUGGUACUGAGUCUCAUACUCAUUCAGACUAUGAGAAAGUUCCUCCGCUCUCUUUUUCAAAUCAGCAGCUCCUUCUUCAGCAUUUCUUAUAGCACAGUCCCUAUCUUUUAGAGACUGUUUCAUGUCUUCAAUGUUGCUAGCAAUCUGACAACAGAGAGAGGCAAAUUCUAUGUUAACAUAACCAUUUCAGACAAAGCAUGUAGCAAAUGAUUGCAUAACAGACUUAAAAGAGCUUGGUGUCAUACAAAAGAACGCAGUAAGUAAUACGAUAUAUCAAUUACCUUUCUAGCAUUUUCAUUUUCAGUGUCAAGAUUGUCCGUCAUAUUAUCCAGUAUAGACACUUCCCUCACUACAUCUUGAGAAAGCGCAUCUACUUGGUUAGACAGAUUUUUUACUUCUCCACCCAUACUAGCCUCCUUUUCAGCAGUCAACUUGGACACUUGUGUUUCCAUUUCCUUUAUUGUUGCCUGCAUCUUUCUGGUAUCAUCAUCAACCUCAGAAAUUUUGGCCUUCACAUGUUCCACCUCACAAACUGCACUGUCCCUAAUCCUCUCCGCUUGAACAUAUUCAUAAGCAAUGCAAAACCUCUUGAGCCGAUCCAAGUCAGCAUUGCCAUUAGCCCAUUGCAUAUACUGUGUCCUUUCUCUCCUCAACUUGUCCAACGCAGGCAGUAUCUCAUGGUCAAGAAGCUUAUUAAUCUCCUCAACUUUACUCUGCUUCUUCUCAAGUGUUUUAAGAGCCGCUUCCUUUUUGGUCUCAUACAUUCUCGUCCCGGCAGCCUCUUCAAGCAUAGACAAAAUCUCCGGCGGUUUCAUAUUCAAAACCUUGGUAAUCCGGCCUUGCAUAAUCAGAAAAUGCGGAUUAUUCACAUUGAGCUGCACCGAAUGAAAAAGAUUCUGGACCUGACUCGGCUGCGCAAGUUUCCCGUUGAUCAAGUACUUGUUCCUCCCACCAACCACAAUCUGAUAUAGCAACACCAACGAAUUCGUAUCACACACUCAAUAAUCAGAUUCAUUGAUAAUUCCGGUUGCAAUCAGAAGCAUUACAACCACUCCACUACUACAUCAACUUAUAACUAAAUUCAACCUAAGAAAUAGUGAUAAAUUAAGCAAGAAACCCUAAAUCUCAACUACUUAUCGGCUUAACUAAACUCCGGUUGUGAUUAUCUAACUUCUCGUAACAUUACUACAAACUUAAUUACUUAAAUUCAACUUCAAAACAGUAAGAAAGCCCCAAAACUCAACAUCAAAAACGACAUUAAAAUUCCACAAACGACAUACCUGCCGUGUGACGGUGAGCUCCGAAUGGGCCUCCUACCCGAGAGGACUGCGCGCCCGGUCCGAAUUGUCGAAGACAAUCGACACGGUGGCCUUAGUAAUUCCGGCCUGGCCUUGCUUAUACACCAGCUCCUGCAGAUUGGCGGCCCUCACUUGCUGUAAAUUGGUGAUGCCCAGAACGAAGCAAAUCGAGUCGAGAAUGUUGGACUUACCCGACCCGUUUAGCCCGGUUAUGGCCUUGAAAAACGGGUCGAAUCCCGGCACCACCGUCCGCGUCGCGUAGGACUUGAAUCCUUCCAAGGUCACCUCCUUGAUGUACAUAGCUGCGCUCGCCGGAGAGCUACGGGCGCUAUUCGGUGACCAAUUUUGGAGAGAUUUGGGGUCGGUGAUAGAUCGGAACCCUAGAAAUUUGUGCUUCUGGUUUUUGGUUUUGGGAAGUUGAAAGUCUGAAAUGAAAUGGUUCGAUUUUUUUUUUUUUUCCGCUUUUCGGGUGGGUUCGAAUUUUUAACCCUAGACAAAGGCGGGAAAAGAAUUAGAUAUUUAGGCCAGUGAUUUAUAUCUUGGGCUUUAUCUAACUGUGUAUCUCUAGUGCUAUAAAGCAAACCCUUUAAAAACUUCAUCAAAUUAUGUUUUUCUUAAAUUAUCCUUAACGUGUUUAAUUAUAAUGUUCUUCCUAAAUUAUCCUUGGUAAAUCAGUUUUUCAAGUUUGAAAACUCAUUAAAAACGAUCAGGUGAAGAUUUUUGAAGUUCGUAUGUUUUGAAAUUGUUUAAAAAUCAUGAUUUACCAAUGUGAAGACUUUGGUGAACAUAUAAGAAUAUGAGAUUUUUGUCAAAAAAAAUGUGCUAUAACCCACGAUUUCGGAUAAAUAUCACGAUUUCGAACUUCUUAUUUUCUUAAAAAAAAUCUCUGCAGUUGGUUCCUAUUGUAAAACUGGUGUUUAAAAGUGUUUUCAGGAGCAAUUUCUACGAUAUAAAAGAGUCAAAACUUUCUUCUCUCAAACAGACUGGUUCAGUACAACAGGCUACACUCGCAUUGUCCAUGUUUCUAUAGUCUAUAUGUAUGAAUAUCUACUCACCUCUUUACAACACUAAUUGACUGCAUAUUUCUCUACAUAUACAAGAAUCAAUAAUGCCAUUUGGGUCUUUCUUCCUCUUCUUUUUCGGUCAACUCCCGGUACUGAUACCACUCUGCUCCAGACUUGCCCGCUGGGAUUGGAGACCUAACAAAUAUUUCGACUGGCUUGGGGACAUGCACAGCUAAAUGCAGUUCCCCUGCAGUUUUUUCUGAAUUUGAAUCAGAACUUCUUAAUAAUCUGCAAAUAGGUUCAAUACUAAUCCACCCUAAGCCUGAUAUAGCCACAUCACAUGCUGGCCUGCAUACAAGGAAACGAGAAGAAUUCUCAUAUUAAUUAACCAACUAAUUUGAUGGAAAUAUCAGAACUGCAAUACUCAUAUGAAUGAUUUACCUUUGCACAUCUUCAACUUUUAUUUGCACUUGACGCUGAGAGUCGAGACCUCUCCAUUCAUCUGCUCUUUCUUUCCCAGUUGGAGGUGUCAGUAAGACUCCAACGUGUUUCUGCAACAUGUUAAAAGGCACAAUACAAUCACACCAAUCAAUUUAAAGAGAAAAAUAUCAUGCACACCUUUAAGGCCGGAAUAGUAUCACAUUUUCGUAGUGUCAGUAACAUAAAAGGGUUCACUUUAAUUGUUUUCAAAAUAUUUUAAUGCUUCAUAAGUCAGCUGUACUUGGGAAAUCAGAAACUAUGAAUUUCAAGUAGGACCUUGAUUACCUGGUAAAAUUCAUCUGCCUCAUCAGUUGGUACCAUAUGAAUCUGAAGACUCUUUGGCCCAUAAAACGUUAAACGUGUUUCAGGGAGAACCUGAAAUCAGCAACAUUUGAUUAGUCAAGAACACAAUAUAUGCGUCAGGCGGAUAAAGCAAUGUAUCUGAAUCUACAAGACCAAACCAAACCUUUAAGACAUCUACUCUGACAAGACCUCCCCAGAAUAUUGAAUAGCCAAUCAAGUCAUUGGAAUUGCCUUUCCUUGUUGUUCCAUUUCCAGAAACCUGAGAAUUCUGGAGAAGGAUAACAAACGGUCAACAACUCAGAGAUACGAAAGGAAAAACCAAGAGAAGAAGGAAAAAACGGAUAAUAACUUACAGGCAAAGAUUGACCCCUAAGACGACUUUGAGGAGCAAGGGAAGGUAGGUCUUCUGAAUGAACCACUGCUGCUUGCCUAUGGUGGAGAUGAACUCCAGGUGUGUCAUAUAAUUUCUGCAGAUAAUAAAAGGUUACUGUACUAAACUCCAAAAGGUCAUUGGUAAAAUACAGAUACUGUGGCAUACCCCUCCUCCUAGGAAAGCGUUGAUUUGAAUUGGACCCAAGGUAGUUCCAGGAACAGCAGAUUGUAUUGGUUUGUACUUUUGCGCUGAUGCGGCAACUGGAUCCUUUUCCGCCAUCAGUUCUGGUAACAGUAUUAACAAGUCAGUUCAAAAGAAGAAUGACCCAUUCAGAAAAUUAAAACCUGGCAUUCAUCUAACUGAAAAAGAAUUGCUAUAAACUUCAUGUCAACCAAAGGCAACAAAACAUGAAUAGAUGUCAACUUAUGAACUUACUCAGUAAAGCACUGAUGAAAGCUGAUUUCCCAACAUUUGCGGAGCCCUACAGAAUAAGGUAAUAUAAACUAUCAGAGAUGCAAAAGCGUUUAAAUAGGUCAAACAAAAGUAAGCACCAACUAGAGGAUAAUUGAUUUAGAAGGCAAAGUUAGACAAUGACAGCUCUUUUGUUUUUCCUCCUUUGACAAGCAUACUGAUGGCUGACCAAGACACCAGGGGUAGCUCACCAGGACUUGAGACAACUCCAUACAUCUUGCCAAUUCGCACACACAGAUCUCUUAGACAAGAUCGAACAUAGAGAAUAACUCAAUUUGAAAAUGGCAAGGAACAAAAAGAACUCUACUACUGAUAUGACGAAAAUGAUAUAUGACUUUUUGGAUUUCAAAUGAAAAUCAGUAACAUGACUUGAAGGCAUGAAGCUUUUCAUGGAUAAAUACCCGUAAAGAAGCAUGUACUGAUUCAAAAGUUGAAAUUUCAUACAGUCGACAGUUAAAAUCCUAACAUGUGAUUGAAAAUCAAUAAAAUUGUUCACAAAAACCAAACACUCCAAGAGCAAGAAUAAGCAAGAAAGUUCUUCAGGUUCUGAAAAGUGUUAAAUUCACUUGACAAAACCACAUACUCAGUACUAAGUAAACUUCCCAUCAAGAAGCUCACCAUAACAUACACGUCGCGCCCCUGCACCAAUAAACAGCCAAAGAACUCAAUUUGAAGUUCAUGUAAAUGAUAGAUGUUCAUACUUAAUUUCAUUCAACAGAUAGUACAAAUUUACAAUGUAUCAUAUUCUUCUGUUGGCUAUAAUCAACUAACUGAUAUCAAUGGCUUUAGUCAGGUUAAUGAAUUUCACACAUGAAAUGCACAUAAACUGAGAUGUAAAUACCUUCUUUUCCUUUUGAAUCUCUGAUGCAACUCCAGCUACUCCAACCAAAGACUUUGAACUCGUCAGAUGAACGCUCAUAACACUGGAAAUAAGCACCAAGGAACUCUUUUAGAUAGACACUAUAUAUAUAAGUAAAAGCAAAGGCUAAGGACACAAAACUUACUUAAGCUUCUUCUUUACAGUGGCCUCUACAACCCAAUCACCAAUGCAAUUAAAAUCAGUCCCCUUGGGAAGUAAAUCGAUCUGUCAAUAGAAAAGUGCAAUUAGAAAGCCGCAUGCAUCAAUGUCACCGUCAUGUAAGUACCAACGAGCUGCAUAAUACCUUAGUAAUGACUAAUAUAAUGGGAUUCGCACCGGCCAAAUCACGCACACGAGCCAAAAAGCUACCAUUGAAGUCCACAAUAUCAACCUACAUUCCAAUAACCAUUUAAAAACAACCUACAUUUCGCAACGCAACUCACUCAAAACCAAAUGCCAGCAAGUAGUAUACCAAUUUAACUAUCAGCGCUCUCUCGUAGCGCAAAUGCGAAAGCUUCUCCCGAAGCUGCUCCGCCAUGAUGAACUGUUUCCCGCCAGAAUAACCCCCAUUCCCGCCCACAGCAGUUAUCAUAUGACCAUGAGACAGAAGCUUGCAUCUUCCACAUAUAACAGUUUUAAGCUGGUGGUGCUUCUUCUUCUGCACAUCAAACAACACCAAAAUAUAUCAACACAACAUUUCUAGCAAUCAAAUUUUCCUUCAUUCAAAUCGGAGCAAAAUAACGAAACAUUAGGUCAAAUUUGAGCAUAAAUCAUACCAAUGCAUAUGUCUCCGGGUCGGAAUAACCCGGAGCAUCCGGCUCCGAAGUCUGUAACGGAGCUCCGCAGCCGUAGCAGCAAGCGACGGCGGUGGAGAGCUUCAGAGGCUUCUCCUUGAGGCGCUUCUUCUUCUUCUCCUUGAGAAUGAUCUUCGCGGCGUCGAAGGAGCGGCGGCUUUCGAGGAAGCGGUCGCCGGGGGUGGGGGCGGCGGCGCCGGUGCCUUCGGGUUCGGGUAAGCGGGGCUCCGGGAGCGGUGGUUUGGGGUGGGAAGGAGAGAAACGGCAGAGGAUGAGAGAGGGGUUGGUGUGGUGGUUGGGGACCUUGGUGGUGGGGAUAGUGUUUAGGGUGAAGGGAGAGAGGAAGGAGGAGAGGGUUUUGGGCGCCAUGGCCGUUAAUGGGUUUGGAGGAUUUGGUGGUGAGGUGGAUUUCAACGAGGACCAGGAUAGAAGGGAAGAGAAAUAAAAAAGCAAAAAAACAAUUUCCGCUGCCGGGAGUCGAACCCGGGAAAGAAUCUUUAGCUUGACCAAGUGAGUUGUGCUACAGCGGAAUUGUUGAUCAUGUAUGAUGUGAGCUUAUUAUAAAGUUUAGAUACGUUACCAAUAACCAAAAAAAGUUGUUCUGCUGCCGGGAGUAAUUUAUCAGUUUGACCGUUACAACGGAUCAUAUAUGAUGUGAGCUUAUUAUAAAGUUUUAGAUACGUUAAUAAUAACAAAAAUAGUUGUUUUAUUGUCGGGAGUCGAAUCCAAGAUAAUUUUCUGAGCUUGACCAAUUUGUAUUGUGCUACAUCAAAAUUGUUGAUAAUGUUGAUAUAAAUUUAUUAUAAAGUUGUAGAUAGGUUAACAAUAAAAGUGGUUUCUUUGUUCCACUGCCGGGAGUCAAAUCCGAGUGAACUAACAUGACCAUUUGUGUUCUGCUACAACAUAAUUGUUGUUAGUGUAAGUUGUUUAGGUGAACAAAGAUAUUUACUCUAAGACCUUGAGUCCAACCCAGUUUGAUAAAGGAUUGCUUUCAUGAAUUGAACACACAGGUAAAAAAGUUCAUUAGUACUGGCUAAUUACACACAUUAAGUCAAAAGGGUGAGUCUGGAUGAACUACAAAUGUUACAAAACAAGCAAGAACUAAUGCCUAAGCCAUAAUCUAAGCUCGGCUCUACACUGCAAUGCCAUCUGCAUUGUUCCUAGUAAGAGAAUCUUGAACAGGGUACACAACAUUAUCAUAUAGAAGGCCAGCAACUGCAGCACCGAUCAAGGGUCCGACCCAAUACACCGCUUGGUUCUUGAAGGUACCAGUAAUGACUGCAGAUCCAAAUGCACAAGCCGGGUUCAUGGAUCCGCCGGAGAAUGGCCCGGUGGCCAGAACGUUUGCCCCUGCCAUGAGUCCAAUUGCUAAUGGCCCCAUAGCCCUCAAUGCACCAUGUCUAGGAUCACCAGCAGCAUAAACAGUGUAGACCAGGGCAAAUGUUAGGACACCCUCCAAAACUGAGGCUCCAAAUCCUGUCAUUUCUUCUGUAAUUGCAUAUGUUGGAACAUGCUGCAUGGUCAAGAAAACAAAACCUAACUAUAAGAACACAAUGCAUUUGGAUUAUGACCCAAAACUAUCCUUAAGUUUUAGGGUUAAGGGUUAGGGUUAGGGUUUCUAAUUCGAAUAUUAGAAGAAAAAUAAUAAAGUAUACCUGUCCUACAACAGUGACUCUCAAGAGAAGGCAAGCCAUGACAGCAGCCACCAUUUGGCAAAUCCAGUAUAUGAGGGCAAUGGGGACACUAAUGUGACCUCCGACAGCCAUGGCAAAGGUGACGGCCGGAUUUACAUGGCCGCCGGAGGUGGAUGCCGAGAUGUACACGGCGGAGGCCAGUGCAAAGGCAUUGGUCAUGGCAACCAACACCAGACUUGCUGGGUCUGAUGCAGCAUCUGGCAUCAACUUUCCUGCCACAUCAACAAGAUCGAAGUGUAAGAAGUAAAUGAAACAACAAUUUAACUAUUUUCAUACUUUCAUUAAUGCUUGUAGUGUAACAGAGUAACAGGCUCUACAAUCUUUAAAGAAGUUAAUGAGUGAGUAAUGUGGUCAAAGAACGCGUGCAGGAAAUUAAGGGCUCCAUUCCACACAUGAACCCUAAAACAAAACGAAAGACAACCUUUGAUUACUUACUGGAGGACAUCAGAGAACCGAUGACGGCGAAGACGAAGAAGAAGGUAGAGAUGAACUCUGCAAGAUAAGAUCGGAGAGCAUUGGGAGUAAUUACUUGUUGGAAUCGAGCGGUCAGCGCAAUCCUAGCCAUUUUUGGCCAAACAAGAUGAAAGAUGAGAUAUGAUAUCGAUGGUAACAAUGAAAUUUGAUCGAGGUUUAACAAGAGAAGAGGGAAAGAAUAAGAUCGACGAGCAGUGAAGGCAGGAAGUUACUGAACUAUGUGUACAGUUUGAUCUCUGGUGGAGGAAGUUAUAUAUUGAACCAAGUGGUGCAACGCUUUUGGCGAAGGGAUGUGAAGGUUAUGCAAUUCGAAAUGAAACAUGUUAUUGUUAACCGCCAAAGCAAACGUGGUCAUGUUCAUGUAAGUUUGAGACACGGUAUGGAAGACUUGUGUAAGUUUGAGAGAGGGAACAGGGGUGCUUGCGGUUAAUUAAUGGUUCAAUAUGGUUGAUAUAUUUUGGUGAGCCAACUUCUAAGUUCAAUACCCUUUUUUAAAAACAAAAAACAAAAAAUAACUCCCAACUUCUCCAAAGUAGAAAAAUAAUCUUCUGAACCAAAACAAAAUUAAUUGCAUACCCUUACUUAAAUCUACAAAAGCUAUAACUUGAGGCAUCAUAUGAUUUAGUUAAGUCACCUGAAUCUCAUCCAUAUCUUUUGUAGCUAGAAGGCUUUGAUUUCGAAAUAUGUACAAUUUAGCUUUCAAUUACUAAGGAUUAAGGGUGUUUCAAUUAUAAGAUGUUUCAACUAAAGGAUUAAGGAUCGAUUAGUUGAAACAUCUUCAAUUAUAAGAUGCCAUUAUAUAUUUGUAGUUUUACAAGCUAAUUAACCAUUUCGAGAGAGUGUUGAUCGAGUGGCGUCAAACGUCCAACUGGAUUGGCUCAAGGCCUCAAGCUCGAUCGACUUGAGAAGAAAGCCAAGUUGAGGACACUCAUCAAAUUUGUUUGGACACUGAAGAAGGCUCUGGAUUGCCCAAUCAUAAUGGGGUGGUGAUGAAGACUUCUCCAAGAUUGGUUUAGGGUUUAGGGUGACAGUGGUCCGUACAUUAAUGGAGGGUGAAAGUGCUGUGGCAGUGGCUGAUGUGCCACCAGUUAGGCCUCUAUCUACCUUAUGGUUUCCAAUAAUGGGAUAACAUUAUUGGACUAUAUAUAAAACAAAAUGAAAUCAAUCUGAAACUUACUAGCUAGCUAGUGUGAGAUGUAACCUAGCUUGCUAGUAAUUAACAGAGCAGUACCCUUGCUCGAUCUGUUCGAUCAAAUCCAUUGUUUUCAUCUCAACUUUUCAAGUGCCUCGCGCAAGCCCCCUAGUUCCUUUCAUAGCAAUACCAAAAGAUCAUGAAAACUUACCCAAAAAAGGAAGAUAGAGACAAAUCUUUCACUAUUGACUACCAAAAAGAGAAAAAUCAUUGCUGCAAUCAUGGAGAAAAUGCAGAUAUUUUCUUGAACGUCCAAUCACUAUAUCUAUAAGGACAGCAGCUCACUGCCUAGCUCUCAUACACUGAUAAUAAUCAAAGCCUCUCUCUCUCUCNNNNNNNNNNNNNNNNNNNNACACUCUCUCUCUCUCUCUCUCUCUCUCUCUCUCUCUCUCUCGUAAUGGUGCAGAACCAUGAGUCUUCUUCUCCUUUAAAGCCGGUUAUUAUGAUGGUGGUUACCCAGAUUUUGAACACUGUGAUGAACAUAAUGUAUAAAUUUGUUACAGUAACAGGGACGAACUUGAAUGUUUUCGUUGCCUACCGACUGAUGUUUUCAGCAGCCUUUAUGGUUCCGCUGGCUCUAAUACUCGAAAGGUACAUAACAUGUUUCUCCUUUCUUCAUUUUUACUUGUCUUAAUAUUAAACUUCCUAAUCAUUUCACACAUCAGGAAUAGAAGGCCAAGUCUUAAUUGGGUUGUUUGUUUCAAGCUUUUAUUUCCGGCCUAAUUGGGUAAGUUUUCGUUGCAUUCCAUCAAGGUAUAGCAGCAGAAGGAAAUAGCUAGUAAGAAAUCAUUGAAAUCUUCCAAAUUUGAAUUCUAAUUCAAUAAUCCAUUGUCAUUGUGGAUUUAUGGCAGGGCUGCUCUGCCACAAAACUUAUAUAUUCUGAGUCUAGCGCUAACAUCACCCACAUUCCUUGCGGCCAUCAACAAUCUCAUGCCAGCCACUACCUUCGUCGUCGCUCUAUGUUUCCGGUACAUGCUUAUAAAUUUUAUGUUACACUCGACUGUGUUUACUUAAGUCUCGUCAUGUUAGUUUUACAUCAGAGUAACUAUUUUGAAUGUGAUGUUCAGGCAGGAGAAGUUGACGAUGCGAAAUUCUGGCAUAGCCAAAAUGGUUGGGACUGUGGUUGGAAUAGGAGGAGCAAUGCUUUUCAUUUUCUACCGAGGACCUGUAUUCACAUUUUGGGCCACUCAUAUUGACCUUCUACAGCAAUAUUACGGCACUAGAAGCGUCUCAUCCUCAAGCCACAUGAGCAAUCCUGCGUUGGGCCUCCUCGCAGGAUUCGGCAGCAGCUUGUGCUUCUCAUUGUGGCUCGUAAUGCAGGUUAUUCUUCAUAGUUCAUCAGCAGCCACUAAUGAAGCACAUGAUCUUCUAAACACACUUUUGUAUAGUGUAUUACCUGUGUGUUCUGGAAAUGAUCGAUCUCAUAGAUUUCAGUUUGAUACAGGUGAAGAUGAGUAAGAGUUACCCCUGUCCAUACUCAAGCACGGCUUUGAUGGCCAUCAUGGGAUCCAUUCAGAGCGUUAUCUUUGCACUUUGCGUAGAGAGAGAUUGGAAUCACUGGAGGAUGGGUUGGGAUAUUAGGUUGUGGACAGCUGCAUAUUCGGUGCCAUACUUACUUGGAAGCUAGCUCAUUAUUUCGUGUAGCCAAUACACUGAUGCAGACAUGGUUUAUAGUUUAUGUUAACAUUUGAAGUUGUAUGUGUUGUGUAUCAUGCAGGGAAUUGUGAUUUCUGGAGUGGCAGUGGUUGUGAUGUCUUGGUGUGUACAAAAGCGAGGGCCACUUUUUGUGUCAAUUUUUUCUCCACUUACCCUGUUGAUGGUAGCCUUUGCUAGUUCCUUGUUGUUAGGGGAAAACUUUAGCCUCGGAAGGUAUAGAUUCGUAUGAUAUACAGUAAACUUUAAUUUCCGAAAUUAUCUUGUUGAAGUUGUUGAUAAUGUGUGUAUUUCGACAGUGUAUUAGGAGGAGUUCUAAUUGUGUGCGGGCUAUACAUGGUGCUUUGGGGAAAAAGCAAAGAAGGACCAUCGCCGCUUGUGCUACCCUCGUUGACAACAGCUCCCCUAAUUUCCAAGUCCGUAGAUAGCGCUCCGGUUCAAACGAGUGUUGGAUGAUGAGGCAAACCAAUACACACACAGCAAGCCAAUAAACAUUUGGCACUUUUCAUAUACAUGUAAAGUUGGGGAGGAGAAAUGGAAGGUGUGUUGAAUAAUUACGGCCGCUAUUGGUAAGUGGGGAUUCACAACCACUGACACUGCGAUUCAUGACAGGUGUGACGAAUUUUCAAGCCAAACACGUGGACAAUAUCUGGGGUGAUGUGGAGUUCGUAUGACCAUUGAGCUUCACACGUGGACGUAGGUGGUUCUGAUACCAUAAUAAAACAGUUCGGGGUUCUCACAUCCAAAAUCAAUUGGCAAUGGGUGGAGUGGCCCAAACCUUUUUAAACUCACAUGCAAUGUCUCAUAUUCCCGAUGUGGGAUUGAUAUCUCAACAAGAUCACUCCCAAUACUUCUCACUUCAACAGAUAGAAGUGUAAGGCAUUAAGCUAUAUAGGUAUCUGUAGCCCUCUAGUUAAAGGUCACAACAGGUAGCAUACUGUACUGAAAAAGCAUACAUACAUGCAUGAGCAAGUGCCAAAUCAACAGACAAAGCCUAGUGAUCAAGAAGCGUAAGACUGCUGCUAUACGUUGCUAUAAUUCGAAAUGUGUGUUAAGAGUGUGUGUUAGAAUCAUGUCAAGACACAUUAGAAACUUAGAAUCAUGUGUAGAGUGAAAUGUGUUGCCAUUCUGAAAUCACAAGUCACAAGUCACAAGUCACAAAUGCAUCAUCACAUUACAUCACUCAAUUCCCUGGUACUAACAUAUCUGAGUAACUAGCUAUAGACAAUAUAUAGGGAAACAUCUGAGGAUAACAGGGCUCAAAAUGACAAUAAUAGAAGUUGAAAUUAUGACUCGUAUAAUCCAAUAUCUGCUUGCAUAUUCUCAACUACAAUCCUCACAAUCGUAUCUAAACACGUAAUUAGUAAAGCCACUAGGAAAAUUUUCAUAUCAUCAAAGGCUUAGAGAAAAAUUACUCCCAACUGCUACAAAGACCACAGUAGAAAAAAUCCAAAUGUUCUGAAUUAAAGGCUCACACCCUUACCUAAAUUCAUAAAAGAAGCAACUUAAAGCAUCACAAAAAAUUUAAACAUCAGAAUUCCUAAGGUCACUUUAUGACAUAAUUGAAUCACCUGAAUCCCAUCCAUAUCUUUUGUAGCCAGAAGGCUUUCACAGUUUCACCCUGAGGUUGUGUUAUAGAGAUAUGGUGAGGUGAGGAACAGAUGCAGGCAUGUCAAAACACGAAAUGACGGCUAAGCAAGGGGUCAGUAGGUGUUCAACAACGAGGGUUAGAAGGCAGUAUGUUAGUACAAUCUAAAAACCCUAAACUUGCAAGAUGACAAGAUGUCAGCCAGCUCUGUUUCCUGGUGAUGAUAAUGCUACAUAAAGGAAAGCCCCCUUAGACUACAUGUAUGCAAAAUGAAGCUGAGAACCUAAUGUGACAGAGAGAAGGCACAAAAGAUAUCAAAGAAAAUCAUUACUACUUGCUAGAAACCAACUUCAACACUUGCAUGAGCUUACGAAAAACACAUGGUCAUUUGGUAUUGAACAAGUGCCAGGACACACAUCUAUACAUGCAUUGUGAGCUCAUUUCUCACCCAAAUAAUACAAUCAUACCAAUACCUAUACAGACAUAUUGAUGUUAAGGUGAGCACGAAAGCAAGCCAUUAAAGCAAAUACAAUUCCUACAAAGGCUCAUGCAUUGUUUUCAGAAGUCUAGCUUCACAAAUACACAAUAUCCAGCAUCAUAACCACAUAAAGUGAAUCACCCUGCAAACAAUUAGUAUGAACAAUGAUCUAUAAAGGUUAAUUUCAAGGGCCAUUUUGUAUCUAAAAUGUAACCGAUAACUUGCUCAGAGAUUAUCAAUGUCUUCUUUAUAUCAACAACCAUAACAUCCAAACAUAAAUGUGCACAAUCUUAAAACCCAGGGCAGGAAACUUGCCUAAGAAACACUGAAAUUCAAUGUCUUCUUUGUUGGGCCUAUGGAUCGGGCCAGAAACUCAUGCUGGGCUGGAUCUAGUGAACUCCGAGAUCCACUCCCAGAUCCUUCUCCAACCCUUGCUGCUUUCUCCGGAAGCCACCGAAACGGCAUCGUUGGACGACGCUGGAGCCGCUUCAAGAAAGCUGAGCAGCACCUUGGUGAACCGGACCAGAAAAUCAACCUCACGAGCAGUGUUAGGGUUCGUGAUCGAAAAGCAUCGGAUCUUUUCCUUCUCCAGAAUCUUUCUCAGGACCUCCACGAGUUCUCCGGCGACUUUGAGUUUGUACAGCGCAAGGAGUGAGGCGGCGGCGUUAUGCAAAUGCAAUCGGAGCGCCGUUUCGUCGGAACCGCCGGCCAUUGAGAUGUAGGGCUCCGAGGUCUUCAUGAGUGAGGAUUCCGAUGAGCGGAGGUGAGUUAGCACCUGGAGUAGCUUCUUUGCCUUAAGCCUGUCUGAAUCCAUGGAUUCUCCGGCGACGAUCUGACCGGAAAUUGGCUCUGUUGCUCUCGCCAUUUGAGUGGGUGGGACUGUUGGACUCAUGCGUGGAUUUAACCCUUUAUAGAGGGCUUUGUGGUCAUUUCAUGCGUGGGACGGUCAGUCACGGACUCACGCCCCAAUCUGUUAUGCCACGUAGGAUUCUUUUGGCGGGAAUUAGGAUCGUCCCCGUUUUUUUUUUUUUCUACAGAGAAGUUUCUAGGUGGCAGUGAGGAUUUUUAGUAUCACAGUGUAUCUUCACGUAUAAUAAUAAAUGGUCAGGAUUAUAGUAAAUAAUAUAAAAAUAUGAUGAUCAAAUAUAUGAAUUGUUAUAAACGGUUAAGGUUGCGUCGUGUAAAUACACGUCAUGCGUACAAUAAUUUCUAGAAAAAGUUGCCCUAUAUGCAUAUUUUUUUUCUUUUUAAAAGGUUAAAGACUAUAAAUUUAUGUUCGUGAUUGUUGUUGUUUGCGAAAAUUAAAAAAAAAAGAGACUUUUGUACUAAAAGACUAAGGUUGUGUUGUUAAAUUUAUGUUCGUGAUGUCCGAAUUAACACACAUUCAUUAGUUUUAUACUUUCAUAAUUGUCAUAUCUAUAUAUCUUACAAUGUGAAGCGUGGAGUUAUCCCAAUAUUUAAUCUUAACAUUUUAUACAUGAAGAUCAUAGUCAAUCCCGCGCCGAUAUUGGAUCCAUAUAAAGCUCUAUAUCCAUAUUUGAUCAGGAAGUCAAUUCCACAGGAAUUGGGUGAGAUAUAAUUGAUAGUACGUCCAAGUUGAAUAUGGAGUAUGGACUGCCCUCGACUACUAUAAAAAAACUAAAAAGGGGUCAUGACCAGAAACAUACACCCACUCAAAUUAAGUCUCAAACCGCAAAUUACAUUGCUCUCUCUAUCUCUUUGAUCCGUGGCCAAAGCUAGUAAUUAACUACCAACAAUGGACGUUGAAGCUCGGAUGAAGAUCGUUGAUCAGGAUUUGAACCUCCUUAGAACUUUACAAUCACAAGGCCGCCGUUGCCGUAGCGGAGAUGUGUCAUUACAUAUCAAAACUCUUGAAAAGGAGCUAAUUGCUCUUGACAUCAUCAACAAGAUUGACCAUGAAUUGGAAAGAUUCAAGGAACUGGAUCUAAUCCCUGUUGCUGGCAGCAUUGAUACGGCAGCAAACGACCUCAAGAGGGCUCGAAAACUGCUCGUCGAAGAGUAAGUACUAUACCAAGAUUUCCACUCGAUCGAUUAGCUUAAAAAUUGAAGCACGAAUUAUAUGUUUAACAUAUUAAUGAUUGAGUUUCUUUGUUUGCAGACAGACUUCACUGGCAAGUAAAACUAGCUGUUCCAGCCUCCUCUGCAGCAGCAUGAACAUUAAGGAUGCAUUCCGGAAGCUAAAAGCCCUAGAAUCCAAUUAUUCUGACAAUCUUUUAAGUGAUAUAAAUAUUAGUUCUGCAAUAGAUCAUCUUGAGAGCGCUGAUGAAGAUGUCAAGUUACUGCUGACCCAGACUAAGGCCUUUGACGGAAUGACCGAAUGGUGCGUCGCCAAAGUGGAGAGCUUUUUCAAUAGAUUACUUAGUUAACCAAGAGAAAUUCUACGGUACCCACCUGAUACCCAUAUUUACAUAUAUGACAACAAAUUUAUUCUCAUUGUAAUAAAAUGAGUUAUUUGUGUGAUAAUUUUAGUUAUAUAAGAGGUAAUUAAGUACCUUAUCAAUGACGAUAUUUUUACAAGUUUAUGAAUAAAUUGUUGUUAAUGUGAUAAAUUGGUUCAAUUAUAUGUAAAUGCGUAAAAUAAAUUAGGUAACUUUGUUGUCAGUGUUGUGAAUUUGAGUAUACAAAAUUGUAAUUUUUGUUCAAUUAGUUGUAAAUGAGUGUAUAUAUAGACAUUUGAAUACUUUUGGAUAACCAAAACACCAAAAAUCAGGAAAAGAUUCCCAAAGCGAGAUGAGAUGCAAACGUGUGUGUGUCUAUAUAUAAAUUUGAUGACUGUAAUUCUACUGCUGUAAUGCUACUGUGUAUAAGAUGAGAGUAACGUGCCAACGUUUAUAUAAGAACACUUCCUCUCAAAUUUGAUUCUGUGUGUCUAUAUACAAUUCGAUUAUACAACGGUAGCGGUUACAACUUCCAACAGAAAUGGCCAAGAAAACAUUAAGAUGCAUGCGUAUGCGUUUAAUUUGACUGAAGUAGUAGAGUGUAGUAUACUACCUUCUAACUCGAACUUCAUUUCGUGGAUCUAGCAUACCCUGAUAGUCGAUCAAGGCCUUAAGUUUUUCCUGUUUCUUGAACUCGAAAAGUUCCUAAUGGUGGUGCAGAAUCAUGAGGCUGCUUCUAAUUAUAUGAAGGCGGUGAUUAUGAUGGUGAUUACCCAGAUUUUGUGUUCUGUAAUGAUCAUAAUGUACAAGCUGGUUGCAGUGACUGGGGCGAACUUGAAUGUUCUCGUUGCCUAUCGACUCGUGUUUUCAGCUGCCUUUAUGGUUCCACUGGCUCUGAUAUACGAACGGUACAUUACAUAUCAUAUUUCUCCUUCGAUUCGAUCAUUUCUUUUCACUAAUUGUAGAAUAAACUUCAUAAUCAUGCUAUAUAUCACUGCUAUUUGUUUUGUAAUAAUCAGGAAAAGCAGACCAAAACUUACUUGGGUUGUGUUGUUUCAAGCAUUUCUCUGCGGCCUAUUUGGGUAAGUUUUUCGUUUAAAUUAAAUUCUAAAUAAAAAAAAUCUAAAUUAAAUAUCAAUCUAAUAUCUCAAUUCGAUUCUUGCAGGGCUGCUUUGUCACAAAACUUGUACAUUGUGGGUCUCGCCCUCGCAUCACCCACAUUUCUUGCAGCCAUCUCCAAUCUCUCCCCAGCCAUUACCUUCUUGGUUGCUCUAUGUUUUCGGUAGAUAUAUACAUAUACAUUUUACAAUAUAUAUGCUACCUGACCACUUCUUUAGUCUCGUUUGCACAUUUUGGAAAAAUCUGAUUAUCUUUACUGUUGGAUUAUUUUGUUUGUAAUAUUAUUGUGAAUGAUGGAUGAUAUGAUGAUUAUGAUCUGCAGGCAGGAGAAGUUGAUCAUGGGAUUUUCUGGCAUAGUCAAAAUUGCUGGAACCGUGGUUGGAAUAGGAGGAGCAUUGCUUUUUACUUUCUACCGAGGACCUAUAUUUACCAUUUGGUCCACUCAUAUUGACCUUCUACGGCAAUUUCACAACAGUAGUAGCUUCUCAUCAUCAUCCUCAAGCCACAUGAACAAUCCUGCAUUGGGAUUUCUGGCAGGCUUCGGCAGCAUCUUGUGCUUCUCAUUAUGGCUCAUAGUUCAGGUUAUUUUUCGUAGUUCAACAUGUCACAAAUAAAGCACAGGAUCUACCAAACAAUAUCUCUGCACUAUUAUUCUUGCUUUUAGAAAAUGAUCUCAUGGAUUUAAAUUUGCCGCAGGGGAAGAUGAGCAAAAGAUAUCCUUUCCCUUACUCGAGCACGGCUCUGAUGUGCAUCAUGGGAUCCAUCCAGAACGUUAUUUUCGCGCUUUGCGUGGAGAGAGAUCGGAAUCAAUGGAAGAUGGGUUGGGAUAUUAGGUUGUGGACAGCUGCAUAUUCGGUACAAUACUUGCUGGAAUUUUGCUAUCUAAGUAUUUUGUGUAUCUGACAUAUUCAUGCUCACAUGGUUCAUACUUUAUAGUAACAUCAUGCAGGGAAUCGUGGUUUCCGGAGUGAGCAUGGUUUUGAUGUCUUGGUGUGUACAAAAGCGAGGGCCACUUUUUGUGUCAAGCUUUAAUCCACUUACCCUGUUGAUGGUAGCCCUUGCUAGUUCCUUGUUGUUGGGAGAAAAAUUUAGCCUCGGAAGGUAUAUAAAUCCGUAUCAUAUAUACUGUUGUCGAGACACUAAAAGUACAAGAACUAAACAGUGUUUAAUCCUAUAUAGUAAACUUUCAUUUCCGAAACUGUGUCUUGUUGAAGUUGUCGAUAAUGUGUGUAUUUUGGUCGAUUGUUUUCGACAGUAUGUUAGGAGGAGUUCUAAUUGUGUGCGGGUUAUACAUGGUGCUCUGGGGAAAAAGCAAAGAAGGAUCAUCAUUGCUUGUACUACCCUCAUCGACAAUAGCUCCCAAGGAUUCCGAGUUCAUAGAUAGCGUUCCGGUCCCGGCGAGUGUUGGAUGAGGCAGCAAAUAGAUCUGGUUACUGAAACUUUGAUUCUGGGGGAUGUAUUCUAGUUUAGAGACUUGAAUGUUGACAGGUUUUACUGUAGACUUGAACGUAUGUAGUGUUUGUAACGUACAGGAUCCGACUAGGUUGAUGAUCUGUGAUAUGCAAUUAUGCAUGGUUUGACUUGAACAUAAUCAACCUUCCAAUUCUAAGUAAAUGUCCAGAAGGGAUUACCAAGCCAUGAUAUUUGAAAUACCAUCUUCUAAUUAACUUCAACGUAUGUUCAUGGAAUGAAGACCAAAAUUGAAAACCUAAAUUUUGAUCGAUUUCAGCAAAGGAUGUUGAGUGAAUGUUCAAUCACAUUAUAGACAUUGAUCUUACAAUGCUCAAGAAGUUAGAUUGAAACCUAAAUUCCAAUCUAGAAUUACUCAGAUAUUUUUCCAAUUGAAGUCUGUUGUAUUUGAAAGUAGUUAAGAAAGUUAGGGGUAACGUAUUUAGCAGUAAAAAUGUAAAAAGCUACAAUAAUAUAUCGAAUAAUCGAGUGGGAUAUUAAUAAUAAGUGAUUUGACCAAGGCAAGAAAGUGCCAAUUAACGAUAAGUAAAAUUAUUACAAGACAGAGAAAAUCGAGCUAGCAGUUAACCUCUCCCCUCCCUCUGUCUCAAUUCUCAAAGCUGUUUUUACCUUAAUUACUUCCUUAAUUCAUUUCCAAUAAGGAGGAAACAGAGGCAGUAUGACAUCAGCGCUGACAUCGCUUUUUGAACUUCUUUUCACUAUUUACCACGAUGAACACCAAGCUACAGCACUCUAUAUGUAUACAACAGCUGGCUGUAACAAAUCAUCCACCUCACCUCUUUCUCUCCCUCACUCUCUCUUUCUCAAAGCUCCUAACUCCUAAGGAUGGAGAAUGAAGAAGCCUCUUUUUGUUUGAAGCCAGUGAUUAUGAUGGUUGUGACCCAAAUUUCAUAUUCUGUGAUGAACAUAUUGUACAAACUGGUUGCAGUUUCCGGCAUGAACUUGAUUGUUUUCGUUGCCUACCGCCUGAUGUUUUCAGCUGCCUUUUUGGUUCCGUUGGCUCUAAUACAGUAAUACUCGAAAGGUACAAUCUACAUUAUUUGUUCCUACAAUUCUACAUUUCUUCCUCCUGAUUUCCUCUUAUACACAUAUCUUUAAUACUCUAAUACAUAUAUUCUGUAAUUCUGAAACCAGGAAGAGCAGGCUAAAACUCACUUGGACUGUGUUGUUUGAAGCUUUUAUCAUCGGCUUAUUUGGGUAAGUCGUAUGUAAUUAUAUAUUCCUUAACCAAAAAGGAAAACAGAAAUGUUCUCUUGAUAUCCGAAUUAAGUUGGAUAAUUAAAUUGAUGAUUCAUUUCAAUUGUUGCAGGGGAACCAUGACACAGAUUUUAUACAUGCAAUGUCUUGCACUGACAUCACCCACAUUUGUUUCAGCCAUGCUCAAUCUUCUGCCGGGCAUCACCUUCGUGAUAGCUCUAUGUUUUAGGUACAUAUACAUUUUUGCAUUCACCUCUACAAUCCCUCAAGACUCGUAAUACGUACUUAAAAAAAAUAUGUACAUGUGAUGGAUCAUCUGAUCAGGUUGGAGAAGUUGAAUUUUGGAUCCAAAUCCUAUUCUAGCAUAGCCAAAAUCGUCGGGACUGUUAUGGGGAUAGGAGGGGCAAUGCUUUCUACUUUCUACCGAGGGCCUGUAUUUACCGUCUGGUCGACUCAUAUUGACCUUCAGAACAGUAGUAGCGUGCCAUUGUCACCCCACAGGAGCAGUCCUGUGUUGGGAUUCUUGGCUGGCCUCGGAUCCUCGGUUUGCUUCGCAACAUGGCUCAUAGUUCAGGUCAUUCAAAACAAAUUGAGCAUGGGGCCGGAUCAGCUGAUUAACAUGUGCAUGUAUUGUGACUGUUAAAGUCUGUGUAUAUGGAAAAAAUUAAGGGAUUUCCAUUGGUAUGCAGGCAAAGAUGAGCAAGAUAUAUCCGUGUCCUUACUCAAGCACAGCGCUGAUGUCUUGCAUGGGAUCUAUUCAGUCUGUGAUUUUGGCGAUUUGCCUGGAGAGGGAUUGGAAUCAAUGGAAGCUUGGUUUACAGCUGCCUAUUCGGUAACAAUUACUCAACUAACUAAUUAUGCAUCGUUUACUCGCGUGUGCUUUAUAUUGACAUUGUGAAGUUGUGUUUGUGCACCAUGUAGGGAAUUGUGGUUUCGGGACUGGCAGCGGUUAUGAUGUCUUGGUGUGUACAAAAGCGAGGACCGUUGUUUGUGGCAGUUUUCUAUCCGCUUACGCUUUUGAUGGUGGCAAUUGCUGGUUCCUUGUUCUUGGAGGAAAAGUUCACCCUCGGACGGCAAGUACUUGUAUAUUUGUGUCGCCUUCAUUUUGGUUCUAAAAUUGUGAACUAAUGUUGAUCUCUGUAUGUGUUUCUUUGUCAUGGUCACAGUGUAUCAGGAGGAGUUCUAAUUGUGUGCGGACUGUACUUUGUGCUAUGGGGAAAAAGCAAAGGAAGGCCAACAAUAGCGCCCCAUGCUUCUCAGACAUCUUUAGAAAUCGUUCCAUGUAUACAUUCUAUUGUAUGAGGUGCAACGAUUAUGAAAAUGUCCGAGACAAACUGAACUGGAUUGUUCGAAACAGGAAGAUGUUUUGUUAUUGCUCUUAGAAGUGGGCAAUAUUAUUAACAAAAAAAGAUGGAAGAUUAUAAAGAAAAGAUCAUUCUGAAUACCAGUUUCGCACAACCAAGAAAAUUAAUACAAUUCAACAAUGAUUUCACAAAAGGGUAAACAUGAUUUCACAGAAGGUAUAAGCACCAUAAAUAUGAAAGAAUUACCCUAUUGAUCAGGAUUUAAAACACCUUAGAACUUUACAAUUGGUUCCAUUGCGGCGAUGAACUGUCUAAAAUAACUUCCAGAAGCUAAUAAGCUCCCAAAAAGGGAAGCAGUGCGCAAGCGAGGCUUACCUUUCCCUUCUCAUCUUCAUGUAGUCAUCUACUGCUACCAAGUCUUGUUUGCAUAUAAAAUCACUAAUGCCUUCCACAUCAUCUUUCCCAUACAGCAGAUCAUCGAUUUCAUUCUCACCGGAAUAUUCCCCUGGAUCAUCAGUAAUAGUACUGCUACCAGCCGGAGAAGUUGGCCGUGGCAGCAAAGUGGUUUCUUUCUUCUGUACCCUGACACUUCUGCUACCGGCACCACUAAUAACACUUAACGAAACUUCUCCGGCCAUGAAAGCAACAGUAAAUAGGUUGUAUGUCUGUUGUAGCAGUGAAAUCAAAGUUUCGGACUGUAUAUUGAGAAUAGGGUUUUAACUCGGAAGAGAGUUCUUGUAGGCUUGGGAUUACAAAGUAACAAAACUGCUAGAUUUCAACCCUUCUUUUCCGGACCAAAUGACCGUAUCCACCAACAUUGCUAAAGAAGGUGAUCUUUCUUUUUCCCAUAACUCAAAGGGAUUGUUCCAAUACACACCGAAAAGGGAUAAACUCUUCCUAUUUAGGUCUAAUAUAUAUUGUUUGAUGUCUUCAGCAAAAUGUAUAGAUGAUAACUUCUGAUGUAUGUAAUCCAAUCAUUUGACAACAAUGAGGAACUCGCACAUUAAAUCCCUACUGAAAUAUUAUGAUACUUGUAAAGCAGUACUACAAUGCCUGCAUUUCCAUAUUAGUAUGCCCAUUGUUGCUAGUAGAGGAUGGUGCAGCAGAGUCCUCGUUGUUGUUGUCAUCAGCAGGCUUGUUCAUCUGUUGAACAGGAGGAGGGUUGACGACAGUCAUUGGCAUCACAGAACUUUCGGAAAGACGGCCCUUCAUCUCCCUGUGCUCCUGACACAAGGCACACCAGUGCAGGCAGCAGUGGACCAAGCAAGGGUCACAUGGCGAGUUCUGCAAUCAACAACAGAAUUAAGCAAGCUUUUGGCUCAAAGGAAUGUAUUCUCAUGGAACGAAUUGAGCACUGGGUAAACAAAAUAACUACCUUGAGAUGAUACUUUUUCUGCAAGGAUUGCCGAACAAGACCUGUAUACACUCCACACAUCCACCAUGCAAACACCAGACCCUCGCAGAUAAGAAAUGAAGUUCUUGGCUCAACACCAUAGAAGAUUGCAGUGGCUGCUGCAACAGCCAUGCCACCUUCAACAAAAAUGGCAUGACAAAUGCACGGUGUGGUCCAUGGCACAUCAUCUCUUAAGUUUUCAACAUUACGCCCAAACUGAACACAGGGGCAAAAUAGCCCUGUCAAGCCUGUGAAGGUAAAGAAUGACAGUGUUUAUUCUUAUAAUCAUCACUAUAUGUUGCUAAUAAUAACAUAUAUGGAUAACUACUGUAGAUUGCAGCAAAACAGAAGUGGAACUAGAGCUCAGUUACACAAUGCAAGAGAAAGGAAGUUUGUACUUGGUAAUCAGACGGCUACUGUAAACCACUGAAUUGGCAUAAAUAUCCUACUUCAUCAAGUUAAAGGUUGAAAUUAGAGCCUAACGCUGAUAUAUACAAUAACAUAUUUGUAACGCUGCAUUGCUAAACUUAUCCUACUUUGUAAGGCAAGCACAACAUGCAGUCCUGAGCACUUAAUAUUCCCGAGGAAAACCAAAACAGAUGUAAAUAACAUGAAACUGAAAAUUGAACAACCCUGUCUAACCAUCAGAUUUAAAGCUACCCUAUCUUGAAGCACAAGAAAUGAAAUCUCAUAUCAACUUACAACUGUCUCUAUCUUCGGCGCAGCCAAAAAUCCCAGUCGUCCAAGGCUCAUCGGCAGGCGGCUGAAAGCUCUCCGGCAAAGGCUGUCCACAUUCAUUACACUUCUGAACAUUCAACUGCGCCCCGUAAUACACACAUUAUUAGUCACACAUCCAUAUAUACAAUAACUUAAAUCCAAAAUCCUCCAUCCUAUCGAAAACCACGCGCAAUCCACACCGUAAAAUCACAAUCCAACUCAUAUCCUACAUAAUCCACAUCCAAAUCCUCACACGCAUCCCUGAUCUAUAAUCAUGAGCAAUUUCUAGAUCCAAGAAAAUUAAAAAAAUAAUAGAAAAUUCGACUUUUCAUCUAGUAAAUCAGCUCAAUUAUAUCCGAUUAUCGCAACAUUACACUAACACAAUCGAUAACCUUCGAUUUCACCUCUAAUUCAUUUCAUGAAAAAAGAAAGGUGAAAUUCUAGAAAGAUCGAACAGGAGAGAGAGAGAGAGAGAGAGACGAUACCUGAGGAACUUCGAUGGGCUGAUUGAGCUCGCCGGGCGUAAUGUCCUCCUGAAGCGGCGCCUGAUCUUUCGUCAGCUUCACAUAGCGCGAGUGACCGCCGCCGUCCGCCAUCAAAAUGCAGCGGAAAUGAGAUCGGGGAAUUCGGGGAGUCAACUCUAGGUUUCGGGUCGGGUUUGGGUCUCCGACUUUGGGUUUCUUCAGAGGUAAGAUCAACUCGUCUCUCUCAGUCUUUCUCUAGUCUAAUCUAUCUCUCUUCGGAUUCAGAUUUAUAGUUUGGAUUGACGGUUUAAUUUACAGGUGGACCACUCGUUUUGCGUUACCUCUUGGUAAUUUCCGUGGUGAUAUACGACAUGCCGUCUUGAUUCGGUUCAGGAAUUUGGGCUACGUCUGUACUAGUAUCGAGGUCCAAUUAAUUGUUUACUGCAACCAGGCCCAGUAUCAGGCCCAAAUUUCUUAUAUAUUUCUUGAAAUUCCAUUCGUUGAACCUGUCUUCGAUGUGGGAUUAGAAGAAAGUGUGCGUAUGUAUUUUGAUUUCAAUCCUUUAGUAAAGAAACUUUUCUUUCUUUGUUUCUUUAUAAAACGAACAGGAAAGUAUUGGAGAAAAUCAUAAGCAUGCCAAAUGUAAUAGAGGAUUACAAAUGUUGAAGGCUUGAAGUUGCCUAUUUUUGUGAUCAUACAUUAGAGGUAAAACAAAAACUUUGACAGCAGAUAAGUCCAAAUGGCAUAUGGUCCUUAUAGACAUUAGUUUACAGUAGCAAGACUCAUCCGGAUAAGAUGCAUCCAUACCUCAACUUUGAACACAAAAAACACCAAGAAAUUUCACAGUUACAGUUUGCAUUUUCAAAGCUCAGCUAGCUCGGUUUUACUCGGCUAUGGUGGGAGUCUUAUGAGGGCCAAUUUCUAUACCAGCCGGACCAAGCAGAGACCAAUCCACUGAUACCAAGAGUGACAGUGUGGUUGCAGAAUGGAUUAGGCUCGAUAUCAGCAAGUGCAAUAAACAAGUCUGCAACAUUAGCUGCCACAGCCAUUAGCCUCAUCACCCUGUCACUUCUAAUCUUUCUUAAGCUCUCAUUCUUCUUCUCAAUGGACUUGUCCUCCAAACUCAUAACCUUCCUCUCUUGCUCGAGCCCUUCUUUUAGCGCGAUAAAAUCAGACACAAUGAAGAAAAUGUACCCAAAGGACUCACCAAAUGCGGAUAUGAAGCUCAUCUUUCUAGCCAAACUUGGGUCUAAAGUCCCAAUUUUUGACAACCAAAGAAAAUGGUCAAAAAAGAAGUAUAUCAUCUCACCAGCAUUAGCAAGAACAGCCAAGAACCUAAGAGUCGGCGUUGAGCCAGGGCUACGUCUCAUUGCGUUGAAUCCAGUGAGAAACCUUCCAGUCCGAAAAGCCUUUCGGCUAAGGCCAGACGAAACCUCCCACUGCUUGAACCUCUCGGCCAUCUUCGGGUUAGUGGACUCGACAUGCCAGUGCACAAGCUUGGAGACAUAUUGGAACGUCUUGACAAGCUUGUCUAUGCCAUCUCUCUUUGCUAGGAAGAUGACUAGCUUGUCUACUGUGUCAUUCAUGGUUGGAGAGAGCAGAGGGUUUGUGUUGGAUUACUUGAAGAAACAAAACUAAGGAGCACCACAAAAGCUUUGAGGAUUUUGGAUAUGAUGACACCCAUAUAUACUUGUGGUUGGACCUUGUUAUGCUUCUUGCUACCAGUAGUUUCUAUGCCAUAUGUUUUCAUUCGUGAAAUUUCAACAUUAGGCAUUCUUAUCUUUAGCAGAUUUGUAGCUUAAGGUCAUGAAAACUUGUUUAGUUUUCUUCACUAAUUUUUGUCAUAGAUUGUAGAGAACAAAACAAUAAUCAUAUUUAGGUCAUGAAAACUAAACAAUAAUCAUUCACUUGAAUGUACCAAAAGAAAUGAAUUAAUAUAAGCUAUUUGAACUACCAUUUACUUUCGAAGAGAAUAAAUGUUAUUGUUCUCAUAAAUGUGUGCCAUAAGCACCCUGAUAAUUGUGUAUUACAGACUGUAUUGACAAAGGUGAAUACCAUAAGAACGUAGAGUAUAUCACUCAGAAAAUGGCUUCUGUUUCUACCAGUGAAAUUUCAAUUGCAUUAGGCGACUCAUUUUACCCUGCACAAACAUUUCCUUGCUAUGAGAACUAUAGAAAAGCAAUACAGUAUUCAUUCUGCACACUAUAACUGGCAGUUACCUCCAUUCACCGAUACCAUUUUACAUCCACUAUCAAAAGGCCUUGAGAAAGUCCCACCAGAUAGACAGAAUUGUGAUCCAGAACUUGAACUCCAAAGCUACCUAAUUCACAUGAUAAUGUAAUUCACAUAUUUACCAUUCAUUUUGUCGUUGGUCUAUUCAUCCAACUGUCUAGGACUGAAAACGAAUGCUUGAACCAGCACCCGCUUCAUGAUUAGAUUUCCAUGUCCUAAGAGGUGGUGAUGAGAGGACAAAGUGAGUUUUGAAAAUUGGAAAGCUAGGAGGACUAAACCAGACAAAACCAAACCAAUUUUUUCUAUAGCAUGUAUAAAGAAUCCCUAAAUACCUUAAAAAGAGGUAGCAAAGCAUCACAUUGUAUGAUUGGCAUCUUCCGUAUCCGUCCCAGUUAAACCAUAUACCACAUGAGCAGCAUUUGCAAUUUGCAAUUUGCAAUAAAGUGGUUAAAACUCAAUACCAGAAAGAAGAGGGAGGAAAUCAGCUAAGUUUUCUUGAGGAAGAAAAUAUAGGAUAUAUGUAUAUAUGUUACCUCAUCAAUGAUUAAAUAGCAUUUCCUCUCCCAGCUGCCGUGUCAAUCAUGCAUACAAUUUGGGUCUGAAGUCUUAAGUAUGUGAUAACAAAGAAGUAGCCAACAACAACUUACCCAUCAAAAAUGGAUACGAGACUCUGAAAACAAUUCCUUGAUAAAUUUCAUACAGAAACAAGAAAAAUUAUCUCAUCCCAAUUCAAAUAAAUUAUAAAUGAGUUACAAUAGUAAAUAUUACCUACCUCAACCCUUUUCUGCGCUAAUAAUAUUGAUGAAAUGGAGUUGAUAUAGUCUCAACAAAAGCUGUGAGAUGGCAAAGAAACGUUUCACCCAUGAUGACAAAAUAGUUCAAAACUCCAAAUGCACAUGUUCAUCAUAAACCUUAGAGAUAUGAAAUCUACCUCAAUAAAUUUCAAAGCUCAGACAUCUAUCUACACAACUCAUUAAUACGGGCGAACUGGACUCCUUGGUGACCUCCUGUGGGAACGUCUAAUAGGGGAACGUGACCUGCUUCGAUUACGGUACCUAUCCCUGCCUCCAUCUCUCCCAUUCCUGGACCUCCAAUCCACCCCUCUUCCACCAUCCUGACCACCUCUACCAUUCCACUCUCUGGACCUUUCACGAUCCAAGUCACGUUCUCGAUAUCUGUCAUGAUCACGAUACCUGUCCCUAUCACUUGAACCACUUCUCCUUCUACUCUCACUUUCCUUCUCCUGCUGUUUCCUGCGUUCUUCUGCUUCUUUCUCCCUAGCUAACUUUUCUUCUUCCCUUGCUUUCUCCUUCGCUGCCUGAAAAAUGAAAUCCAUGUCCUUCAGACACCAAGAAAGAAAUAAACUCUAUUUCUUCUCAAGUUCACUACUCAAUAAUUCAAGAGACUCACCUUGUACUCUGAAAUAAAAUCCCGGACCAUGCCAUAACCAAUAUGCUGCUUCCCAGUGACAUGAGACUGAGUCCUCUCUAAAGCAUCAUUGGCCACAAGAAAUGAACCACAGAUCUCACAGAGUGCCAUUUUUUUCUCCUGUGGAACCAUUAAUGCUUGAGCAUUUGGAGGCUGUAGAGCCAAGACUGUCUUCUCAACAUUAAGCACAUCCACCUGCCAAAAGGGGGAGAAACAAUCAGAAUCAAAUAUACCUGAGUACUACAUUGUAAUAACUGAACAACAGAUAACCAAGAAGAGAGUACUUAUAUGGCAUGGAUUCUACCAAACAUGCGAGCAAAAAUACACAUUUUUUAAGAAUUAUUUGCAAUACAAAACUACUACAUGCAAUACCUUUCUCAUCAAUGCUUCAGCUUCAUCCACCUUCCCAGAUGCUCCAAGUUCCUCCACUUGUUCCAAUAAGUUCUUUAUUUUUUCCUCUAGAACAGAUAACUGUUCGGCCUUUUCAGCUGACAGAGGUGGUGGUGGUGGAGGUUCCACCUCCUGAGAGAGGCGUUCUCGCCCACGCUUAACUCUUCUGUCCAAAUCCAUCACCUGCAAUGAAGGUGGAAUAUGACAAACAAUUACAAAAGAAAAUCGAAGAAAACAAAGACCAAUCGAAGGACAGCUAGCUCACCAAUUUGUCACAAAACUGAGCAAGAUCAGCUUCAAACCUCGGCACAUAUGCAUCAUGCCUUGGAGACUUCUCAAAACUAAAUGAAUCAACAAAAGAAAAAAAAAUUAAAGCUGGAAAAGACAUAUUGUCUAAGUUUAUGAACAUAUUGACUAAAAUAUUAGAAUACUUCUGAUCAUCAAUAAAACUUCCAGUAUUUAUUUUUUCCGAAAACCCAUCUGGAUACUCUCCCUCAGUUUGUGCAAACAUUAAAAAUAUACAGUGAUAUACAGGAAACAAAAUAAAUCAUAAGCAGAAACUGAAACCGUUAAAAAGAUAAGAAAAGGAGGAAGCAGAUCACAACAAGCGACUCAUAACCAACUACUUGCAAUUAACUGAUAACGAGAGCAUAGUUUAACAUACAUAAUACGACACAUCCCCUGCACCUAUCUAGUACAUAAGUAUUUAUUAAAGAACUGGAUAAAUUCUUGUUCAAAUAACAAACUGUGAUAAAAUGCAUACAUAACAGUCUUAUGAUUGCAUUUCAUCUAAAUGCACAUGAAAUUCUGCUCAACAUCAAAUACGAAAAGCUCAAACCAGAAAGCAGAAUUUCAAUCUCUCUGAAUAAUCAGCUAAUAAUCACCUCUCUUUCAACUUGGAGUCAUGUAUUUUAGGACACGGCCCUGAUUCAAAAAAUCGAAAGAAAUUAACCAUCAGCAACCGAAAUCAAACUCAAACCAGUCAAAACUCAACACUGAAUUUAGUGAAUUUCAACCACAAACACACACCUAGAUCGCUUCGGGUGUUGACAAAGAGAUCAUGAGGGCAAAAUCGAACCAUAUAAGCUCCGCAAACCUCCUUGGAGUCCCAAGUGACCUCCUUAUACCCUUUCCUCUCUUCCUCCGUCAAAUUCCGAGCUGGAUUGCACCACAAAACCAGUCAAACAUCUCAAAAUCCAAAGCAAUAACCAAAAUCAACAAACUAAAACCACGAAUUCACCGAAAUACGAUAUCAAAUUGCGAUUGAGCCAAUAACAAAUAUGUAGGAACCAAAUUAGGGUUUGAUGGAGAGAUACCUGCGCCCAUAAGCUCGUCCAGCAGAGCUCGCUGAGCAUCCAUGGCAGAUCGAAGUGAGGAGGAUUUGAAAUCGAGAAGAAGACUAUGUGAAUUCUGAUUGGAGAGGAGAGAUUGAGAAGGGUUUAGACCAAUUUGGGUAGGUGCGAUGCUUUUAGGGAGCCUAGGGUUUGCUCUAGAGGAGUAGAAGCAUCAGAGAGAGAGAGAGAGAGAGAGAGAGAGAGACGGUGAUGGCGGUAGUANGCNCGUAGGUCGUGGUAGGCUCGAGUACGUUAGGUCGUCGUUGGUUGUUAUAGUGGUUUUUGUUUUUUUUUUUGUUUAAAGCAGUUUUAGUUCUUUACUACUAUAUCACUAUACAGAGUUACAUAACUCAAGUUUAGAACCUCUUAAAGCUAUUAAUUUUGUGAUUUGUCUUGUGUAAUGAAUAAUGAGAACUUUGGAACCUCAUCCAUGAAACAGGAUGGAUUUGAGCUUGGAUUCAGGAAUCAAGUGAAGUCUAAUAAGAAAAACAUCACGAAAUUUCUAAAUUUUUAAAAAAGUAAAACCGUCGACUUCUAAUUUGAAAUUAAAUUAUGCUUCAUAAGAGAAGCUUUCUAAUUUGAUCGGUGAUUGGGUGGUCUACCACUCAAGAGCUAAUUUGGAGCAAUUUAUGAUGAACCCUCCUCUAGGGACGUUUUAAUAUAUACCUAGAUGCUAGAUAUACUCGUAUUACAUGUAGAUAUAUUGUAGUUAAAAACAUGGUUUUGAUAUACCGUAAUUUAAAAUUUUGAUCUUUAAAUAGAAAAUAAUAUGAUGUAUUAUAAUAUUAGAUCGUGACUUUGAAAUCUAAUAAAGAUGAAAGCGGUCAAAACUUUAAAAAAAAAAAAACAAGUAAUUUUUUUAAAAUCAUAAAAAUCAAUUUUGCUUUAACAUGAACUCGAUUAUAAUUCGAGCAUUAUUAGUCUUUACUUGCUCUAAUUUUUCUUGGAGAAGUAUCAUGUCUUGUUUCCAAGAUGAUGGAUAUUUCCGUCUAUCUCGAACAUCAAUCCAUUUCUCCAAAUUUACGUCGUAGGCGCUUCCUCCCGAAGUAAGCACCAGUAUCUCGAGCUUUGCUGCAUUCUUCAUAAUCCAAAUUGCAAACUCUAACUCAUACCAAUUACCCAGAAACCGCUGCAGUUUAACUCUUUUCAAGUGAUCAUGUGUGAAUGAUCCUGAACAUUCUACAUUAUACCUUAUUUCAUCGGGAAACCUUGAGGUAUAUUCAGUCAGUACAAACUCUUCCAAAAGGGGUGCAGCCGUGAUGAGAUCCCGCACAGACUUGAGAUGAUCAAGAUUGUGAUCAAAUGUACCCGAUUGCCACUGAUUCAAGCUCAAUUGCUUGAGGUUUCUAAAGGUUAUGUCACUGCUGAUUUGGGAUAGUCUAUAGCCUCCGUCCCGGUAUUGCAGAUGAAGAGUCUCGAGCUCAGGAAACGAUGCAAGGCAAGAAUGUACUGCUGGACGCAUCCUUUCGACGUCAGCUAAAAUUCGUGCUAAGCGUGGUGAAGUUGUAACAGAAAUAAUGCUGGAAAAAUCUCCACAAAAUUCCAACGAGACGAGAUUGGGGGCAGAAAUCUCAAUCCCUCCGCAAUGCGACAGCUUCAGAUCACUUAGACGAUCACCAACAAUAUUUAGAUGUGUAAGUCCAUGGCAGUUCUUUAUUUUCAAGCUUUCAAGCAACAAGCAAUUAGAAAAGACAUGUGCCAUAAAAAUCUGAUCAAGGGUUACAUAACUUAGACUGAGGGAUCUUAGAUUGUUAAACCCGUCAAAAUCAGGAGGAGGUUGUCGCAGAAUACAGUCACACAACGCCAAGUGUUUCAGAGAACUCGAGCCGUGGAACAACAACUGAUAGGGAAAAACAUAUGAUGCAAGAUACGGCCGGUUCAACAAAAGCUGAAUGUCUUCAACUCCUUUCGCAAUUGCAAGACGAACCCAUGCAUCAAGGUUGCGAGUAGAUAUUGGGAGUAAGUAAGAUUUUUGCUCUACUUUUAAAGAGUCUAUCUUUUCACCUUGAUAGAGCUCCAUAUACUCUUACAUAAACUUGUCCAGAUCAUCAUUCACUCUCCAUCUGAGACUUUUGAAGACAACCUCAUAGUCGGUUCCGAAGACAUUCGGAUAGUCGAAUUCAAGAUUGCGCCUGGUGAGAACUGAAUGCCGCCAGAGGUGCCUCCACCGACGGGAAAUCAGGCCAGAAUCGAAUCCGGCAACUUAUUCAUCCUAUCCUUGUUGUGAGGAUCUGAAUCCAACUUUUUUCAUCGGCUUCUACUGAGUACUGAUAGAUCUAAGGUUAUAAACAUAUACACGCUGAUAAUUUCCUUGUUCUAUUAAUAUAAUUACUCGUAUCCUAAUAAGUUGAGGAAUAGUGUCUUUUCCUAAACCUCCUCUAAUUAGAGUCCCUAGUGAUCUCUUUGGUGAUCUCUUUGUACCCUUUUCUCUCUUCCUCCGUCAAAUUCCGAGCUGGAUUGCACCCAUGGCAGAUCUCACACUCAUCUUACAUCUCUUUCCACAGAGGAUAACACAGCAAAAUGUUGAAAAUUGUAAGUUUUAGUCGAGGUAACUUUUUAGUUUUGUUUAAGUAGUUUUAGUUCUUUAAAGCUAUUAAUUUUUUGAUUUGUCUUGUGUCUGAUCUUGAUCCGGGAACCAAGCGGAGUCUAAUAAGAGAAACAUCGUCAACUUUCUAAAAUUUUAAAGUGUAAAACGAGUUUUGAUUUGGGAAUCAAAUGAGGUCUAAUAAGAGAAACGUUGAAAAACUGUAUGAUUUGACUGGUGGCUAGGUGGACUGCCACUCCAAAGCUAAGAGCAAUUCAAGUAUGGGCCUCCCUGAAAUGUUUUUCACGAGAGCUAGAGUUCGAACCAUAUCACCAAGAGAGUUAAUGCAGCACGCUCCUCACUUGUGUAAAUAUGUUUACUCUUCAUCUACUUGCUUUACUACGCCUUCAAAGACCCUAUGGAUUUGGCUUCCGCAACCGUUGUCCAUCCAUUAAGAAUGAAACCCAUACUGCCAUACACAGGUGAUCACCGCCGCCGUUUUGCACUCAAUCUUGGGUCUAAAGUUUAUUCUCUCAAAUGGUAAAAUCUAAACUAAAAAGACAUAGUAGUGUAACUUGAUCAAAUUGUACUAGAUAUGUAAUCGUUUCUCUGUCAAUAGAAUCCUCAACAACAACAACAAAAUUGCUUAUUUCACAUAUUCAAUAUUUUGAACCGGACAUAUCAUUCAGAUUUCAGAAUGAGCAAAGUAGUUCUGCGGCCAAAUCAUGUUACUUGCGAAAUGGAUGCCAUCAUAGACUCGUAUAGUUGAUGCCUGCGAGUUGAUUAUUCAGACUUGAUUAUAUUUCGAGCACUAGUCUCUACUUGCUCCAGUUUUUCUUGGACAACUACCCUGUAUUCUUUCCAAGAUGAACUACCUCGACGAUUGCACCAUAUUCCAUAAUUUAGAUAGUAGUAGUGUCCUGCCGGAUUAAUCACCAGAAUCUCAAGCUUUGCUGCAUUCUUCAAAAUCCAAAUGGCAAACUCUAUCUCAUACCAAUUGCCCUGAAACAGCUGUAGUUUAACACUCUUCAAGUGAUCAUGUGUGAACGAUCCUGAACAUUCUACAUUAUUCCUUGUUUCAUGUUGAUGAUUUCUCUCAACAGGAUCCCCGAAGGGACCCCCAAAUGGGUGCAGCCUUGAGGAGAUCCCACAGAGACUGGAGACGGUGGAGAUUAUCAGGUUGCCACAGAUUUUAAGGUCAAUUACUUGAGAUUUCUAAAGGUCAAGUCACUGCUGAUUUGGGGUAGUUCACCGCAUUCAUCCACGUUUCCAGAAGAAAAGUCUCGAGCUCAGGAAACGAUGUAAGACAAGAAAGUACUCGAUGCAUCUCGUCGACUAUAGUUACAAAUCUUGCUAACCGUGGUGGAGUUGUAACAAAAAUAAUGCUGGUGAAAUCUCCAGUAUAUUCCAACGAGACGAGAUUAGGUGCAGAAAUCUCAAUCCUUCUGCAUCGCGACAGCUUCAGAUCACUUAGACGAUCACCAACAAUAUUUAGAUGUGAAAGUCCAUAGCAGAGCUUUAUUUCCAAGCUUUCAAGCAACAAGCAGCUAGACAAGAGAUGUGCCAUAAAAAUCUGAUCAACGGUUACAAAAGUUAGACCGAGGGAUCUUAGAUUAUUAAACCCGUCAAAAUCAGAAGGAGGUCGCAGAUCACAUCUACGCAACGUCAAGUGUUUCAAAGUACUACUCGCGCCUUGGAAUAGCAGCAACUCAUAGGGAGAAACAUAUCUAUCAAAAGAACAAUCCAACAAAAGCUGAAUGUCUUCAAAGUUGUAUUUUCGGUACGUCGCCAAAGUUGUAAAGCAAACGAAUUAGCCAAAGAUAUUUUCGGUAUGUCGCCAAAGUUGUAAAGCAAACGAAUUAGCCAAAGAUUCAUUAAUAGUUAUGGUUUAAGGGUGGCCGUUACGUCCUACUUCCAACAACAACAACAACAAAAAAAACUGAAUGUCUUCAAUUCCCUUUGCAAUUGCAAAACGAACGCAAUCAUCAAGGUUGCGAGUAGGUAUUUGGGGUAAGAAUUUUUUUUCCUCUACCUUUAAAGUGUAUCUUUUCAUCUUCAUAGAGCUCCAUAUACUUUUUCAUAAACUUGUCGAAAUCACCAUUCUCUCUCAUUCUGAGACUUCUGAAGACAUUGACAUAGUUGAAUUCAAGAUUGCGCCUGGUGAGAACGUACAGAAUGCCGCCAGGGGUGCCUCCACUGACAGGAAAUCAGGCUAGUUCUUAUCGCAUCUCUCAUCGGUAACAACAGAAUUAUGCAUGAUUCCAUAAUGGAAUCCGGCAACUUAUUCAUCCUAUCCUUAUCACGAGGAUUUGACUCUCCAACUCUUUUCCUCGGCUUCUAUUGAUAGAUUUAUGAUUCUAAGGUUAUAUACAUAUAUAUAUAUAUAUAUAUAUAUAUAUAUAUAUAUAUAUGUUGAUAAUUUCCUUAUCUUAAUAUUCGUAUCCUAAUACGUUAAGGAAUAAUGUUUUAUUUCCUAAACCUCCUAGGAUUAAGUGCACCAUAAAUCAAACCAAUAAACAAAGGGAAAUGAAAUCUACACACCUAAAAUUGUAAUCCACACACUCACUUUCUAUUAUUAGUAACUUAAAUUUUGUCUUUAGUGACUUAAAUUUUAUCUUCAUAUGAGAAUGAUUAUUAAAAAAGAAAAGUGAGUGUGUGAAUUACAAUUUUAAGGUGUGUGGAAAUCACAUCCCUAAACAAAAUACAAACUAAUAAACCCCAAGUUCACCAAAUUACACUAUGAGCCAAUAAUAAACAAGUAGGUACCAAAGCGAAGAUUGAUUAGGCUUUGACGGAGAUAUCCGCGCCCAUAAGCUCGUUCAGCAGAGAUCACUGAGCACCCAUGGCUAAUCGAAGUUUGAAAUUGAGUAGAAAACUAAGUAAAUUCUGAUCGGAUCGAGAGGAGACAUUGAGAAAGGUUUAGACCAAUAUAUUUUGGUAGUGAAGUAGUGCAAAGAGAGAGAGAGAGAGAGAAUAGUACCAGGUGGUCUCGGAGCUCGAGGUAACUUUGGGCCUGGUUGGUUAUACAAGUGGGUAUUUUUUAUUGUGAUUAUGUUCUAUUUUAAGUUUUAAUCGAGGUAACUUUUUAGUUCUUUACUACUAUAUAUACUACUAUACAAACCUCUUAAAGCUAUUAAUUUUAUGAUUUGUCUUCUGUAAUGAAUAAUUAAUGAGAACUAUGGAACCUCAUGUCCAUGAAAAAGGAAAAGAAUUACAAGUUUGGAUCCGGGGACCAAGCGAAGCCUAAUAAGAAAAACAUCGUGAACUUUCUAAAAUUUAAAAGUGUAAAACAAGUUUCGAUCGGAGAAUCAAAUGAAGCCUAAUAAGAGAAAUAUUGCGAACAUUUUGAUUUGGUCGAUGGCUGGGUGGACUGCCACUCCAGAGCUGAGAGCAAUUCAAGUAUGAGCCUCCUUAAGGAAUAUUUUUCAAGAGUUAGAGUUUGAACCAGAGACCUCAUAUUACCAAGAGAGUCAAUAUAGCGCAUGCCUCAUUUGCAACCUGACCAUCCAUAUCGGUAAAUAUGUUUACUCUUCAUCUUCAGCUAACAAAAAUAAAAAUAAAUAAUAGCGUAACUUGAUCAAACUGUACUAGAUAGGUAAUCGUUAUUUUUUUAAUCUUAAAAAAAAUAAAAAAUAAAAAAUAAAAAUAAAAAAAAACAUUCAGAAUGAGAGAUAGAUGAGCAAAGCAUUGGUGGUAGUUCUACUGCCAUAUCAUGUUACUUGAGAAAUAGAUGCCCUCAUAACUCAUACUUGAUGCCUGUGAAUUGAUUAUUCAGACUGGAUUAUAAUUCGACCACUAGUCUUUACUUGCUCCAGUUUUUCUUGGAGAAAUAUCCUGUCUUUCGACCAUCCUGCUGCAGAAUUUACAUAGUAGAAGGGUUGUGCUAGAUUAAUCACCAGAAUCUCAAGCUUUGCUGCAUUCUUUAGAAUCCAAAUGGCAAACUCUAUCUCAUACCAAUUGCCCUUGAACCACUGCAGUUCAAAUCUUUUCAAGUGAUCAUGCGUGAACGAUCCUGAACAUUCAACAUUAUUCCUUGUUUCAUGUGGAUGGUUUCUUUCAUCGGAAUCCCUGAAGGUAAUAUCAUUCAGUAUGAACUCUUCCAAGAGGGGUGCAGCCUUGAGCAGAUCCCGCGCAGACUGGAGAUGAUCAAGAUUAUCAUAUUCAUUCCAAUGCGACAGAUCUAAGCUCAAUUUCUUUAGAUUUCUAAAGGUCAAGUCGCUGUUGAUUUGCGAUAGUUCUCCGCAUUCCUCCCUAUGUGCCAGAGAAAGAGUCUCGAGCUCAGGAAACGAUGUAAGACAAGAAAGUACUGCUGGAUGCAUCUUUUCGACUUCAGUUACAAUUCGUGCCAAGUGUGGUGGAGUUCUAACAAAAUUAAUGCUUGGAAAAUCCCCACUAUAUUCCAACGAGACGAGAUUGGGUGCAGAGAUCUCAAUUCUUGGGCAUUGCGACAGCUUCAGAUCACUUAGCCGAUCACCAACUAUACAGAGAUGUGCAAGUCCAUUGCAGUACUCUAUUGUCAAGCUUUCAAGCAACAAGCAAUUAGACAAGAGAUGUGCCAUAAAAAUUUGAUCAACGGUUACAUAACUUAGACUGAGCGAUCUUAGAUUAUUAAACCCGUCAAAAUCAGGAGCAGGUCGCAGAUCACAUUCACGCAACGUCAAGUGUUUCAGAGUACUACUCGCGCCUGGGAAUAUCAACUCAUGUUCAUGGUCAAAUAAAGACCAUUCCAACAAAAGCUGAAUCUCUUCGACUCCCUUUGCAAUUGCAAAACGAACCCAAUCAUCAAGGUUGCCAGGAGAUAUUAAAGGUAAGAAAAUGUCGUCUUGCUCUACUUUUAAAGAGUCUAUCUUUUCACCUUGAUAGAGCUCCAUAUACUCCUUCACAAACUUGUCCAAAUCAUCAUUCUUUCUCGGUCUGCUACCGAAGACAUUCGGAUAGUCGAAUUCAAGAUUGCGCCUGGUGAGAACUGAAUGCCGCCAGAGGUGCCUCCACCGACGGGAAAUCAAGCUAGUUUCCACCGCAUCUCUCAUCGGUAACAACGGAAUUAUGCAUGAUUCCAGAAUCGAAUCCGGCAACUUAUUCAUCCUAUCCUUGUUGUGAGGAUCUGAUUGUAGAUCUUAGGUUAUCUAUAAACAUAUAUAUGCUGAUAAUUUCCUUGUUCUAUUAAUAUAACUACUCGUAUCCUAAUAAGUUGAGGAAUAGUGUCUUUUUCCUAAACCUCCUCUAAUUAGUCUCCCUAGUGAUCUCUUUGGUGAUCUCUUUGUACCCUUUUCUCUCUUCCUCCGACAAAUUCCGAGCUGGAUUGCACCCAUGGCAGAUCUCACACUCAUCUUACAUCUCUUUCCACAUAGGAUAACACAGCAAAAUGUUGAAAAUUUGGAACGCUUGUUGAUUGACUCAACCUAUUGUAUACUACUUUACCUAGCAUUUCAAAAAAAUUACUGCCAGAUGAAUUGAAGUUACAAUGGCAAGGGGGCCUCAAACAGUACAUGUAUCGCACAGCUUUCGACCUAGUAUAUCGGUACAAAGGAAGGGAGGGCUAAUCUAUAAUCACACGCCGCAUCUUACAAAUAAGGUUUGCAGUAGGAAGAUCAAGCUGAUUUCCUGAAUCUGAUUUGAUAAGAUCUCUCAGCUGAUCUCUCGGGGUGGAAAGACAGGUAUGGAAUGUGGAUAGAACUGGAGGAAUUGGCAUUGACAGAGCAGAAAGCACAUUGCUAAGAUACUCUAUGUCAACAGAUAACUGUUGAGCUCCACGGUCUGUGAUAUACUGAAUCCCUCGUAGCUGCUCCAUGUAAAGAGCAGUGGCACCCUCUGCAACCUUCAUUAAAGUGGAAAGCAGCAUUGUUAAAACCAAAGCCAAGGGUAAUGAUCUAAACAAUUAGAUUAAAGCAGUGCAGAUAAGCUAAUAAUGAAUAAUGUAGGACUUUGGAAAUUGGUACCUUGAACAUCCAUUCUGUAGCAAAAAACUGGGCUUCCUCAUUGUUGGCAUCACUAUUUGCAAUGCCCUCUGCAAGGGGCUCCAGCUGCUGGGGUAGUGUAAGAAGAUAUUCACCAACAUUGGUCACAUAGGACUGAGGGGAAGCACUAAAGGUUGGCAGAUGGUAAACACUCUGUUCUUCAACUGAGGACCAUAUUGGCAGUCGAGAAACAUCACUGAGGCGUUGCCGUACUUUAGAAAUGAGUACGUCAUAUACAAGUUCAUUAACGGUGUCGGCAAAUGCUGCAACUCUUUGAGAUGCAAGUGGAAGUGCAUGAAACCGGGGAUCUUUAGACUGCAUAACAAACAAACAAAAACCUUAUAUAUGUAACACAGAAGAGAGAAAAAAUUAAUAUUUAAAGUAUACAAAAGGUUAACUUAAUCAUACCUGACUUAAAAGGUUGAAGAGUUUCCGAGCCUUCUCAGGAACAUCAAUAAGCCGAACAGCUGCCACAUCCAAGGCAGCUCUUCCACCCAAAGAUGGUUCCCCAUUUCCAUCAUCACUAGCAGCAUGUGACAGGUUUUGGUCUGCACUUGAACCAAAUACUGAAACAGAAAGAGCUGUGCUCAACCUAGCCAGAGUAGCUCUUAGGGAAGCUUCAAAAACAGAGGACCUGCUAGUUAGACAAUCUGCCACUGUAAGGAUUUGCAAAGCACCUUGCACGAUGGACCACUCCUCCUCAUUUGAAAUCGAGUCACUUCUCCGUGAACUUUGGCCAUCCUUCUUAUCCAAACUCAUCUCCUUCCUUGAGCCAACUCCAUCACCACCAUGAUCCACUCCACAUACAACUCUUACUGAUUUCAGAGUUUCUUGCAAGGUGGAGAUAUAUAGCAACAUAAUGUCAUCAACUGCAAUAAUUAGCUCAUCCGCUUCGGAACCUCCAGUGAAGCUUAUGCAUCUCUCAACGGCUGCCUCAAGAAGUACAAUAACUUGUGGAAUGGAUUCCUCCAUUCUGCGAACCGUUUCACUAAGUUCAAUUCCCUGAGCUCCCACGCCACGAGUGACAGCUCCUCUUAGAUCCACCCCAGCAAUCUCAGCAGAAAGUAUAGCACGCUCCAUCUGUCCAUACCUAGAUCACAUGUUCCAUCAUGAUCAACUAAUAAAAGAUCCCACAACUUGCCCAAAACAAUAGCUAGCAAUAAAGAUGGCAGGAUAUUAUCCCAAAUAUAACAAAGGGAAUUGACUGCUGACAAGAAUUUACUAGAUGGAAAAAUCAAAAUGAAAUAUUGCAUGGAAGAAAUUACAACUAGCUGUACAUAAGCCAGUACUCCUAACACAAAAGGGAUUGCCAGACCCAAAUGACCACUUAAAAACAAGGAUCUUCCUUACCUCUGCUUAAAUGAUUCAUAGGGUAAAUACACCGACUUUAGCGUAUCCAUCAAGACACGAAGAUCAGAUUCUGAAAACAAGUGCUGAAUGUUCCUUGCAAAGGUCUGGGUCAUAUUGUGUAAUUCAAUCAGAGCCUCCAGAUGCUUUGUCUGGAUCUUGAUACCCUUUGGCAUAUCACCAGAGAGAAUGUCUAAUAUACCUGAAGUUUUAAAUAAAGAGUUUAAGUUAUGACAAUCAAGAGUGAAACGUAUACCGUCAACUGCCUAGUGGUAUCAUCUUAAUCCAUUUAGUAAAAAGAACUAAGCAAGUUAAGAGAAAAGAUGGCAAGCAGAACUGUAUGGAAAUGAGAUUCCAUGUUUCUCCAUUUCCAUAAACAUCAAAGAGAAUUAUCAAACAUCAUAUCAUGUAAAAAGGCACCAGAUAAUAAAGGCAUGCUACCUUUUCCCAGUGAUUUUGUUUCUGGCACAACAUCACCCGUUGCAAGGUUGAUGCGUGAAACAAAACUUGCUCCUACAGCUAUCAUCGUCUCAAUGAGCAGCUUUGGGACAAGGGAUUUGUAAUCCUCGGGAAAGGCAACCAUGCACCUGCAGAAAACAGCUGAAGAUUAUCAUACUAGACAAUAUGCCCCGUCACUAGUUUUCUAUUAUCACACAGCUUGCAAUACAACAUGUAUUCAGAUUCUCAAAAUUUUGAGCAUAAGAAUGCAAUAAAAUUACUAAAAACAGCUGGUUCAGAACUAUGUAAAGUAUUAAACAAUAAUGAUCAGGCCCCAGCUUUUCUAUCCUAACAGCAUUAGACAACCAAAUGGAAAUGUGAAACACAACUUUACUGGCACACAUAUGUGAAAUAUUAAAGUUUCAAUUGGAACAUAUACCAGAUUAAGUUGAUCAGUAUGAAAUUCAUCAAAUCUAGAAUGUGAAAACACUGGUUUUAACCUAGAAGAAAAGAAAACACAGAGACUGCUAAACGUGCUAAUCAGAUGUUGAGAAUAAUACCACUUCCAUUCUUGUUCAAGAUAUAGCAGCAACUCAUCAUAGAAAUUUGGCAGCCAGGUGGAAAACAGAAUGCCGGAAGUAGCAGACUGAAUCUCAUUACUAGUCUUGUCAGUUGCAAGCUUAUUAGAAGGUGGUUGUUUUGAGUCAAAAUCUUCCCAGAGCUGCUUUAUCGGCUUUAGGUGAACUUUUGUAUAAUGUAGCUCCAUGGACUUGAAUCUCCCGAUUCUAAUGAGAAUUCCCCGCAAAUCUUGCGCAACUUCAACCUGCAAGCAAAUGCAUAUACCACAUUGACGCACCAUCUUAUGACAGUAAGCAGGCAAAUCAUCCAAGCAUAAAGUCACGAAUUCUGACCUUCCGGUUAGAUAUUGCAUCUGUAAGACGCGGUUGCACCAUCGAAUCAAGCCUGUCCUCUAAGACCUCAAGUUGCUUCCUCACAUUAGCAAACUCCGCAACCUAAAAAUAACACAAGCAUAUCAAAUUUCCGAAACAUAGCACCGAAUGCAAAACUAGAUGGUAAUUGAUUGCGAAAUCGAAAUCCACAAUAACAUUACCUCACCAACAGCUGACAAGCAAUGCCGCAUGUUGGCCAGCGUUUCGGCAGCGCGAGGAAGAUCACCGCUGGCGAAAACGUCCUCCACAGUCGAGCUCAGUUGAGUCAAUCCAGCAGCAUCCUGGUGUUGAAUUUCGUUACAAUUUUUUAUCAAUACUUCAAAAAAUUCAAAGAGAAAUCUAGAGCUUCUACUUUACCUGUAACGUUUCAUACGCAGCUUCCAUUCUCUGCUUCACUAUAUCAUACUUCGCAAGCGCCAUUAUAGACUCAGCUGACAAUCCCUCGGCCUAAACAAAGCACACAGAUUCCGAUCAUCACCGAAUCACAUUCAAUUUUCACUUGAGGACACAAAAUCAUCGAAGUAAAACAGUUGCCUACCUUCUUGAGCUUGUCGAGGAUCGAUGACACGGCGGAGCGGAGCGAAACGGCGUCGUCGCGGAGGCGGAUGACUUCGCGCGUGGCGCGUGGCACGCGGAGGAGAGAGGAGGCGCUCUGCUCCUCGAGCGAGGCGCCGAUCUCCUCCGAGACCAUCUGGAUUUUCAUCUCCAGAUCCGCGAGGUGCUUGUCGACUGAGUCCUGCGGGUGGCGGCUCUGGCACGCCGAGUUCACCCACUUCUUCCGGUCGAAGUUCUCGUCGGAGAACGGACCGAGAUCCAGCAUCAUUGUUCCGGCUCAGUGACUCGGGUUUCGGAUCGGGGCUCCGACUCGGGUGUGUGCGUAACUGAAAUGUUUAACGACCAAGUUUCAGGCUUGCGGGAAGUUUAUAUAGAUGAUGAAAUGGACUGCACGUGAGAGGCACGUGGAAACUUAAAAUCCGAAAUACUCAAAAACUCAAUUGUGCUUAACAAAUUCGAUUCAAAAGGAAGAAUUUAAGCGAACAUAAUUCAAGCUAAAUUGAUGUCAAUCUUAAUAUGAGAUCAUCAUAAGAGUUGAAGGUAACGACAAGAUAAACAUAUAAAUAUAUCGAAUUACACAAAUGAAUGAGCAGAGAUGAGAUAACUUAUUAUCGAAUUUGAGUGAUUGUUUAUAAACAUACAAGAAGCAUAAGAAAUAACUGUUACUAAUUUAGCGUAGCUGUCUAGACUUCACACGUUGUUGCUUCAAAGAUACAACAAGGUACAUUUUAGAAAUGAUUGUCUACAUACUACAACUAGUUGUAGCUAUUGUAUUCCGUGAUAAAAAUAUUAAUUUCCAAGGUACGUUUUUUAUACACUGCUAGUAAAUCAUCGUUCUAACAGCGUAACCGGUGUUCUAACUUCAUAAGGAGUUAAUCUAAAUUUCAACCACUCAUGAUCCUUCUAGCUUUAUUUAUCUUUCCUUUUUUGAAAGAAGUUCUGCACAGAGGAAAGAUUAAGUUACGUUUGAUCAACCUACUUUCCCCCCCUUUAUCUAAACAAACCCUAAAUCUCAUUCGGGUUCGGAGCACAACCCAAUAUUCCAUAACGAAGCCCAAAGUCCACGAGCCCAAAACACUGAAAUAUCUAGUUUUGUAAUUACAGAAACUUCCCGGGUACAACACACACUGUGACUCACUCUCACUCUCUCAGCUCCAACAAUGACGUCUUCACUCUCCCAAACCCUCAAACGUCUCCUUACCUCCGGCGACCGCCUCUUCCCUUCCACCGCUUCCCGAUCCAUCUCCACCACCGCCUCCGCCGCCAUGAGGUACCACAUCUUCAGGUACGACGGCCCGGACGAACCCGAAAACAAAGGCGGUCCCCCGGUGGUCGAGAUCAAAGACUCCGACGACUGCUUCACCGUCAAGAGGGCCGUUCCGGGGUAUGGGAAGGAAAUGGUGAAGGUCGCCGUGGACGGCGAGAAGAAUACCGUCAACAUCGAGCUCCGGGACUACGGCGGCUGCAAAACCGUGGUUGCUCUGCCGGAGGGUUGCCGGAGCGGCGAGGCUAGGGCUUUUGUCAUGCACGGGAUGGUGACGGUGGUUGUUCCGAAGCGGAAGAAAGGAGAGGAGAAGAGAUAGGGUUAGUUUGGUAAGGUCUGUCAAAAUCUUAAAAGAUUGUGUGGUUUGUGAAAUUUGGAGGUUUCUUUUGUAUCUAAUUUGACUAGUGAUGAAUGAAAAUGAGUAGUUUUAUUGAGAAUUGCUUCAUUUACUCUGUGUUAUUUGGGUUUCCAAAAUUGCCUAUUACAGUAUUACUGUCUGAUUUUGCCAAUUGUGAGUAAUGUGGGUUUUGAUUUGUUGUUGUGUGUUAUCCUGUGUUGAGAGCAAUGUGUUCGAUGAAAUGUGUCAAUGCGAUGUUCCUUACUGUCAAUGCGAUGUUGCCAACUAUCACAAUACUUGUUGUCAUCUUUUCAAAACCAAUACAAUGUGCUUGAUGAAAUGCCUCUUUUCGCGACUCACGAGGGUUGGAAUUGUGCCAACAUUUAUACGGAAUGCUUGAAAACCCUGCAUCCACAAUAGUGGUCUGCCUAAAAGCUUCAGUGAGUAUCUUGCCUUAAAGCCUCCUGUAAUUGUAGGGUACGCACAGCCUAGCUAAUGGCAUUAGGUUGUUCAUUGUUGUAGUCUUUUCAUGUUAUGUGCAAUGUGUUUGUUGAAAUUUCUAUUUAAUGUGUGUUGUCUUGGUUGCUCAAACUCCAGACGCAGCAGAGACGAGAAUCAUCGGCUCCACCCAUUCAGGUACUUGCGCAUUCUGUGUCUCUUCUAUUUCAUUUCUUCAAUCAAUAAAAAGAAAACAGGUAAGUUGUUUACAGUAGAGAAAGAAUUCCCUGGGCUAUUUUCUAUAGAAUUUUAUAUGGUUGAUGAUGAUGUGAUUGUCUUGUCUGGCAGUCUGCGAGGGAUGCUAUGGUUUGGUUCACUCCGAGAAUAUAUUGGCUUGAUGACGAGGUUUACGUUGUUUUCAAGUGUUUACAACUUUAGAUAGGAAAAUGGUGAUGGAUUGCGUAUUUGAAUUACUGAUUGAUGUGUUUUCUUGGAUGGAAAUGGAUACAGAUGAGUGGCGUGGCAGUUUGGUGGAUGGGAACAUAUAGCAUGCUUCUUCCCAAAGCUGCAUCCUUCCACAGGAAAUACUUGGAUUUGUAUAGUUAUGAUAUGCCGUCUCCAGUUCAUGAUUAUGUCACCAGGGAAAGGUAGAUAAUGGUAUAUGUAGAAUACAUUUUUAUUACACGACAUUUUCUUAUGUGCUUGCUCUGGUUUUAUAGAUUGAUUAUCGAUGCUAUGUGCUUAUGCAGAAAUUGUGAAGAUAUUGCAAUGUCAUUGCUUGUUCUAAUGCCACAGGAGGUGCGCCUAUCUGGGUGAAAGGUAGUUUCGCAUUUCAUGGUCUUUACAUGACUGCAUUAUAGGCUCAUGAUUUGUGGCAAUGUCCAAUUGACUCUAAAUUAUAAACUCAAAUAGGCUUAGAUUCUUUUUCUUUUUGAAGCAAGCUUAUGAAUCACUCCAAUGAUAGAACAUUUCACAAUAGCUUGUCCUAGGCAUAGUCAGUAUGCUGCAUUCAUCAAAGACUUGUUAUUGAUCUGGCCUCUAUUAUGAAAUUUGUGUACUCAGAUGGACAGCCUUUUCCUUGUUUGACAACUUCCUCUUUCAUUUGUGAAAAUGUGAACCUUUUCAUUCAGUAGCUCACAUGAAAUUGACGUAACUGAUGCUACUUUGAUAUAGAUUUCCCACUGAGCCAACGACUCUCAGAAUCCUGAAAUGAAUCCCCUCUUUACGAUUGGAUUUGGUAUCUGUUCUUGGCUAUGCCUGUACUGUGCCAUAGUACUGAGCUUUUUUGGAGCUAAAUUCAUGCCUAAUUCCCUCUAGCAAAUUUGAUGUUUAAGUUGGGGACAUAAACUAUGCAGGGAAGAUAUACGAGCUUGGAUCUUCAGGAAUUAGCAGUAUGAAAAGGCACAGCAAGAGUCGCAACAAGUGCAUCAAUGAUCUCAUCUCCCUCCUUGGAAGAAUGCCCUUUGUACAACUAAUGUUAAAGCUUUUGAUGCCAGGUUUGAAUGGUUCUGGUAGUUUCACUUUUGUAAUUUGCCUUCUUUCCACCUUGUAGUUUAGUACUGUAUAUGUAUAUGCACUGUUGAGACAAGGAUGAUGACCAGUAGUUUCCAGAGGUUUAUUGUGAUGAGCAGCAGAAGAAGUCUCUUGUAACAGAGGUUUACUAAACUUUUAGUUACAGUAGAUGAAUAUUUUUACUAAAUUGCAGAAUAAAUAGUGUUAAUUUAUUGGCUGAUUGAUAUAGAACAUGUUUCAUUGGUCUCGUUACUGGUAUGGCCAAACAAUCCAAACUAUGUUUGAGCUGCCUGCAUAUGUUGAAGAAAGAACCUGAAAUGUCACUUGGUCCUGUUCCUAUUGCAUUAUGAAUCAAUGGCCAAGAAAUUGAACUACAACCAAAGGAAUUACGCCAUGUAUAGGAAUAAGGAAACAGAGAAACUGAUAUUCUAUUCAUUUCAAUCAACUUCAAUGAACUUGAUCAUUUGAAGUGCUCUAGUUCAAGACCCCACACAGAAUACAAGAUGCAGCAUCUUACCAAAACAUUAUGCAGCAACAAGACUUAAAAGAAGGCAGCAAAUAAAAACAUACAUGAAGGGUAGUGAAAGCCAUAACAGAACAAUAGCAAAGUUGCUCACUUUCUAUCUAACAAGAGUGGCUCGAAUCAUUUUAAGUUCAGAUACAACUUCACCGAUAUUCUUUCGUUCUAUUGGGGAUUCCACAGAGCAUGCAACUCCAAUUUCUAGUAUUGAACUCAAGCGUUCUUCAAGAGCAUCAUUGGUGCUCUGGCUCGGAUAGCCUUCUUGAACAAGUGAUGAGUCUGCAAUCUCUGAAACUCGAUCGCCCAAGGCCGUCUUUACACACUUGUGAAGGUUCAAAUCGUCCAUGAACAUGUGGUCAGUGGGUCUCUUCCCAAUAAACAUCUCUAACAAGAGAAUGCCGAAGCUAUAGACAUCUCCAUAUGUCGACACCUCACUUCCCAUUCCAUACUCUGUGGUUCCAACACCACAAUUGUUAACAGAACAGCUCUCAAUAAUGAAACUACCUAGCUAUACAAGAAAAAUGGCAGAACAAAAUAGCUCAAGUACAUACCUGGAGCAGCAUAACCAACAGUCCCUCUUAUUCCAAUGGAACUCGACUGAUUUGUCGAAACGUUAUCAGCUAGUCUUGAGAGGAAUCUAGCUAAUCCAAAGUCACCAACAUGUCCAGUCAUGUCAUUGUCCAAAAGAACAUUGCUCGGCUUGAGAUCGCAAUGAACUAUUGGUGUUUCACAAUGAUUAUGAAGAUAAUCCACUGCACAGGCAACAUCAAUGGCAAUGUCUAACCUUUGAACAAGACUUAAAUUCUUCGGUACGUCUUUUGUCCCAGUAGUUGGAUGCAACCACUCCUCUAAGCUCCCAUUCUCCAUGAACUUAUAGACCAAAGCCUUGAAAUCAUUACCAUGAGAGUCAACACUGGAACAUGCAGUUAUAACCGGGACUAGAUUGCGAUGUCUGAUAUUUCUGAGUGCCUCACAUUCGGCUAGGAAACUCUUGGAAGCACCCCGGCGCAACAUGUCAAACACCUUCACAGCAACAAUCUGAGCUAAAUCUUCGCCAAGAAUUCCUCUGUAUACAGACCCAAAACUACCCGCACCAAUCAUAUUUUUUUCAGAGAAGCCAUCAGUAGCAUUCAAGAGAGCACUAUACGAAACUUCCAACGCAGAUUUCUCCAAAGAGCUUGUUGGAGUUGCUUUGCUUCUCUUUUUCAAGAAACAAAGAAAGAGAAAUAUCAACAGCAUAGCUAUUCCAAGAAUACCAAAUACUAAUGAGAUUGUUAGUUUCUUGCUAUGAGACAUGGAUUCUUUAGACUUGCACUUUGGAAGGUGGAGAUGAGAAAUACCUCCGCAGAGUCUUGUGUUUCCGACAACUGAAAUGGCACUUGCAUUGUUAAAGACACCUUUCAGUGGCACUGCACCCCAAAAGUCAUUGAAAGACAGGUCAAGUUGCUUCAAGCCACCAAACCCCGCCAAAAAUACAGGAACUUCACCGGAGAGAUUGUUGUGCGAAAGGUCUAACUCUCGAAUCCCCCUCAAGGAGUUCAUUCCCGAAGGAAUGGAGCCGUUGAAGAAGUUACCUUGCAAACGAAGUACUUCUAAACUCUCACAGUUACCAAGGCUACUAGGAAGUUUUCCUGAUAAUCUAUUGUUAGAGACAUCCAACCCACUUAGAGUUUUCAGCUGUCCUACCUCCGAAGGAAGGGAACCACUGAGAUGAUUUCCGGACAAGUUCAUAUUAGAUGAUAAGGAAGGAAGGCCAAAAACUUGUGGAGGUAUGUCGCCGCUAAGAUUAUUGCUAGAAAGAUCCAGCAGCAGCAAAGAACGGCAUUUCCCAAGGCUUGUAGGGAUGGUGCCAUUUAAUUGAUUUCCUUGCAAAUAGAGUUCAAGUAAAGAUGUCAGGUUUCCUAGAGAGGAUGGGAGGCUCCCUGAUAACCUAUUGUUAUGAAAACCCAAUCUCCCAAGAUCUGAAAGUUUCCCAAUGUCAGUGGGAAUGGUACCUGUGAACAUAUUUCCAUAAAAACCCAAUAUUUGCAUGUUGACUAGAUUCCCUAUCCCUGCAGGGAUGCUCCCAUGUAAUUGGUUUUCUUGAACAUAGAUUAUUGCAAGGUUGGUUGAGAGAUUGGACAUUGACGCUGGCAAUGUCCCUCCGAAAUUGUUUGCUUCUAUAGCCAACCACUCCAACUGUGUAGCAUUGGUCAAGUCUGUGAAAAAAUCCAAGUCCCCAUCUCUACCGCUUCCGAGAUGAUUAUAAGACAUAACAAAGUACACUAGGUUAUGAAGCUUUCCUAAAUUUGGCACUCGUCCUAUUAGCUUGUUAUCUCCAACUCCAAAGUCCACUAGAUUACUGGCAUUGCUUAUCGAGAGAGGAAGUGAUCCGGUUAACUGAUUUUCGUUAAUCCUAAAUUCUUGGAUAUUCGAAAGGGUUGUGAACAAGGAUGGGGGAAAGCUCCCUUGAAAUUGGUUGGUUGAUAGGAGAAAAGUUUGGAGACUAGAGAUGUUAUAGAUAGAGGGAGGGAUGGUACCAGACAACAUAUUUGAUUCCAAUAUCAAAGAUGAUAAUAAUUUCAAUCGGCCUAAAGAACUAGGAAUACUUCCCACCAAAUUGUUCCUAUGAGCAACAAUUCUCACAAGACUAGAGAUGUUACCCAAGGAAGAAGGUAACUCUCCUGUUAGAUUAUUAACUGCCAACCUAAGAUACUCGAGCUUAGACAAGGAACCAAGUUCUGAGGGAAUCUUACCUCCCAGCAUGUUGAAACCAACAUCAAGAAAACUGAGGUUGAAGCAGUUGGAGAUAUUGGGAGGAAUAGGACCGCUGAGUGAGUUGUUAUGUAGAGCUAAUUUCCACAGCCUCUGCAAGUUCCCAAUUUCUGGAGGGAUUUUGUUGGUGAGGCUAUUAUUGUAGAGGUGUAACUCUCUUAGGAAGCUCAGGUUUCCUAUGUGAGGAGAUAUGGAGCCGGAUAACUUCAGGGAACUUAGGUCCAGGGUAGUGACCCUGCUCUGAUUCUGGCUCCGGCCGCAGAUGACACCAUACCACAAACAAAACUGAGUGGACUCAUUCCAUGAGCUCAGGAUCGGCUGAUUAGGAUCUUGGUGUAGUUGAGCUUUAAUGGCAAGCAAUGCUAGCCUAUCCGUUUCGUUUCCUCCUCCGAGCUCCAGCCUAUUGCUGUCCAUGGUUGAGGCCAUAGAACUGCAGCAACAAACAAGAGAAAAUGCUAGUGCUAGUGCAUCGGAGAGCAAGUGAGAUGAGGUGAUUUUCAUAUCCAAAAUCAUCACCAUUUUGAAUUGGCUACGGGGUUGUGAAGUUUUGUAAGCUCCCUUUAAGGCCUUACAACUAGAGGAUAGGAAAUAAGGGAUCACAUGAAUGUGCAUAGCACACAUAUGUUGACUUCGAAAGUCCAGAUCUUUGGCAUUUUUUUAUUUUUUUUGGUAAGCGUAGAGGGACUAACUUACUGUCCCUCCACGAAAAAUUAAUGAAUAAAAAAAAAAAAAAAAAAUAACAAGAAGCUGGAGGACUAGACCAGAUCUUUGGCAUAAAUUUCCAGGUUCUUGGUAGAGGAAAUUUAAUGUCAAUGACAAUAAAUGAAAACAGAGUUGCAUGUCAACCAUUAGUAGACAUAUGAUUAUGACUAGGCGAGGUCCUCGAUCAGCACAGCACCGAAGAAGACUACACAGCUUUAUCAUAUAUGAUUCAUGAAGAAAAAGCCUUCGUUAGAUACUCUCAUCAAAAACAUAAUAUUGAAAAUGAUGAUCAAUAUAUAUAUGUUGAGGUACACCAAGUUCCAUGGAUAUUGAGGUCUGAUUGCCACAGAUAAGUCCUUUUCAUCUCCUUCGAAGUAAAAAAAAAUGCCAAGAAAAAGAAAUGGAUGUUCUGUUCAUUUUAUUGAACUUUGAUUUUAGAUCAUUUGAAGUUCUCUAGUUCAAGGCAGAACACAAGAUACAAGAUGUAGUAGUAUUUUACGUAAACUUUACUCAUACAUAAACAUAAACAUAAACAUAAACAGUGGCAACUAGACUUGAAAGCAGGCAGAACACAAAAACAUGCAUGAUUGGCACUAGGCAGUGAAAGCUAUAACAAAGCAAUAGCAAAGUUUCUAUCCAACAAGAGUGGCUCGAAUCUUUUUUAGUUCAAAUACAACAUCACUGAUACUCUUUCGGUCUGUUGGGGAUUCCGCAGAGCAUGCAACUCCAAUUCCUAGUAUUGAACUCAAGCAUUCUUCAAGAGCAUCAUUGGUGCUCUGACUCGGAUUGCCAUCUUGAACAAGUGAUGAAUCUGCAAUCUCUGAAACUCGUUCGCCCAAGGCCAUCUUCACAAACCUGUGAAGGUUCAAACCAUCCAUGAAGAUGUGGUCAGUAGGUCUCUUCCCUGUAAACAUCUCUAACAAGAGAAUGCCGAAGCUGUAGACAUCUCCAUAUGUUGAAACCUCACUUCCCAUUCCGUACUCCGCGGUUCAAACAUCACAAUUGCUAACAAAACAGCUCUCGUAAAUGAAACUACCUACCUAUACAAUAAAUAGUAGCACAAAAAAUAUCAUAUAAAAUAUAUACCUGGAGCAGCGUAACCAACAGUCCCUCUUAUUCCAAAGAAACUUGAUUGAUUAGCUGAAACGUUAUCGGCUAGUCUUGAGAGGAUUCUAGCUAAUCCUAAGUCACCAACAUGUCCAAUAAAGUCAUUGUCCAAAAGAACAUUGCUCGGCUUGAGAUCACAAUGAACCAUUGGUGUUUCGCAAUGAUUAUGAAGAUAAUCCACUGCAUAAGCAACGUCAAUGGCAAUGUCUAGCCUCUGAACAAGACUUAAGUUCUUUGGUGCUUCUUCUGUCCCUGUAGUUGGAUGAUGCAGCCACUCUUCUAAGCUCCCAUUCUCCAUGAACUUAUAAACCAAAGCCUUGAAAUCAUUUCCAUGAAAGUCCACACUAGAACAUGCAGUUAUAAUCGGGACUAGAUUGCGAUGUUUGGUAUUUCUGAGUGCCUCACAUUCUGCCAGAAAACUCUUGGAUGCUCCUUGGCGUAACAUGUUAAACACCUUCACAGCAACAAGCUGAGCUCCAUCUUCGCCGAGAAUUCCUUUGUAUACAGAACCAAAACUACCAGCACCAAUCAAAUUUGAUGUAGAGAAGCCAUCAGUAGCUUUCAAGAGAGCACUAAACGACACUUGUAAAACAAAGUUCGCCAAUGUGCUUGAUGGAGUUUCUUUGCUUCUCUUUUUCAAGAAACAAAGAAAGAGAAAUGUCAACAGCAUAGCUACUCCAAGAACAGUGACUGCGGAGACUAAUGAGAUUGUCAGUUUCAAGUUACGAGACCAUGAUUGCUUAGACUUGCACUUUGGAAGGUGGAGAUCAAAAAUGCCUCCGCAAAGCCUAGUGUUACCGACAACUGAAGUGGCACUUGCAUUGUUAAAGACACCUUUAACUGGCACUUCACCCCAAAAGUUAUUGAAAGACAAGUUAAGUUGUUUCAAGCCUCCUAACCCCGCCAGGAAUUCAGGAAUCAAGCCGGAAAGAUUGUUGUGUGAAAAGUCUAACUCUUGAAUCCCUCUCAAGGAGGCCAUAGCGGAAGGAAGGGGGCCGUCAAAGAAGUUUCCUUGCAAGAGCAGGACCUCUAAACUCUGGCAACUACCAAGGCUGCUAGGAAGAUUUCCUGAUAACUUAUUGUAAGAGACAUCAAAAUGACCUAGAUUUGUCAACUUUCCUACCUCCAAGGGAAGAGAACCACUGAGACGAUUUUCGGACAAGUACAAAUAUAUUGAUAAGGAUUGAAGCCCAAUAACUUGUGGAGGAAUCUCGCCAGUAAAGUAAUUGCCAGAAAGAUCCAACCACAGCAACGAAUGGCAUUCCCCAAGGCUUGCAGGAAUGGUGCCACUAAAAGUAUUUCUUUGCAAUUCGAGUCGAACUAACGUUGUCAAAUUUCCUAGAGAGGAUGGGAGGCUCCCGGAUAAUCUGUUGUUAUCAAAUCUCAAUAUCCCAAGACCUGAAAGCUUUCCGAUGUCAGUGGGAAUGUUACCUGUGAACAUGUUAUCACCCAAAUACACUUUUUGCAUGUUGACCAGAUUCCCUAUCCCUGCAGGGAUGCUUCCGUGUAAUUGGUUGCUAUAGACAUGUAGUUUUGAAAGGGUUGAGAGAUUAGAUAUUGAUGCGGGCAACGUCCCUCCGAAGUUGUUGUAUCCUAUUUGCAGCCGGUCCAACUUCGUGGCAUUGGUCAAGUCUGAUAUAAAUCUUGAGUCCCCAUCACCGCCACUUCCGAGAUGAUUACGAGCAAUGUUUAACCUCCUAAGGUUACGAAGCUUUUGUGAAUUCGGCACUUGCCCUGUUAAUUUGUUAUCACUAACUUGCAAAAUCUCCAAAUUAGUAGCAUUGCUUAUUGAGAGAGGAAGUGAUCCGGUAAACUGAUUAAGGUAAAUGCUAAAAAUUUGGAGAUUCGGGAGGUUUCUGAAUAAGGAUGGGGACAUGCCCCCUUGAAACUGGUUGAUUGCUAUGGCAAAAGUAAGGAGACUAGAGAUGUUAUAGAUGGAGGGAGGGAUGGUACCAGACAACCUAUUUGACUCUAAUGCAAAAUAUGAUAAUUUUGUCAGUUGGCCUAGAGAACUAGGAAUACCGCCCACCAAGUUAUUCGCACGUGCAGCAAAUGUUUCAAGACUAGAAAGGUUACCUAAAGGAGGAGGUAUGUAUCCUGUUAAAUUAUUAACUGUCAAACGUAGAUGCUUAAGCUUAGACAAAGAACUGACUUCUGGAGGAAUGUUACCUACCAGCAUGUUGUAACUAACAUCAAGAAUAAUGAGGUUGAAGCAUUUGUGUAUAUUGGCAGGGAUAAGACCGCUGAGUGAGUUGUUUUGUAGUCCUAAUAUCCGCAACCUCUGCAACUGCCCAAUUUCUAGAGGAAUUUUGUUGGUGAGGCUAUUGUUAUAGAGGCGUAGAUCCCUUAGGAAGCUCAAGUUUCCUAUGUGAGGAGAUAUGGACCCGGACAACUUCAGGGAGCCAAGGUCCAACUUAGUGACCCUCUGAAGAUGGCGUCGGCUACAGGUGACACCAUACCACAUGCAAAAAUGAGUGGACUCAUUCCACGAGCUCAUGACCGGCCGAUCAGGAUCUUGGUGUAUUUGAGCUUUAAUGGAAAGCAAUGCCAGCCGAUCCGUCUCGUUUCCUCGUCCCAGCCCCAACCGAUUAUUGUCCAUGGUUGAGGCCAUGGAGUCACAGCAACAACCAAAAGCAAAGAAUGCUAGUGCUAGUGCUAGUGCAUUGGAAAGUAAGUAGGAUGAGGUGAUUUUCAUAUCCAAAAUCAACAACAUUUUGAAUCGGAUACCGGGUUGUGAAGAUUUGUAAGCUGCAUUUGAGGUCUUACACAACUAGCUUAAUUAUAGGGUCGGACAUACAUCUGAACCCAGUUAUUUGGUUUGUUGACAGUUUGAAGCAACAGACGAUCAAGACUGACUUUACUUGCUUCCAAUGGUAGACGAAAGUCUAGUCUUUGCUUGAAAUUCCAACCCGUGGUAGACGAAAUUAUAUAUCGCAAUAAAUGAGACAGUUGAUAUGUGGCAUCAAAUUCCAACCCCGUGGAAAUUUGAAGACAUAUAUAUGAUUAUGACUAGGCCAGGUCCUCUGAUCAGCACAGCACAGCACUGAAGAAGACGACCGUGCUUGAUCAUAUAUGAUUAGCAAAAAGCAUUUGCUAAAUAUUCUCAUCAGAACAUAAUUUUGAAACUGAUCGAUGAUCAAAAUAUACAGUAUUUUUGAUUUUUUGAUGAGCAGUAGAAUUACUUGGGGGUGACGUACUCAUACCAAGGAACUAUGUAUAUUCUGCAAUUGACUGCUUCAAACCUUCCUUCUGCUUCCAUCAUAGAUUGAUGAACUCCACACACACACAAAAACUCUACUCUGUCAAUCCAUACAGCUCUUCUCUUUUGCGCGCUUGCUCAGACUCAUCCCCUCUGCGUCGUCGUUUUAUGUUUUUAUUUUUUAUUUUUUAUUUCUUAAAUGGACUGACCACCAUGCCUAGGCCCAACCAACAUAGCUACCGCCUAACCCGCAUUGGCCCAAUCCGCCUAUGCGACCACAAAUUUUAUGACUGUGCGUCGACAUGUCGUUCACUCUCACUCGCACAGAAAAGUUUCUUGAUGGAGUUUCUCUCCUUGUUAUGCUGAUUAAUUAACUGCGGCAUUGUGGACUACUUGGGGAUGACUCGUAGCAAGGAAAGAUGUAUAUGCUGCAGUUGUCUUCUUGAAACCUUCCUUCUGCAUCCAUCAUAGAUUGAUGAACUCCAAAGAUAGCUCUACUCUCUAUCAAUACAUAUGCCUCUGGAGUACGUUGUGUAUGUUUCAGACUUUCAGUACGUGCCAAUUUUAUGUAUUCAGAGUGAAUCAAGUUCACCAAUAUACUUAGGUAUAUAGUCAGUGAAAAUUUGUAUACAGUAUACUGAGGUGAUAUUUUCAUUAUUUGAAGAUUCUGCAGAAGUUUUUCUUCGAUAAAUAAGAUUUUGCGGAAGUUGCGAAACAAAUCUUUGUAAAAAGUUCAUUCUCCUGGAAUCAACGUAGUCUUGGUAUAAUAUAAGAAAUCAGUUCCUUGCAAAAAAAUAAUAAUAAUAAUAAUGAAAAAAAAAACAUAAAAAAGAUUCCGGUGCCAGGAGUUGAACCUGGAACUCUUUCACAAUGAGAGUUGCGCUACACCGGAUGAUUUGAUUCAAAUAGACUUCAAAAUAUAUUUAUGGGUCAUUAGUACUCUAUAGUGACUCAGCCUUCAAUCUUCAGCCCGAGCCCAACAAGCUUCCAGAACCUUCUCUUCCCUUCCUGACCCUUCCACACUCUCCUCUUCACCACUACAAAAACAACCCUCCAAAAUUUCCAGUCCACAUCCAAAGAAAUCUCUCACACUAUUUCCAAGCUCGCUUCUCACCUUUCAAUGGUUUCCUCCCUAGCUCUCCGGCGACUCCUCUCCUCCACUCUCCUCCCCAAAUCCUCCUCCGCCUUUCCCUCAAUCCCCGCCGCCAGGCUCUUCACCACCAACGCCACCCGCCGCUACGACUCCGACGACAGCGACGAAACCGACGUCGACUCCUACCGCCGCCCCCUCCCGCUCCGCCGCAACAACUUCUUCUCCGACGUGUUUGCUCCGUCGCCGUUCUCGGCGGGCCGGAACCUGAGCCAGGUGCUGAAUAUGGUGGACCAGAUCUCAGAGAAUCCCUUCCUCUCCGCCACGCGCCGAGGCUGGGACGCGCGUGAGACGGAGGAGGGUUUGCAUCUAAGGUUUGACAUGCCGGGGCUGGGGAAAGAGGACGUGAAGGUUUCGGUGGAGAAGGACAUUUUGGUGAUUAGAGGCGAAGGGGGACACGUGGAAGGAGAAGAGGAGCCGAGGAGGUACUCGACGGGGAUUCAGCUGCCGGAGAAGGUGUUUAAGACGGACGGCGUCAAGGCGGAGAUGAAGAACGGCGUGCUCAAGGUGGUUGUGCCGAAGAUUAAGGAGGAGGAGAGGAGUGAUGUGUUUCACGUGAGGGUUGAGUAGUGUUUAGGGGUCUGUACUACGUCGUUUUGAGGGUGUGUGAAUAAUUGUUGACUUUUGUUUUUGUUUUUGUUUUGUUAGCGAUGAGUUUUGACUCAGUUUGUUUUCCAAAGUCUCGUUGCCCAAAAAAGGGUUAAUUAAAAAUUCCAGGUUAUUUUAAUUUCAAAUAGAAAACAACUCCUAUCAAAGUUACAGGUUGUUUUCAUGAAUGAAUUAUGUGGGCCUUAAGCCUUGGGCCUUGGCUUUAAUAUCCGACUUUUGGUAGAGAUGAGAGAAAAGGACCAAACUUAGGUCGAAACUGAAGAUGUUGAGAUUGAUAAAAGAGGUAUCGUGUAUAGUUGGGUUGGAGUGGUAAGUGCCCAUAUACAAAUUCAAACAUCUAGGGGACGACAUUGGAGAGUCGAUGAAUGGUGCUUAGUUAGUCGUUUGUUUUCUUCACGAUGACAACAAAAGUUGUCAACAUGAAUGGCUAAAUGAACAAAGGGACAAGUAACUCGUGGAUAGUCGUAAUUGCAUGUAGCAUGUUCGACAUACCAAUCAAACCUCUUAAUGUCAGCCUACAACAAAUUCUGUCACUUUUACACAAAUAUAUGCUGUUAGAAGUAACCAAAUGAUAUGAUAUGAUACGAUAGGUUCGCCUAACCAAAAAUCUUUCUCAUAAAUAAACAAGAAGAUAAUGCAAAAAAUGAAACCACAUAUCCAUAAAUGAAAGAAUGGGAGAGAACAGAUUGAGGCCUAACAAUCAAUCAAUGAGAUAGUCCAAAGGCAACCAUUAAGCUCAAGGCCCCAAUAAAUACAGUGAUCCAAGAAAGGAAAUUUCCGAUCUCCUUCCUCAUGUCUAGCCGUGUGCGAGCAUAACUGGCCCAAAACGAGACGUCGACGACGGGUUCCAUACCGAGCCAUGCAUCUCGCGCCAGAUGGCGCCAAGAUAGCCCCAUCGUCUAUGACUCAUGCCACGUCAUUUAAACCGUGCGCCCACAUUGGCUCCUGGUGGGCCCCGUAUUCUCAGGGAGUAUAUACGAAUUAAGCUUGGCAUAAUUCCGUUCGGAUAUUCGGAUAUGCGAAUAUUCGUAAGAGACGUGCUCGCAGCAGUCCGACUUUGUACUUACCCGGCGGGCGCGUUGAAGGGCGUUUUGCUUCCGGUGGGUGCUGAAUUACGAUGUUGCCCACACUAAUCAUUAUAGUAAUGUUGAUUGGUUUUACCCAAUUGCCCUUUUAACCAGGCAGCUCUUGCACAGACCAACAUUUUUACUACCGGAGAUCAAAGAGAACGAUGGAAUCCGACAUCGCAUUAUAAAAAGUACAGUGUUGGUCCAUCAUGAGGAUCGAAAAGAUGUCUGUGGAGUUGGUCCAUCGCUCCAUUGCGCAGUGCCAUCUGAUUCAUGUGAAAGCACAGUGACCAUUAUUUAACCCAGCUAUCACUUCACAGUCCUCCUGGAUCAAACUAAUGAUGGAUGUCUUCCAAAAGUUAUUAAUCACAUAGAACACACAUUGCCUUCUUUCCAAGGGCAUGAUGUCCAUCCGCGCAUGCGCAGAUCCACGUCACAUUCGUGGAGACUGGAGACAGAGAAUCCGAGUUUAUACGCGGAUUUUCUAUCUCCACGGAUUAAACGUGAUAUUGUAAAUUGAAUAAGCGGCACUCGUCUUGAGUUUUUGAGAUUCCAAAGCGAACCAAAAGCUUGUGAGCUUGAUAACUCGUUGCAACAGAGUUUUAGGAGGCCACUUACUUGACCUAUUCUCAGAGCUAGCUUGCUGUGGAAGUGAAUGUUGUGUAGAACACCCAAGAUGUGCCUAUAAUAGACUUUUUGAGUAGAGACGUGCAUUGCUUCCCUGGAGAUCUGGCUUCGUCAAUUUGGACCCCAUGAGUUGGUGUUCUAGUUCCCAAGUCAUGUGGCUACCGGUUGUGUCUAAUCGUUUGACAUUAUAAUAAACCCUCCAUUAAUCAUAUGCCACAUACUGUAAUAGUGUAUUGUUAUGGCUAAACCAAUAGGUAUCAACUAAUUAAUCAUGUUUAACUUGUUGUUGGACGUAUAUAAAGCGAGACGGUAGCGUUGCACCAUAGUCAACAUAGAUAGGAGAUCAUGCCUUGUAUUCAACUGAUAUGCUUUGAGAAACUAUCACUAAAUCACAUGAGAGCCAUGAGAAUAUUGCAGAAAGUGGAUGAGGAAAACUAUAAACCAGAACAGAUAUCAUUCCAUUUUUCGUUUAAAAUUUUAACAAAUUUACAAUAUAAAAAAAUGUUCUAUUUAUUUCUAACAUUUCUUUAAAUAUAGCCGAAAAUGUACAAUAAUUAUUCGAAGACUAUGCUCGAUCAAAGUAUUGCUACUUUAGUGUUAUAUUGUUAUCUCAGGCUCAGACUACGUAGUUUUCCUUGUCAGACGAUAAGACCGGUUAUGAUUAAGUUUAAAAAAAUACACAUCUUUGGUACUUGCUUGGGUUCGUGAUUGGAAGCAUAUUUGGUUGGAAGUUGACUCAUCUUUGGUACUUGAUUAUAUUCGCAGACCUUCUCUUGUUCCUUGGCCUCUUCGAGUUCGUUGGUUGAAUUGCUUAUACCGAAUCUCUAAAAUGAAUUUCAAGGCUACUCAUAUUUUUCGUGAAGGGAAUAAGAUAGCUGAUGCUCUGGCAAAUCAAGGUACGUCAUGCUCUGAAUUGAUAUGGUAGGAUGAGCCUCCACCUUUCAUAUUAUUGUCUUAUAAUAACGAUGUUAGAGGUAUGCCUCAAUUUCGUUUCAGCUAGUCUGUCAUUUGUUUUAGGAGGUUUUGGUUUUGAUCCCCCUCCUUUGUUUCUUUUUUCUUUUAUUAAUAACAUAGAGUGAUAGGUGAUUAUUCGCCUAUCCUCGAUCAUUAACCAAAAAAAAAAAAAAGUUUAAAAAAAUACACAUUAAUACGACUCGAUUACGCGCGUCUUAAAAAUCAGACGUGUUUCUUUAUAGUUGUCCCAAGUAUUUAUUCUAACAAUAAUAAUAGAGCCCAAAAUUAAAAUAAUACCAAGCAUCAACAACAAAAUUUUCAAAAAUCAUGAAACUUGUCCCCUAUUCAUCAAUGCAUCACCAAGCAAGGGCAUUUUCGUCAUACCAGUGCAGCCUCCCUACAUUCACCGAGAAGGCACGAGAACGGAAAUAUUGGGCAAUACGGGAAUUUCAAAGCAUAAAAAUAUUAAAUACCAUUACCGGUGAGCAUAAAAGAAUCACGUUGCUGCCUCCUAGCUUUGCGCCUUUAGAGCUUUGAAAGUUGAAACAGAUACCAGUUCUUCUGUCUUUCUUUUUCUCAGCAACCUACCCUUCCAUUCCAACCAAACCAGAAAAUUUAGAGACGAAUUUAUACACCUAACCCAAAUACAAUAUCCGAACCCCAGUUUUAGUCGAGCUCACUCUAGCUCAUUUCAAGCUUUACCCAAUGGUAUGUUUCUUUGCUUUGUAAUUGUCACCUGAAAGUUUCUUACUUUUUUGACCAGUUUUGGUUCUAGUUCCAUCUCCUUCAUCACUCUUUAUUACGACUCCUCUUUGGCUUUUAAUUCUGUCAAAGCGGGAAUAUUGUAACUGUUCAUGUAUCUAAUUCUUCUGGGAAACUGAUUUCUAGACUUUUUGACCGUUCUGUUUUCCUCUGUUUUUUCACCCCUUUUAAUCUUUGGUGGGUUCUGUUUUUCUUCCCAGUAAUGAUCUCUGACCUGAAAAUUAUUUGAUUUUGGCUAGAUGUAUCAGAGUGCUAGUUUUGAUUCUUGAAAAAUAUCAGCUCUUUUUUUGUCCUCUCAAACUUUGGAAAGUGUGAGCUGCUGAUUGUAUUGUUUGUCGUAUUGGAUUACAUAAAUGUUCUUUCUAUUUCUGGUGCAAGCUGGUAAAUCAUUUUGAUUUUUGAAUUUUUAAUUUCGUAGUAUGUUGGAUUGCACUCUCAUCUUUUAUGAUUCUCCAUUUGCAGCUUGAGAGUGCAAAUCAAUACAUGGGAUCAAUGGAAGAGCCAUCACCUGAGACAAAUUACACCAAGCCCUUGGGGAUCCGAUUCAUAGAGUACAUAAAAAGAUCGAAUAUUUCAUACAAAACCCACCAAGUUAUUGUUUUGAUUGUUACUUUUAUAGCCUAUGCAAGCUACCAUGCUGCCAGGAAGACCACUAGUGUGGUCAAGAGUACUCUUGAUCCUGCUUCUGAUGAGGUCAGCCUGAAUUCCUUGCCAUGGAGAAGAAGACCCUUUUCUUGGAUUCUUGGGGAUGGAUGGGCACCAUUUGAUGGAUCAGAUGGAACAGUCUUGCUUGGGGAAAUUGAUGUAGCUUUUCUAGCUGUUUAUGCUAUAGGAAUGUACUUUUCUGGUCAUUUGGGGGAUAGAAUAAACUUGAGGAUUUUCUUGACUAUAGGAAUGGUGGGAACAGGUGUGUUUACUUCACUGUUUGGAAUUGGGUAUUGGGGAAGCAUUCACAGCUUCUAUUACUAUCUUGCGGUUCAAAUGCUUGCGGGUUUGUUCCAAUCGACAGGGUGGCCUUCGGUGGUUGCAGUGGUUGGUAAUUGGUUUGGGAAGAAGAAGAGAGGGUUGAUAAUGGGGAUAUGGAAUGCCCAUACUUCUGUUGGGAACAUUACUGGGUCUUUGGUUGCUUCUGCCCUACUGCAAUAUGGAUGGGGUUGGUCUUUUGUAGUGCCGGGUUUGAUGAUUGCGACAAUUGGUUUGGUUGUUUUUCUGUUUUUGCCUGUUACUCCUGAGUCUGUGGGAGUUAGUGAAGAGGAUGAAUCGGAUUCUCCGAAGAAAAGUGGGGCGGAAGUGACUUCACCAUUGUUGAUAUCAUCAAGGGCAGAGGUGAAGGAUCAGCCUGUGGGGUUCAUUGAAGCUUGGAAAAUUCCUGGUGUUGCUCCUUUUGCUCUUUGCCUGUUCUUUUCCAAAUUGGUGGCUUAUACAUUUCUCUAUUGGCUUCCUUUCUACAUUAGCCAUACAGGUAAUUUGAACACUUCCGUAUGUUGUUUUGGAUUUGUGAUUUGAUUUAUUGAACUUUGUUGUUGACUAACAUUUCAUUUUCACACAUAUUGCAGCUAUUGAUGGGCAGUACUUGUCAGAUGCAGCGGCUGGUAACUUGUCGACAUUGUUUGAUGUUGGAGGUGUGCUUGGAGGAAUCCUUGCGGGACAUAUUUCUGACCGGUUGGAUGCUAGAGCGAUAACAGCUGCUAGUUUCAUGUAUUGCGCUAUCCCUGCUCUCUUUUUCUACCGGAGCUAUGGGAGCAUAUCUUUAACUGCAAACGUUAUCCUUAUGUUCAUCACCGGCAUGUUUGUUAACGGGCCAUAUGCUCUAAUAACAACGGCCGUCUCAGCAGACCUGGGAACUCAUAGCUCAUUGCGUGGAAACUCAAGGGCAUUGGCAACUGUAACUGCUAUUAUUGAUGGAACAGGUUCUGUAGGGGCUGCAAUUGGUCCAUUGUUAACUGGCUACAUUUCUGCCAAGAGCUGGAGUGCAGUUUUCACAAUGUUGAUGGGAGCAGCUCUAAUUGCAGGGUUGCUUCUAACAAGGCUUGUUGUAGCCGAAGUGACUGCAAAGAUCGAAGAAUCAAGAUCACGCAGGGGGUCUACGUCAAGGUCUCAACCUGCAGUGAUUGAUGUGUGAUUUUAGUGGUUUUCAUUUCCAUUGUAUCCACAAGUUCUGCUUCAAAGCUCGGAGUUCCUGCUCAUCAUAUUAAAUAGGAGGAGGACCUCUAUUAGGGAUAAAGGAGAUGAUUUUCUUAAACCUUCUCCAUAUUGUUAGAUAAAGGGGUGGGGUGAUUAGUGUUGUGGCUUUGUAAUAUAUAUGUGUAAUUGUGUAUACAUUUUUUGUAUGUCUUGUGAUAUUAAUCACAGCAUGAUUCAUAUUCAGAUUGGUGACAAUCUCACCAGAAAAUUGAAUUUCUCUUUGUUCCUCUUCUUCUCUGUUCUUACCAUCUUCAUACCAACUCUGCUUCAUUCUUUUCGGGCGAUCAAACUGGAAAUGAUUCAACACGAAACGGAUUAGGGGAGCCGGUGAAACUUGUAAUUCUCCAGUAACCAAACACAUGCAGGGGUGACAAACGUGAUGAAAACUGCUGCUACUUUCAGAUUUGAUGAGGAUCUCCACUCCAAUUUAUGGUAAAGGAUCCAAAAUGAACAAUGCAAUGAAACUACCGAGGCUAGAAUACUGUUGCAUGUUAAGAUAUGGCACGGUUCAUGUCGAUAUCUUGUCGCUAAGCGAUGACGAUGACCACCAAAAUAGAAAGGAAAGCAGCUCCGAUCCUUUUCAAUUUGGCAUAAUCUAAUCCAAUGUAGGCAACGUAAGAAACUUCCUUUCUUGUUUGUGUGCUAUUCCAAUGGACCACUUAAAUCCUCACUUUGAGGCUUUGAGCAAUUGAGCAAUUGAGCUUGUGGGACAACUAAAGAAGUGGAAUGUAGGUUCAGUGCCAAAACUCUUUGAGCACCUGAGUGCUUGGCCCUGCGGCCACCAAAACGAAUGGUGCAAAACAGAGGCUUUUUGCUCCAAAACAUGAAGAGUAUUGGUUUGAAUCUGGGUUUCAAAAGUAAAGGGUAAAAGACAAGGACUUUAAUUUGGAAAUGCCAGCAUUCAGCAUCAGCUGUGACUCGGAUUGUUCAUAUUCAAAAUUGGUUGGUGGUCUUUCUUAACAAAGCUUGGAGAUGCCGACUACAUUGUCUGGUGCUAAAGCCUCCUCGGUUACGGCAUAUUUUGUUUCCUUCUCUGUUUUCUAAUCCACGUCCUUUGUUUACUUGCAAGUUCGCCUAGUUCCAAUGUACAGGGAAACAAGACCAAUUCCCAAGUAAGGUUAGGGGAGGAUUCGGUUUUACUAAAAGGAGUGACACUGAAGCAUUACAUUUCAACACAUUAUAACACUUGCACGCCACUUUGAGCAAGUCGUACGCACUUUUGUAUAGCUAGCUAGACAUAUUAACCGAUUACACUCGACAUUUGAUUGUGGAAUCCGAUAGUGUAGGGAUUUCGCCGCACCUGAUCCUAAAGUUGAAAGGAACCCUCUUCCCAGUCGUUGCAUAUGACAUCUUUUGGUGCAUUGUAAAAUGGCACUAAAGAGUGGGGAGGACCAUUGCUGAAGAAGGAAAGAAUAUCCAAGGUGAUGCUAGUGUUAGUGGUUACGGCAAUUGCCAGAAAAAUGGAUGGAGACAACAAAGGUGACGCUCUUCUGUUUUGCUUGGACGUUUUCUUCCUCAUCCACCAAGCGUGCUUAAACAAUGAAAUUGUACAUAAAGAAUUCUUCUUAAGCUAAUCAAUCUGAUUCCAUUUCUUACUGACCACAUAUCUAGAUACUAACCACUGCCCUUUCACUAAAUUAUUUAAGCACUAAGAGUAAAGUAAUGACCUGCUUUAUUAUUUACUAAUGAGAUUCCAAUUAUGCAUCAACCACAAACAAGAUACCGAGUCUCGGAUCACCAAUUUAAAAGUGUUUAUGACCUAAUCAGACUGUGUUGGGUUCGCUUUCAAAGUUCAGGGAUGAAUAAUGCCUUCACCAGAUUACCUUAGAACUAGAAAAACCAAUAUGUGACGCUGACCACUGGGCUGAACAGGGCUGUAAGUCACACAAAGGACACACAUUUUAAGACUUUAAGCUCACAGAACAAGAUGCCUAAAAGUCCUCUUCUAGAUGUUAUCCAGCCCAAGAGUGCUCAUACGGUCAUACCUCAUACAAGUGACUCCACCAAAUGCAAAUGUAUUAGACUCUACCAGGUCAUCAAACACUACAUACAACAACUUACCAGAUACUAACUAACUGUGUCAACUUUUCAAUCAUCUUUAUAGCUUGAGCCUAUCAUGACAUUCCCCUCAGGAGUCAGGGACAUGUAAAUUCAGUUAUUUAUACACUACCAAAUGAAAUGUAGUCACUAGUGAGAUGUUGGCUAGGUUUCAUGCCUAAAACUCUGGAAGCAGUGUCCAACUUCAGUCUUGUACCAAUACACGGGGGUUAAUAAACUUAAGCAAACAUAUUGGACCUAGCAAGAGAGCCAUCAAUGAAGAUAUACACUAAAACAUUCAGAAAAUGCCUCGACUUACAUGAUGCUUAGCAAUGGAUAAAGCAUUAACAAUUUAGAACACAUCAGAUAAAAUAUAAAGUGUCACAGUACACCUUAAAAAUAGAUAAACCCCACUGAUAACUCAGAAUAAUCGAGUCAGCUGAUGUGCACUUCAGAAACUCAUAAGCAGAGAUGAACUGCUCCAUACUUGUUAAGUUGAUCAAAGGAAAUAAGAUCAAUCAAACCAAAAGGACCCUUCUUAACAUCAACUGAGUUAAUGAAGCACAUAUAAAUCGAUUUCCACAAGUCAAAACUCUGUUUUGGAUAUCAGUCUACCUCUCAUCAUUAAACAUUAACAAUACUCAUGCCCGAAUUCUAAGCAUGAUUUGGAAUUGUGACUCAAAUAGCAUCGGCUUACAAUCACGGGAAGUCACAGCGCAGCGUACAAGCAUAUACUACUUCUCUAAGGCAAAAUCUAACUGAUUACAUACCAUGAAGCUAAAAGGCACAUGUUUUUUCACGAUAAAAUCUGUUCUACAGAUAACAUUCGUGCACAAAUCUGAUUUCCGAGUCACUACCCACUUUUCAUACUAAAAAGACUAAACUCUAACUACUGACUACCCACUUUUCAAAGCGAUUCACAAAGCAUCUCCAAUCCAAAAUACCAGUUUUUCAUUCAAAACCUCAUAUCCAGCUACCAAACACAUAAUGCAACUAAUCACAUGCAGAGCAGACACAAUCACAAAACUACUCCAAAGCCUUUCAUUAGCAGUAAACAAGACCAAAAAUUUUCACUUGACAGUAAACCUGAAUCCUCAAAGUAACAAAACCAUCACAAAUUAUAUUACUUUUUGUUUUACUAAUAUCUCUUUCAUCAACUAAAAACAAUUAAUUAGGAAUCUCCCAAAAUCAGAACCUGGGUUUUGAAACUCCGUCAAUCCUCCGAUCCUAGUCCUCGUCUUUCUUCUUGGGUUUGCGGUACUUCUCCUCGAUUUGCUUGGCCAUGAAUACGGCAGUGUCGGCGAGCUUCUUGAUGUUCGGAACGGCGUAGUUUUGGGCUAGGUAGACUCCGGUGAACCCGCCCAGUAUGAAGGAGAACGAGCUCUUUAUGAUCCCCAUUCGAUUCUUCCAAGCACAUAAGCCCUGCGAUUUCUAGGGUUUUUGGAUUUUGAAAACUCUGGGUUUUUAUGGGGACCAAUUUGGGCUCUCCGAUCUUCUGGAAAUUUUGGCCCUCUUCUUUUCGGCUUUUCCUACAAGAAAGGUAAUACUUGUGAAAUGACUCAAAUGUCCUUAUUAUUCCCACCAUCUUUUUUAUUUUUGUGAAGCAUAAAUAUUUGCUAAUGUUUUAUGCUUGUUUUUAUUUUUUUGUAGCUACGCUAGUUAUGGAGAUCAACAAUAUUGAUGUGAGUACUCUAGUACUCUAGGAAAUGUGUUGUGGUGGUCCUAGAUUAGAUCAGCAAUCAUAUUUCAAAUAAUAAUUUGUUCUCCAACAAAUUUGAUGUAUUUGAAUACAACAUACAAUAUUUAAAAUAAAGUGUUUUGAGACAAGUGAGAAUAUCACUAAUAACAAUCAAAAAAGGGUAAUCAUAUUUUUAUAUCGUAAUUUACCUCCAUCGAUCACUUACAAACUAUACAAUUCAGUCAUGUACAACUAAUGUUACAUCUCUCGUAAAUUUUGGUUCUUGAACCAAUGUUAAACGUUUCAUACAAAACACAUUUUUUGAUCAAUUCAUACAAAACAAAUGAUAGUACAUUUGAAAUUUAAAUAUUAUUUACUUAUACGAAAUGUUUUACCGAGAUGAAUCAACAUGUUUAAAGAUUUUUGAGACCACUUUUGUUAUGAUUUUAGAUAUAAAAAGUACAUUAUACAUGUUCAUCUAAUUAUGCAUUAUUCAAUGUAGUUUCAAACAAAAAAUCUAAUUACGUAUCAUUUUGUUGUUCUUUGUUAGGUGUCAGAUAUAUCAUUAAAUAGUCGUUAAGAAUUUGGGGAUCUUGCUCUGUGCUUUCCCCUGAGCUCAAAACUUGACUCGUCCAAAAUAUAAAAACCAGAGCACAAAAAAAAAAAGUCAAACAAAAUAUAAAAAAAAUAAAAACCCCAUCUCUGUCUUUCUCUCUGCGAAAAAAUUGCGACGCGCGUGGAAAUUGCAGAGCCUUCCCCCCACCGACGCUACAGCGUCAGCGUCGUCUCUCAGCUCAUCUCAGGUUCCCCCCAUUCCUUUCAAUUUCCUCUCCUUCCUUUUUCAAUUCAUUCAAAAUCGAAACUCACGCUUCAAUUUCGCCUCGAUUCUUCAAAUUUUCAAUUCGAACAGUUUCGGUCAAAAUUUGACGCCUGAUAGGAAUUAGCUCUGUUUUGAUCGGAUUCAGGUCUCGAAAAUCAACUUGAUCAUCGAUUCCGUCGAAGUUUUGUUCAUGAUUUUGAUUUCGAUCGCCACGGAUCAUAUUUUUUUGGAUUAAUUUCACUAAAUUUGUAGCUUAAGGAGCAUUUUGAUAGUUAGCAUUCUUGAUGUUAAUGUAUCUGUUAGGCUGAUUCAGUGAAAUGGGGCUUAUUUGCAGGCUAAUCGGGGUUUCGAUCAUUUGUGUGGAAAUUUUUGGAGUUUGGUGAGGUUUUGAAGCUGAAUUGAAGUCGUGUGGGAUCAUGAUAAUGAUAAUUCAGUGGUGAUGAGAAUUGAGGAGUUGGAGUUUAGUAAAGACACUGGAUUAUGUUACCGAUGGGGUUGCGGUAUAUAGCCAUAUCUGUGGUGUGUACAGCGUUGAGCUUUGCUGGUCUACAGUUUUGGACCGAGACGUCGCUGGUUAAACUAAAAUCGGAUGGACUCCUUGCGGAGAAUUUGAUUCCAGCGGCCAAUGUUGGCCAUGUUGUUGAUCUGCUUUUGGGAUCCUAUGCUACUGUUGCGCUGCUGGCAAAUUUUGUACUCAAUGCGUUUAUUCUACUUGUUCUAUCUCUCAAGGUAAUUAGUUUCUACCGAAUUCUGAAACGUUUUGUGAUUUAGAGUUCGAUGGAUGCGUGAACUUUGUGCUUGUCAGAGGCUUUAUUCAAAUGUACAUCAUUGAACAUGAGUUCCUAUAGUUUCUUGGUCCUAGUCUUAAGCUCUUUGUGCUGGAUUUACAGCCUAUUGAAUUUCCCAUGAUAUUGCGUUUACCUUGUUUUGUUGUGUGGUUGUACCACUUUGGUGAUGGGAUGGCCAGUAAAGAAUUGCCACGCAUUGUCUUACAGAGAUGAUCAAUUUCUUUUGUGACACUGCAUGUAACCAGGAUUUAGAUACAAUUUUUAUGUCUGUUACUUAAAUGUGCAUACAAGAGUCUUAGGGCCUCUGAACCAUGUACUGCCACUGUUUGUCUUGGGUGAAUAUGAAUAUAUAUUGGUGAGGUUCUUGAUCACCAAAAUGCCUGUUAUUAAUUUGCAGACUAUAUUCUUCGGCGAGUUGUAUCCUUCUGAAACUCGAAAACUGUUCGAACGCCUUCUCAAUUAUAUAGUUUACAAGGCAAGUCUUUUGACUAGUGAUUUUCUUAUACAUCUGAAGUAAACUACACCUUCAAGCAUGUCCAUUUGAUUGACAACUUUUCUGGCUAGAUGAAUUCAGUAUCAGAUAAACAACAGUUACCAUCACAGAUUUUCCUCCAUGAAAUAUGUGUUGUUUAAUAAUGUCUUUGUGCUUGUGGCUAAAUGUCAAACAGGGUACAUUUCUACCUCUGGUUAUUCCUCCAACGAUAUAUCAUACAGGCUUGUGGUCAGUCUGGUUGAUUGUACUUUGUUCUUUAAAGGUAUAUGUUAAUAAGUAUGUAGAACAAGCUCUUUAGUUUCUCAUAAAAGAAAAAAAGCUGCUUAUUGUUUCAGUAUAAAAGUGUAACUUAUAUGCAUGUUAACUUGUACAGAUGUUUCAAGCUUUGGCUAGAGACCGGCUUGAACGCUUGAACGCAUCUCCCUCAGCUACACCAUUGACAUACUUUCGUGUGUAUUCAGUGUUGUUGUUUGUGUUCACCGUAGACAUUUUCUGGUAUUGCUUAGUUCCUCCUUUUGCUGUCUAUGUUUUGUUUAAAGCUGAGAAGCAAAAUGUAUUGCAUUAUAUCUUCUCAAACAUUAUCUGCUUUUUUUGUUGUUGGUGCUCGCAGGAUAAGGCUGUGUCUGAUGAUAUACAACACACUGGGUGUAUCUAUGUUUCUGUUGUUGUUAUUUGAGCCUUUCAGUAUUGGAUUUGAGACACUGCAGGUAAUGCUUUUAGAACAUUACUGGCAAGUUUUCAAUUUUAUUAUGUCAUUUAUGCAACUUUAUAACCCUAGUUGACGGGGUUGUUUGGUUCGUCACAAUUUUCUGUUAGGCUAUUUUGGUCCAUGGAUUUCAAUUACUUGAUAUAUGGCUCCACCAUUCAGCAUGGAACGAUGCAAAUUGUGAAAGAUCAAAAUUAUUUGAUACAUCAGCAACUGGUAAAUCUCACAUUAUUUUUUACAUAUUUAUACAUAUUUUUUAUCAUAUUUUAUGGAUGUAUACAUGCUUAGAGUUUUUAUUUACUAUUUUCAUGAUGGUUUCUAAGUGCAGGUUUGUUGUUGGAAUGGAAAGGGAGUCUUACUCGGAAUUUGGGUUUUGUCCUGGACAUGGCAACUUUGUUAAUGGCUCUUGGUCACUACGUGCAUAUUUGGUGGCUCCAUGGCAUGGCAUUCCAUUUUGUGGAUGCGAUCCUUUUUCUAAACAUACGUGUAAAUAUUUGUGUAAAUAUUUCAUUCUACAUCUAUUUAAUCAUCGGAAGAUCUUUAUGUGCUUGUUACUCCAUAUAAUCUUCUUCCUACUUAUGAGAUUCAUUAUUGAAAUUUGGGCAGGCCUUGCUAAGUGCAAUUAUAAAACGCAUAAAAGGGUUCAUGAAACUGAGAAAAGCAUUGGGUGCUCUCCAUGCAGCCCUUCCAGAUGCAACAUCUGACGAGCUACGAGCUUAUGAUGAUGAAUGUGCGAUCUGCAGGGUAUGCUGAGCUGUUUUAUUUUUUUUACUUUUUGAAUAUCGUUCAGUGUUUUUGAUACCCAUCACUUAUCGGAAAAUGUCAGGAACCUAUGGCCAAGGCUAAAAGACUACACUGCAGUCACCUAUUUCAUCUUCCAUGCUUGAGAUCUUGGUAUGGUUAUACUCUUAAACUGUGUGUUAUUUUCUUUGGUUUCUUUUUCUUUAUUUAGUGUUCAAGCGUGUGAUAAUCAAAAUGCUGAAAAUUAUUUAUAAUUCCAGGUUGGAUCAGGGUUUAAAUGAGGUAUAUUCUUGUCCGACUUGUCGCAAGCCACUGUUUGUAGGCAGAACUGAAAAUGAAGCACAUCCCCGCAAUGAAGAAACUUCGAAUGAUGAGCAGCUUGCUCGUCAAAUAAGUUCAGGACUUGAUAGACAAAAUAGUUCUGGACAUACACUCCCUACAGGUGUUUUCCCCAAUCAAACUCAAAACCCUGCAGAAGGUCCUUGGAGGUACACAUCCUUACUAAUGACAAUUACUUUCCUGCCAUUAAGUCCUUGUUGAAUAUCCUUUUUUGACGGAAUAAUUUUGAAAUUAUUUAUGCUCUAGGCAAAUGCUCUUAUAAUUUAUGGGAGAUGGACCUUUAUUUUGGGUUUCAACGGCCACUAACUCUAGAAUCAGGCUUGACACAUCUAUGUAUCCAAGUUUAAAUUGGGAAUUUUCAUCCGGGUGCUGUUGGUUACUAAUUAUCAUAUAUGGUUACAAUUAGAAGUUUGUGUGACCAAAGUAGUCCUCCUAGUGUUGUCGUAAAAACUAUUUUCUAUCUGUUAGGUUUUUUACAGGAAAAGAAUGAGUUGAAGGAUGAAUUCAACGUGCAAAGGAUUUUUAUUGUCUCUUACUGUUUAUAUUAUAUGAUUUUAUACAUAAACAUAACAUGUUUCUCCUUAUGCCCAUAGGACUGCAGGACUCGAUCCAAAUUGGUUGAACACCUGGCCAAGCCAAGGAGUUGAUGGGGCAGGUCCUUCUACUGCUAUAGGAUCUGUCGGACUGGGGAGAGUACAGAUGAUGAUGAGGCAUCUUGCCUCUGUUGGAGAAACCUAUGCCCAGACAGCACUUGAAGAUGGUGCAUGGAGUAUCUGGCCUAUGAAUCCAUCUCAAGCCACCGCAACUGGUCAACCCAUUCCUCCUGCUGGCGAUGGAAGAUACCCAGUAGGAACACGCAAUUUACAUAUGAGGUCACCUUCACGCACUGUGAAUGACAACAUAGCAAACAUACUUGCUAUGGCCGAGACAGUACGGGAAGUUUUGCCUCAUAUGCCCGAUGACAUAAUUUUCCAGGUACAGUUUUCCUGCAACAUGAUAUGAUCAUUGCGCUAUAUAUUACUCAAGGCAUGCAUUCACCAUCUAUAUCUUAUUUCAUUUUGCAGGAUUUGCAGCGGACAAAUUCUGUUACAGUUACUGUGAAUAAUCUUCUCCAAAUGUGACAAGGCGCUGUACUUAUCGUUUUUGUUGUAAUGUGUUCCGAGUACUCAAAGACUAGUUGAGGUCGCUCGCUCUGUGUAUAUAAAGGCUGCUCACCGAAUCACUUUUACCAAAGGAAGGAAAAAAGAGGCACAAGUAUAGUCUUUAUUUUUGUAAUCCCCCUGUGGAAAAAUAAAUUUGCUUUGUAUCAUUACAAUUUACAGAUGGAUAGGUUGUUAUUUUACCAUUUCGAUUUCGAUUUGGUUCCACCAGAUAACUUCAGUGCGUCAGUAAAUCUCCUGUGGUCUUGAUCAAUUAGACUUUGCAAUGUGAUUAUGUUGGUGUAAACUUUAGGGCAAGGUUGGGUUUGGGAAUGUGGAGGGUUGGAAACGGCGUCGUAAAAGACAUGAGCACCGGGGCAACCGAGAAUGCUGGGGUUGUAGAAGACAGGGGUGGGCUUUUUCGUCAAAGCACAAGUAGCGAUGCUCGUGAUGUCGGGCGAGGCCGUUAACAAAACAACAAAGGGAGUAGAGUCCUUCAAAGAGUCAAAGUCAACAAGCUGGAUAGCUUCACGUGUCAAAUCCUGAUUAAACCGACCCUAGUUUGUUCUUUCUGAUUUGACUUCUCCAUCUAAGAAUUUUUUGUUAAUUUGAAGAAUAUAUAAACCAACAAGUAAAUGAUGUAGAAUUUUAAGGGAUAUACAAGAGGUUUGAAACAAUUAGAUUAAGAAUAUAUAGAGCAUUCUUCACUUAGUAACCGGUUGAACAUAAUUAGAGUCGAAUUACUUGAAACAUGUUGAGAUUUGAACAUAUGUAAACGAGUUAAAUUUGUACAUCAGAAGUUAUCGUCUCCAAACUAAUGAGUAGAUCACACCUUUUUGUAUAGUCAACUGUGGAUCAUGUUUGGUUAAGCAAAGUCUACCAUGCCUAAAACAUCGAUCUCAAACACUUUGUUAGGUGAUAUAUACACUUAUACAGUGAACACGUGAACAUGAAUCUUAUGAAAUCUAUGUCACCGGCCAAUUGAUUAAUCUUAUUCAUCAUCAUCGAUCAUCCCCUAGGGUCAAUAUAGUGUAACAAUGUCCUCAAUUGUUGUCUCACUCUAGCCUGAAUUUGUUGAUAUGGUUUCCCAUUUUCACAGUGGAGGUCCUUAUCAACUAAUGGGGUAGUUAAUCCUGUCUAUAUCCUACAUUGACAAUGAAGCUUUUCUUACGGUCCCAUUUUACCAUUUUAUAUAUAUAUAUAUAUAUAUAUAUAUAUAUAUAUAUCUCUUNNNNNNNNNNNNNNNNNNNNNUCAUUUUGCUCACAAUUUAUAUACUAGUUCUUUGUAGUGAAGUGUAAUAUGUAAAUUUUUCUCAGGUUAAGUGUAGUGAGUAGAAACCAGGUGGUGCAAGAGACACGGAUCGACAAGCAUGAAAAUCCGACGGAAAAUUUGAUGAAGGUUUUCGAUACAAACAGAUAGGUACAAGCUUUCUCUCUAACUUCGUAAUCCUACAUGUGUAUUAUCUUUUGUGCAUUUCACUUUAGCCCUUUAUAGGGCACAAUUACAUACAUCUUGUCCCUCUUUCUUGAUCAAGUACUCGAUCACGUAAUUAGUAGUUUGUUACUUGCUCUGGACUUGACCACAUUCCCCUCGAAAUUUGAAUUUACAUCCAUGUAGUUCCAACAUCUUGGCAUAUUUUACUUGUAUAUAUAAAGCUUUUGGAGUGUAACAAGUUGAUUGUGUUGCAUGUUCAUUUUAACUACUUCGAGAUUAGCAUAUGUUCAUUAGUGUCUAAAAGAAGUGUUCCGCAUGCUGGCUAAUUGGGAUUUGGGGCCCUAAUGAAAACAUUUACUUGAUGGUAAAGCAAGCAAUGCCUUAAUUAGAAUGGAGUUGUACGUAUAUAGGAAUAAGCUUGGAGAAAAGGAUAACUUGGUGAAGGGACCGAUUUGCCUUUAAAAAGUUGACGGUAUUAACCUCAUAAGUGGUUUCAUAUAGCAAAACCCUAUCAGGUCGGGUUUAAAAUUUCGGACACCGUUUUGAUAUUUCACAAAAACAAUAAAGUUUAUAAUCGAACGAAAUAUAGACACUGUUUGAAUUAUUAGAUCGAGUUUAUAAUUUCAGACACUGUGUUUUGAUAUUUCAUAAAAGCAACAAAAUUCAUAAUCGAACGAAAUACAGACAAUGUUUGAAAGAUGAAUUGACGAGCACAGUGGAAAUGUUUGAUUAACUGACAAACACAUGGGAUGUGAUUGACUAAUCAAGCCUCGGUUCAGCAAAACCUAUAUUUUUCUCCAACUUUUUAGGCACACUCGAUUCUAAUAAAACUUUUUAGGCACAAAGUACAAUGCCGUAGUAGCCAGUGUACUACUGUUAGUUCAAAGAAGUUGGAAUUGGAGACGCUCAUCAUCUUCCGCAACUAAAGGAAAGCAUACAUAAGUCUUGAUUUGUUUAAUCUCAAUUCUUUUAUGAAUAGGAGGUAAAAAAAAUGAAGUUGUAGCAUAAUUUUCUCAUUCAUGUCUGGAGUCCUCGAACAUAUAUAUAUAUACUUCAAUUCCCUUGAAGCUUAAACUGUCUAUUGUGUUUUGCGUGGGAAAUUUAUAACCUGGACUUAGGGGGCCCUGGUUAAAGCUCUUUGUGGUAGACAGGUGAUCGACGACGAAAGCCAACCAAACAAAACCUUCGUUCUCCUUUCUCCUUCCACCAGUCUCAUCAAACUCACUGUUUCUGCAUGUGCUUGGGAUCACCAUAGCUCUCCAUCUAUCAAUUCUCAGUUUGAACUUAUUUGCAGUAGUUACAGAACAACAAGUAGUUCAAAUAACUCCAAAGAUAUUGUGCUUUCUAAUUCAACCCCUAGAUCGAGUACCUUCCAAUCCAUCAUGUCCAUCAUGUCUUCUCUUUUCUUCAUCAUUCUGUUUUUUGCUUCCAUGCAUGCAAAUUCUGAGGCUCGCUAUAUUGGACUUGGCCGCAGCAAUAAGGGUUUUAGCGCAGUGUUCCCUCAUCCAGACAAGGUUCGUUCUAUCCUAAUUAUUUCAAGUUCUCUCCUCUAUUUCCUUUGAGCUAUUAAACAUUGAUGUUCAGAACUCAGAAGCUUAUGCGCAUAUGUAAUGAAUAUAUUCAGGGUCAGUUUCUAGUUGUGGAGAAGUUGAGGCUUGGAAUGGAUUCGAGUACUAAAGGGUCAGUACUAGUUGAGCAGGAUGAUGAUCUAGCUGCUGAGCAGAAGGGUAAUGAUGGUGGAACAGUUUUCAGUAGUCCUACUACUACUAAAGGUAUGAAGGAUUACUCAAGAACUAGUACUACUACAAAAGCAGAUGUUGUUCCAGAUGUUAAGCCUCAUGUUAGAGCUUCUAUGUCUGUACCGCAACAGAAUAAAAAUCGCGACAAGAACAUCAACCAUGGUGACAAAACUAGUAGUAAUCCUGGGAUUUACUCCGACUAUUCAAGACCAAGAACGCGUCCUCCCUCCCACAACUGAACUCUAGCUCACUUAUCCGUGGAUCAUUACUUGGUUCCUUCUCUAAAUUAUAUAUAUACGAGUAUAUAACAUGUCAAACUAGCUUUCAUAUAAAAGUAUUUGCAGAAAAGAGCCUAGGAAGUUUAUCUGAUCCAUCUCUGAUCAGCACUCAGUUAUUUGCUAGUUGUCGAAUUGAACAUAAUUGUUCCCAGUUUUGUAAACGGACUACAAAUUAAUAACUAUGAUCUUCUUAUACAUGUCUGUUGUUGUUAUUGAUUGAUAGGGAUAAUGGAAUACGCAGGGAGUGAGAUUUUUGAGUCUUCUAGGUCUUCUUCUUCUGCUUACUUGGGUUUGCAUAAAGAUAAAGCAACAACUACUACCAAUGAGGUAACUAACUAUUCAUAUAUUCAAAUACAAAAGGCCUAGCUAGUUAAUCAUCCCGGAACCUAACAUUUGGUUAGAGCUAAUGCAACUCCAAAACUAUCUCUUUCAUUAUGUCCCUGCUCGACGGUGACAAGCGAAGGCAUAUGGAUUGUCUCUAUGCAAAAUAAUAUUUGAUGGGUAUGUGUUGCAAUUCAUUAACGCAAUAAUGCAUGCCAUAGAUUGGUCAUGUCUCAAAUGGAGUCGCACAGUAUGAGCAUGAAACCCACGGGGAAAAUCAUAACAAAAAUCUUUUUCACCAAAUUAAAACACAAAAUAUAACAAGAAAAGAUAUGGAAGGAUCGGGAUUGGAUAUAAACCACUGCAUCACCACGCUUUGAACUAAUUUGAUUCCAAAAACAGGAUUGGUAAUAUGUUCUCAUCACGUUCUGUGUUUGUAAACGUUGUAUGUAGGAAUCAAGAAGGAGAGGGCUAUAUGCUAAAGAUAGUCGACAGACAGCUUACAAAGUAGAAGAUGAUGAUGAUGGUGGUAUGGUGCUUGAAGAUUAUAAGCCACCACAUCAGACACCUCCCAUUCACAACAAAAGAACUUGAUCUAGUUGCAUGGUGAUGAUAUAUGUUGGAAGAGCAAUUAUAUGAAUACGGUUUUCGAACGGUGUAUACUACCUACAAAACAACGGGCGAGUCUAGCUACUUUCUUCAUCGUUGAUAUAAACUAGAAAUAAACGGAAAUGGGUAUUUUCUUGUUAUAUAUGCUACAAUCUCUUGGUUAAACCCUAAAAGAAAUUUCAUAUACUAACAUAUUCCAUAAUAAAGGAUACCAAAUUAACAUAUUCCAUAACAAAACAAACAAGAUUCAAUAAUACAAAAUUCAUUACCAAGAUCCAAAACGUAAAAUUAUAAUACAAUACCUCUCUAACUAUGGUAAUUCUAAGUAGGAGUAAGAAACUGUCCAUGUCCCUCGUAGCCAUCGUACUCAAGACUAUCCAUCGUCAGCAAAGCCAUUCCAAUCAGAAACCCACUCAUCACCACCGCCCAACAUAACUUCCGAAACCCUAAACCUUUACUCUGCUUUUCACUCUCUAUCAUAUCCACUUCAGCCCUAAUCUCCUUCUCUCCAUUCCCAUCCUCAACCCUAAACUCCUUCUCUUCAUUCCCAUCUUCAACAGAAGCGCCAUUGUGGGACGUCGUAUCAUCAAACAGUACAUAUUCUACCCGAUCAUGAAACUCAUCUUCAACUCGAUCAACAUCAACCUUUUCCUCAAACAACACAUUAUCAAACACCGUCACCAGCAUUGCUUUCUUCUCCUCAACCAAAUCCACACAAUCUCCUGUAUCUUGACCAAGCGUUGACUCAAGAUCAUCUGAAACAUCACCACCGUCCUGGAUACAAGACUCGCUGCAACCGGAACACUUCGACCCAUGGUCAUCAUCAUCCUCAUCACAAUCUCCAACAUUAUCGACAUGGUCGAUCGUCGAGACUGUCGUACCGGAACCAGUCCCCGAGCCGCGAUACACCGCCUCGAGUUCUCGAACUCUUUCGCACAUAUGCUCCAAGUAGUUCUGCUUCGUCGGAUGUGACGCCAUCUCCGCCGACAGAAGAUUCUUCACGAACGUCAAGCGCUGCUCGAUGUCUGCAUGGAUGAGUUGGAGACUUAGGUUAUCGAGUUGAUCAGAGAAGGCCUUGGUGAUUUGGCGGUCGAGUUCAUUGAUCUUCGUCGGCAAAACUGAAGACCUCUUCGUCGUCAUCGUUGAAGUCGACGUUAAUGUGUGUUCUCUCUGAAACAGAGGUUAGGGUUGUGAUAGUUCAUGACCGUGGCUUGGCGGUUACGUAGUUAUAGACUAGUACGUGACGACGUGACGGUUGAGAGUUGGGUACGUGAAACGGAAAGAGAAUUGGGAAAGUGGGUGUCAUGGGCCUCAGACCCACGCCUUAUUAGGAAAGGCCCAAUAUAAAUAAGCGGGCUAGGCGGAAUGGUGUCACCGCUAGGCUGUCGCUAGGUUAAUGGCCCGUGUGGGCUGCGGGUCCCACCUAAAUAAAAAGGGAAUAAAAGCUUUUAAGGCCCAAGAGAAAUAAACGGGCUAGGCGGAAUCGAGGCACCGCCGUUAGGGUAGUGGGCCUGUACGGGCUAAUAUCUAGGCGAAGUAAGCCUCACGUGGGGUCUCCGUCAGAAAGUCAGAAAAUCACGCACACGCACGUGGUCGGCACCAUUAAUUCCACUGAUCCCCAUACGCCUAGUCACCCACUGAGACUCUGCUCCUGUAAAUUCAUAACCCGGCGAGGGCAAACCCGUACCUUCGCACCCUUAAUUUACGCGGCGAAAUCCACAACCUUAUCCUCAGAACGCAGACACCCCAAAUCCAGAUACUGAAUUGCCACUUUUACCCCUCUGAUCAGCUUUUUCACCGGCCUUUACGCUCCUAAAUCUGUCGUCUUCCUCCUUUUUCACAUCUUUUAACCUCAGCUUUCAACAUCGCCAGAGAUCACAUCACCACCACCUCACUCAACAUUCCCCCAAAUCUAACGACUCGUUCCGUUUUGACUCACUGAGUUCGCACCGAGUUGAAACCAUGAGCUGGCUGAGGAGAAUCGAGCUCGUCGAGCCUUACUACUGCCCGCCGGCGUUUCUCCUCCGCGAGACCUCCAUUUUCGCCGCGCCGAAAUUCCCUCCGUUCUUCGAAGAGGACGACGAUUCCGAGCUCGGAUACGCCUUGGACCUGCUCUGCCCUAGCCCCGUCGUCAAACCGCCGUCGCUUUUGUCCUACAAGCUGAUUCAGCGCGUGGAGAAGCUCGGAAACGAGCUCUACUUGCAGAGCCUGAGCGACCGAGUCGCCGAGCUGGAGUCGCGGUUCGAUCGCCUCGCGAAGAUCAAGGCCGCCGCCGCCGGAGGCGAACGGAAGUACACGUACACGGCGGAGAUCAAGGCGCCGGAGAAGAAGUACAAGUGGACGACGGAGAUCAAGGAGGGGAAGCAUAAGAAGAGUGAGAGGAAGUACAAAUGGACUGCGGAGGUUGAAGGGAAAGGAGAGAUCUCCAGGAAGUACAUGUGGACGGCGGAGAGCGGCGGCGAUGCGGAGGAUCACUGUGAGAAGAAGGAGAAGGAUAAGAAGAAGAAGCAUCUUAAGGUGAAGAAGGGAGAGAGUGACACUCGUGUGGUUGAGAUUGAAGAGCUUGCAGCUGAUCAUGGGGCUGUGGUUCUAAGACAGGUAGUUCUUACUUCAACUUUAAUCACCGAAUUAAUUAGUUCUUGAAGUUAAUUAGUCAAGUUUGGAUAAUGUUACUGUUAAUUUUUGAAGCUAGUAAAUUGUUCACUGUAAAAUUUGAAGCGAUGUUGAAGUAGAGUAGUAUUGAAAAGCUUUAGUUUGAUGAGGGUUUUGUAAAUAUGUGUGAUGGUGGAUGUAGGCUUUUGCUAAGAGAAUUGGGGGGAGUAAAAUUGCUAAGGGGAAGAACAAGGAACUGUCUCCUCAGGAUGCAGCAAUGAUGAUACAAGGGAAUUUCAGGGCUUAUCUGAUCCGCCGAUCACAGGCUCUUCGAGCUCUUAGAGACCUGGCAGUUGCCAAGUCAAAGCUGAAGGAGCUGAGAGCAUUGUUCAAUAACUUCUCUUACCGCCGCCGGGUUGCGCAUGAUACAGCAGAGCGUCAAAGGUUCACUGAAAAGAUCAUUGUCCUGCUCCUCACUGUGGAUGCCAUUGAGGUAACUCGCAUGAUCUUUUGCUUUGUUUUAUAUUUCUGAACUUUGAUGGCAGUGAUUUUUGUUCCAUAUACCGUGGGAUUCUCAUUAUUUGAAUGGAUAAUGGCUGAAUCACUUCUUAUGCUCAUGUUAAUUUUUUUAUUCCAAAGGAUUGCACUUAAGCUCUUUACUGAAUCAACUGUUAGGAAUCUGCCCUCAAUACCUUUGUGAUUGCAGGAUAGGGGGACAAUGUUUCAUCUUUUUUGUAGGAAAGGGUGAUUGGGAGUAAAACUAGAAAAUCUAUUUUAGCAUUUCAGAUAUUAGAAUUUGAUGGAUUCUAGUUUCUAACUACAUUUUUGUUGCUAUAGAUCAUUUUAUAGUAGGAUUUGGAACUAUUCUGUGAUAAAACAAAUAGGCUCCAAGUGGUGAGAUAUAGUCGAACUCUUAUAAUAACAUAAAUUUGAUUCUUGGUUGAAAUGGAUGCAGAGAGAUUUCCGUGAUUUUUUAACAUUGUUAUUUCUGCUAUAAGAAUCUUAUUUGAACCGUAGGUGUGGUGUGUUUUUGAACUUUGUUUCAUCCAACUUCUGUUAUCGAGUCCAAAGGUGUGUACCAUUAAUGGGUUUUAAUACAAAAAACUCCCUACAGGAAAACCUGCCAUGAAUCUCAUGUUGACUAUUUUUUUUGAAAAAAGAUGUUAAUCAACCAUUUCUUUAUCUUCUUACUCUGAGGAAGGAAGUUCAAUUGGUUCUAAACUCUAGGAAGCCGUCAUAAGUUACGAAACUUACUGUCUCAUUGGCCGACGUGUAAAAUUUCUUGUUUUCACCCAGUUGACCUCAUGAUUAAAGCAAUCAAAAGUUACUAAAUGGUUUCAACACUUCGCAUUGUAUUAGGGUGCUGAUGUAAUGGUGCGAUCUGCAAAGAGGUCGAUGGUGGAUGAGCUGGAAGCAAUGCUUGAAGUGGUUGAUCCCCAACCAGCUGGAAAAUCAUUGUCCAUGAGGAGGAGGACCUUUGAUAUGCCAGAUGGUGUCAUUCAAAGGGAGAUCGCUGAAGGUGUGGCACAGGUUGUCCAAAUGCUUGAUCGUGAAGAGAACAGUUCUACCUUUGAGGCAUGUUUGUGAGAACUCCAUGCUUCUGUGACUGUAUACCUCUCUUUGCAGAGAUUGCAAUGUUGUAGUUGUUACUAGAAGCUGUAGUCUAGUUGAGGAACUUGAAGGACUUGCUUGUUAUGAGAGUGUAAGUUUGUUUAAGACUUGGCAUGAUCUUCUUCUACACUAGCAACUCUGGGUUUGGAAUUGAUUUCCAACUCAUUGUGUGCUUAGACUUGUAUCUUUGAAGUGCUGCCUUAUUUAUAUAUUAGUUCACACUUGGUUUUCAAAUUCUACUAUGUUGUGGAUUUCUUUGCACAAUCAGAGUUAUAUCGCUGGAUGUUGGCUUUCCCAUCCGGCGCGGAACUCUGGAUUCUGGAACGUAUCUUAUGACUUGUGUUUUGAUGGUUUUAUGUCCUUGAUUCCGAACUAAUGCAUCGCAUACCUUCAUCAUCAUUGUGGGAAGUCAAAUCUCGAGAGAGGAGGUGCUCCCAUGCCCGAGCAUAGAACUCUUGACCUCCGUACCUUUUAUUUGCAGUGGACCUUGUAUGCUAUUGAGUUCAAAUUUUAGCAUUGAAAAUGGGCAACUAUCGUAUCUCCAGUUUCACAGGAUCAUAUUACCAAAUGUUGAACUAGAUGAAUCUGAUCAGAUAAAACCGAUACCUAAUGUAUUGUCAAGCUAAGAAGAUUAUCCUAAAUCUGACUCCCUAAUAACAACUAAUUUUGUUAUUACUAACGUAUCUAACACUUUAUAAUAAGUUUAUGUCAUACAACACCAAAUCCUCCGAAGUCCAAACCUAUGCCCAAAACCGUCUCCUCCUUCCUCUCACCCUUCACCCUCACUAUCCCCAACCACCACACCAACCCUUCUCUCAUCCUCUGCCGAUUCUCUCCGGGCCACCCGAAACCGCCGCACCCGGAGCCCCGCUUACUCGAACCCGAAGGAUGUGUUGUCCUUUUAAACAUUUGUAAUCUAAACUGGAAAGUGGCAUGACCCAAUCUGGUUCUCUAUGAAUGUUUCCUAGGUUGCUUUCAACAGGGAAGUUCGUACCCCUAGUGUCACUCUUGAAGGCGAUAUCUUUCAGCCCAGUGGUCUUUUGACUGGUGGAAGCCGCAAGUAAGCCACUAUUCUUUUUCCUCCAGUUCAGAUUGCAUGUACUUGUGUUGUCCUUAUCAUUUAUCAAUUCAAAGUACAUAUACUUCUAGCUAGUUUUCCUUCUUAAGCAAUCAUUUCCUGUGACAGGGGUGGGGGUGAUCUGUUAAGGCAGCUUCAUGAGCUGGCUGAAGCUGAGCUAAAACUCUCUGAGCAUCAGAAAAGGUUGACUGAGAUUGAAGCUAAGGUUGCCUAUGAAAUCUUAUUUUCUCUCAAUAAGAUACUGAAAUUCCAUAUUACACUAGGCAAUUGACAAUUCAUAUUGUGGCUGUUUUACAUGUCAUUGGGAACUUCAUUUCCAUAGUAAUUUCAUCAAUGUAUUACUAUUUGCAGAUAAGAGAGAUUCAACCUCUUCACAAGAAGUUCGUGGAGCUUAAACAACAGUUAGAACUCAAAUCAUAUGACCUUAAAUUAUUUCAGGGCAGGGCUGAACAAAAUGAGCAUCAUAAGGUUUUGUCACGUUUCUUUUCUCUUUUAGCAUACUCAGUUGCUGAACUAUGCUGCGGACUGUGUUUACUGGUUCAUUUAUGACAUGAAUCCUAAUUUUUUUAUUCUGCUAUGUAGCUUGGUGAAUUAGUAAAGAGGAUUGAGCUAGAGCUACAAGAAGCUAAUACUGCAGCCAAAGAAAAGAAACUUUUGCAUGAAGAUUGUAUGAAUAAAGUGUCAUUUCUUGAGAAAUCAAUCAAAGAGCAUGCCAACAGUCGGGAGGGAAGGCUGAAAGAUUUGGAAAAGAAGAUCAAAGAGACAAAAGCUCUACUCCAGUCAGCUUCAAAGGAUCUCAAGGUAAGUUUUAUUAUUGCUGAGAUUUAAUAGAAAUAUCGUCCAUGGGAUCUCAUUGAGCUUACUUUAUUUGAAACAACUUGUUUGAUGAUGUUCAUUGUUAGAUAGUGGAUCUUAUGAUCGUUCGGCUGGCGUGCUGAAACCACCUAUCGAAUUUUGGAUCUCAUACUAUUAAAAGUGUAAUUCCUAAAAGAAUUUCUAUGUUCGACAUCUUUAUAUAUAAAACAAAAUUAAAAAUAAACUUAGUUAUGAAUAUCAUUAAGUCUUUUGCUUUCUAAUCCAAUUUACAUAACUUUGUUAUGGAAAAAUAAACUGCACGAGAGUUGUUUAACUAAGAUGCUCCCUCCGUAAUUGAAACAUCCAGGAAAGAAGUAAAAGAUUAGCAUUUUGGAAGAUGUCUGCCAAUGUUAUUUAGAAGUCUUCAUGUGGCUAAUUCUGUUUGGAAACUGCUCCAGUUUCUGGGUUGAUUAUUAUUGUCUGAUUCCACAUCAGCUCUUUAAUUUUUGUGUGAUAUGAUUUUACUGACUGAUAGGGACAUGAAAAUGAAAAGGAGAAGCUUAUUAUGGAAAAGGAUGUUGUUUUAAAAGAGCUUGCAUCUUUGGAGCUCAGUUGUCUUCUUUGAGAGCACAAAUUGAUGGACUCAUUUCAGAAGUAGAAGAACAGAAAGAGAAGGUAAAAACUCUGAUACUGUUUUUGAUUCAUAUUUUGUUCAUUUCAAUUGUAGCUUUGGGUUGAACACAAGUUGCUUCUUUGCUAUUUUAUCAAGUAUAACUUGUUUUGAUUUGUCGAACUUUUCUCUUUUGGUUCAGAUGUUUUACUUUACCAUGGUGAAUGAUCCUUUCCUGUGAGGGCUUAUCUAUCUUCAACAUAUGUAUGAGAAACUCCUUGUUUGUCUACAUGUGUUAGAUUGAUUAUGCAACCAAUCUCUAGACUAAAAGCUUCUCCUAUGGAUUCUCUACCAAAACAUUUCUACAACUUUGGUGCUCUUUUUUACAUGGGUUUUAGCUAUUUCUGUGUCGUUUCUUUGUUUGAAAUAGCUACUCCACAUGUGGGAGUUGUCAUUCAAAGUUUUACUCUCUUUUUUUCAUUUUCUUUUUUGGAGUAAUCUAGCGGGAUGCUUAAGCAUCUGUAGACUGUAGUGGUAUAUGCAAAGCUUUAAUGUGGGUUCAUUAUAUUAUAUUGGUCUCUGGUUGUUUAGAUGAAACAGUUAUCAGCAUCUUAUUAUUCACUUACAUGUUGAUGCAGCUCUUGAUCUAAGUCACACCCAGAAUAUUGGAAGAAUGAUCAAAAGUCAUUUCCCACACUCUCAGGUUGGUGGAUUCUGUCAUCUGGUUAUUUACAUUUUACCUAGCUGGAAUCUGCUUAUGCAAUGUACCAUCUUUUCUUUCAGUAAUCCAUAAAGUUAGAUUUAACUAAGAUAUAACUUCUUUUCCGUCAUUAUAUAAGUAAAUGAGUAAUACCAUCUGAAUUUUACAAAUCUUAAAAAGUUCACAGAACGUUUUAGACUUUUAGGCAUAGUUUUGAUCUGGCAUAACAACUGCUAUUUGACAUGACAUUGUCCCUUGGGUGGUUGUAGAGUCUGGUAUUCUGGAGUUUGUAAUUCAAACCUCAUUCUCACACAAGACUGACAAGAGCAGAUUGUGGCAUAACUUGUAAAGAUAAUAUACAACGUUCUGAUUUGUCGAACUUUUCUCUUUUGGUUCAUAUGUAUGAGAAACUCCUUGUUUGUCUACUACAUGUGUUAGAUUGAUUAUGGAACCAAUCUCCAGCUCUCAUUUAGGUACAAGUGUAUAUGUAAAACUGUAUCGACUCUUGAGUAGUUCCAUGGCGGCGGCAUUCCAAUGUUGUGCUUGUUUUGAGCCCUGUGCUCAACCUGCAUGUAUUGUAGAGCUUUGAAUUUGUAUGCCAAAUUUGUUCACGCUUAUGGUUUUGAAUGAUAUUGCCCAUGAGCCUAUCUCUGAGAAGACUAUCCAAUAGUUUUUCAAAUUCACCAAAAAACGGUGGUCCAAAUACGUUUUGUUUGCCAAACACGCGUCUUCCAAAAUCACUCACUGUGAGUUAUGUAAUUAAGGUCCAUCCAAAAUCAUGACUUUUCACUAAAACAAUCGUGGAUUAUUUGAAAGCCAGAGCGUAAUCUUUUCACUAAAACGACAGUAGCCGUAUGCCUAGCCUCGCUUGGAAUGGACAUUUGGUACCAUAAGCGUAAUUAGUCUCACAAAACAUAGUCGUCGUCAGUUUUACCCACUGUUCUAAAACAAGUUACCUAGUUUUACCCUAUCCAGUAGAACAAAAAAACAGAUGAAAACAUUAGAUGCAUGUACAGCAAGUAUCAACAGUCACAGUAGAACACAAACAUUUGGUACCCUAAGCAAUAUUAGUCUCACUAAACAUAGCCAUCCCCAGUUUAACAGAUGAAAACAUUAGAUGCACAUACAGUAAGUGUCAACAGUUACAAUGGUAAUUUCGGUGUCGGCAGGGUGAAACCUUUUAGGAAAGUGCAAGUGGCUUUCAUAUCUAGACUUUUUGCUAGAGGAGCUUCUAUCCAUUCAUACUUGAUCUAUACACACUGCACUGUAUGCAUUAUUCAUCUAAAGAACAAAGGGCUUCUUGAUUUUGGAUUCAGAUAUCCUUUGAUCCAUGUAAGCUCUUCUUGAAUCCGUUACUAAUUUCAUUCUGUUAAUCAGUUUUAUUCAUGUUGGAUUAUCAUUAUGAACUAAUUAAACUGGCUUCACUUGCUAAUUUGUGCAGUAUAGCUGGAAUCAGAUCGAUCUGCAACAAGAAAGUCUGUCAUGAUCAUGAUCUAAGAGACUUGGCUCACCUUGUGGAAGAAUUAACGUUGCAAGUGUUUUAGUUGUGAUCUCGCAGAAGAAAUAAUCAACUUUUCAUGUAAGUGCAUGUUUUCCGAUCUUGCAAAUUAAGGGAAACAAAUCAGAUUUAAACACCCGUUUCAUUGUUUAAAUUAUUUUUUGCAUGCAUGGAUCAACUAGAAUUGUACCUUAAUUAACUACCAGCUUCACUUUCUGCAGUUUUGAAUACCAUCGAUUGUACAAAAAAGAAACGAUGGGGGAGGCUGUUCUUGGUGCAUUCCUCCCGGUGCUGCUUGAGAAGUUGGCGGAUCAAGAGAUCACUGAGUACGUUUAGAGGUUCGUCUUCUUGGAUUUGGAUCCCUAAACGAGUUCAUGUGAGUGCUUUUUGAAUCCAAUACUUCUCAUCCAGUUUCAAGUUUUAUCUGUAUGCAUCAUUAAUUAAUUCAGACUUGAUAUGAGAUGAUAAACUUGUUCCCCUCAUUGUUGCACACUAGCUUGCUUCAAUUUGGACUGGUUGUGAUUUAAGCGGAAUCAGAGACUUGCUUACCAUCGAAGUGGAAGACUUCGCUGGUGCAUAUCAAAGUGAACUAGCUUUCAUGUAAGUGAUUUUUGAUUCUGCAUAUCAAAGAGAAACAUAUUAAAUUAAACAGAUCAAAGCAAUAAGAUGCAUAUGUUAUAAAUUAAUUUUCCACUAUACAUCGAUUUCUCAUCUUGUUGUUUUUUCUUUCGUCAAUGAUUUCUCAUUUCUUGUGAAUGCAUGAACCAAAUGUUAAAAUUGCCUCCUAUUUAACUACUAGUUCACUUUCAACAGUUUGAACUUUGAAGUACUCGUACAAAAACGCUAUGGAAGAGGCGGUUCUUGGGGCAUUGCUUCCGGUGCUGCUCGACAAGUUAGCGCAGCGAGAGGUCUUUCAGUACUUCAGACGUCUUAAGGGAGUCAACAAAACGGUGAGGGAGAAGUGGACUACGACGUUGACUGCAAUUGAGGCGGUGCUGAGUGAUGCGGAAGAGAAGCAAAUAACACAAAGAGGAGUGAAACUGUGGCUAGAUGAUCUCAGAGAUUUGGCUUACGAUAUUGAAGACAUAUUAGACACAUUUGCUACUAAAGUGCUGAAGCGAAGGAUAGAAAGACAACAUGGAAGAAAAAGCAAGUACUCAUGGAUCAACUCACUUUGUAGAGCUAAAUUCAAUUUAAGUUUGAACUCAGAAAUCCAGAAGAUAAGUGAUCGACUUGAGGAGAUAACUGCUCGAGAAAAGCAGUUUGGUCUGAAUAAGAAACUUGGAGAGUCUAAAAAGCCGCGGGAAAUGCCACCCAGUACUACAUCUCAACUACCAGAUGGACCUGUGAUCGGAAGGGAUGAAGCAAAGAAAAACAUUCUUAAUGAUGUGCUCUUAAAAGGCGAACAUAGUACCAGCAAUUUUCAUAACUUUUGUGUGGUUUCCAUUGUUGGUACGGGUGGACUAGGAAAGACAACACUUGCUAAAGAUGUCUUCAAGGAUGAUGCGACUGAACAAUUUCGCCCAAAGGGAUGGGUGUCUGUGUCCGAUGACUUCGACCUUCUAAGGGUGACAACUGCAGUUCUUGAAUCUGUCACAACAGGCGAUGUGAAGGAAUCUAAAGAGCUCAAUUCAGUUUUGAAAAAGUUGAGUGAGGAAUUGGCAGGCAAGAAGUUUUUGAUUGUUCUAGAUGAUGUCUGGAAUACAUGCAACUACGAUCAAUGGACAACAUUGCAGUCGGCUUUUCGUGUUGGAGCAGUAGGAAGCAAGAUCAUUGUGACGACGCGUGAUGCGAAUGUUGCAAAGAUGAUGGGAGACAAUAAACCUCAUAACUUGGAGUCGAUGUCAGGAGAUGGUUGUUGGAAGAUCUUUGAGCAUCAUGCACUGUUAAACAACAUAUCCCAAGAUGUUGAGUUGUUUAAGAAGAAAAUUGUAGAAAAAUGCAAUGGGUUGCCGUUAGCUGCAAAGACUCUUGGUGGUCUUUUACGUUGUAAAGAAAAAGAUGAAUGGGAAGAAGUACUAGAGCACAAGAUGUGGAAUCUAUCAGACCAGAUGGGCAUCCUCCCAGCAUUGAAGUUGAGCUAUCACUAUCUCCCAUCAAAUUUGAAACGGUGUUUCACCUAUUGCGCGAUACUUCCAAAUGAUUAUGAAUUUGAGGAGAUGCAGUUGGUUCUUUUUUGGAUGGCAGAGGAUUUGAUUCAGCAGCUACCAGAAGGAAACAAACAAAUGGAAGAUUUGGGACGUGACAAUUUUCAAGAGUUGGUGUCCAGGUCAUUAUUUCAAAAAUCAAGCAAAACAGAGUCGAAAUACAUAAUGCAUGACCUGGUUACUGAUUUGGCACGUUGGGCUGCAGGAAGCUCAUGUUCUAGAUUGGAGGAUAUGCAGAAUUAUUACUUGCAACAUAGAUGUUUGCCCAAGGUUCGUCAUUCGUCUUACAUUCCUGGAGAGUAUGAUGGAGUUAAGAAGUUUGAGGUCUAUUCUGAAGCUACAUCUUUGCGGACGUUCUUACCACUUUCACUUUCAUAUUGGAAUUAUAAUUAUCUGGCUCGGAAGGUUACUUCUGAUUUAUUGACCAAACUCCAUUACUUACGACUGCUCUCUCUAAAUGGAUACCGAAUAACCGAGUUGCCAGAUACAAUUGGUGAAUUGAAGCAUCUACGGUAUCUUGAUCUCUCCCACACUCGGAUAAGAAGUUUGCCAGACUCGACAACAACUCUGUACAACUUGCAGACAUUGUUAUUGAAAAGUUGUGACGAGUUGAAGGCACUGCCCACAAGCAUGAGGAACCUAGUUAAUUUGCGUCAUCUCAACAAUUCAGAUACACGGUCAUUGGAAGAAAUGCCUCCUCAGCUUGGUCAAUUGACUAACCUCCAAACAUUGCCUGAGUUUGUUAUUGGCAAAGGUAGUGGAUCAGGAGUAAGAGAGAUUGAGUCAUUAUCGCAUCUGCAAGGGACAUUGCACAUCUCAAGGCUAGAAAACGUGAUUUGUGUCGAGGAUGCCAGGAGUGCCAACUUAAAGAGCAAGGAAAGGCUUGAAGCCCUAUUUCUUGAAUGGUCUUCUUCGAGUGUCUCAACAGUAGAUGCAGCAAUUGUGCUUGACAUGUUACAACCUCAUAGCAAGCUCAAAAAGCUCACCAUCAAAGGUUAUGGUGGAUUGGAAUUUUCAACAUGGAUUGGGAAUCCUUCAUUCACUAAAAUGGUGCGGGUAAGGUUAGAACGUUGUAAUCAUUGUCAAUUCUUGCCACCAUUCGGACAGUUGCCUUGUCUCAAAGAACUUUGUAUACAAGAAAUGGAUGCAGUCGAGAGUGUUGGUAUCGAGUUUUAUGGAGAAGGUAACUUGUCGUUUCAUGUUUUAGAGACCCUGGAGUUACAUAAUCUGAAAAAUUGGAAGAAGUGGUAUCCUUGCCAACAAAGUGAGGGUGUUGAAGUUUUAUCUUGCCUGAAAAAGCUUUCCAUCAGGGGCUGCCCCAAAUUGGAGGGUGAUUUACCAGAGAAGCUCGAUUCAUUAGCACAGCUUGAGAUAGAUGGAUGUGAGGAAUUGGUGGUUUCAGUAUCCAAAUAUAAACAGCUUCAUGGAUCAAACAUCAGAAAUUGCAAGAUGGUGGUGUACGACACAAGUGUAGUUCAGUUUGACUUACUAGAGAGUUUGACAUUUUCAAAUGUAUCAGAAUUGAGAUUCCAAACAGAGACGUUCAUGAAAAGCUUGAAAAACGUUAAAGAGUUGAAGAUCACUGGUUGUGAGGAGCUUACACGUUGCUUUCAAAAUGAGGAUAGAUUACUGCAACACUUGAUUUCUCUUGGUUGUCUAUAUAUCGAAGACAACUCGAUCCUUGUUGAAAAGCUAGGGAUUGAAGCAGAGCAGUUGGUGCAAUUGCAAAUCCUGGAUUGCAAGAUUGAACGUCUGGAAUUAAGCAAGUGUGGAAGCCUUGUGAAGGUACCAAAAGGAUUGCAUCACCUUACAUCACUUAAAGAGCUGCACAUAAGUAAAUGUUCAAGUCUUGUUUCUUUUCCAGAUGUUGGUCUGCCACCUUGUCUCCAAGUCAUAGAAAUUCGGUACUGCGAAUCUCUUUCGCACUUUGCAAAAUACCAGAUUCCUCCCAGCCUAAAAAGAAUAGAGAUCAUGAAUUGUGGGAAUUUGAAGUCAUUAAUAGAGAAAGAGGAGGAGGUGGGUAACGGUUCUUCUUCUUCUUGUCUUGAGCAUUUGGAGAUAAGAAGAUGUCCCUCUUUGAUGUGCUUAUUAUGCAAAGAUCAAUUACCCAGGUCUCUUAAACAGCUUGAGACACGGGAUUGUGGACAGCUGGAGCUAAUAACUGAGAGGUUCCUCGAUGACAGCUGUCAACUCGAAAAAAUUAUCAUCUGGGACUGCCCAAACCUGAAAUCCUUACCCGAGGGAAUGUGCCACCUCACCAAUCUUCAGUUAUUAACUAUUGUGCGUUGUCAAAGUCUUGUUUCGUUGCCGAGAAUGAAUGUGUGGCCAAGAGGGAUACAUAUCCUAAAUUGCGAUAAAUUGGAGGUGGCACAGUUGGCGAGAGACAUGAUGCACAGUAAUCUUGUAUAUCUGAGAAUUGAUUACUUUGAAGGUUUGACAACUACAACUUCCUUCCCCACCAACCUAACAUCACUGUCAAUUGACAAGAUCAAGAAUUGUAAGGCGCUGAUGGAGUUUCAAGGGUUGCAGAGACUCGCCUCUUUGACACGUUUGUAUCUGAGCGGUGAAGAUGAUGGAGGUCUGGUGUCAUUUCCACCUGCUGCUGAGAAUUCAAAGGAGACGGAGAUACUGCUCCCCAGAUCUCUUGUUUUUUUGGGAAUUGAAGACUUCCCAAAUCUAAAGAAACUGAGCAAGGGCUUUCAAUUCCUCACCUCUCUUGAAAGUAUUUGGAUCUUCAACUGUCUGAAGCUUACAACCCUUCCAGUGGAGGAAGGCCUGCCUCUUUCACUUGUGCGACUUGAUAUUUACAACUGUCCUCUACUUGAACAGAGAUACAAAGGACGAUACCGGCACAAGAUAGCACACAUCCCUCGCGUAGAAAUUAAUUGGGAAGACAUAUAAGAGAAAAAGCCACACUUCUCGAUGGAGUGGUUUCCAGGUACGCACUUGUAAUUUGAGACAACAUCCGCACUGAUGAUAAUGUUAUCAAAUACAUGUAGAAAAGCGAGGGAACAUGUUGAAGCUUGUCAAACUUUCCUCUGUUUUCCACAUCUAACGUUUUAUUUCUUCCAUNNNNNNNNNNNNNNNNNNNNUUAUUUCUUCCAUCUGCAGGUCUCCAUAUAAUAUGACAUUUGGAGUCUCAACUCGAUCCCUUCCGGGAAGUUUGUGAUAGAAACAAUAUCAGCUCUGUCGAGGUUUGUCAAAUACACUAAGAUGUGAAAAUGCAACUCAAUUUGUUAGUUUUGUUUGGUGCUGGAAAACUUGCAUCAGGCAUUUGAACUGUAUUGCAUGUAGUUUUGUAUUCUGUGUUGAAGUUUAGUUUGCUAAUCACUAUUCAAAUACUCGUAGUAUUCAAUGGCUUUAUAACAAUGUAUUAUGUCAUCUUAAUCAAGCUACUAAUCAAACACAAGCUGCCAUUGCUGGUUGUAAACUGUGAUACUCAAACACUCUCAAGGGUUGAUAUUUGUCAAUAAAGUAAAUAGUUCGAACUUUUAAAUGUAACAUAUUUAGUAGCAAAACAUAUAUGUUGAACAACAGCGUGAGACUCUUUUAUAGAUAGUAUUGUAAGUUUUAGUAGCAAAACAUAUAUAUGUAGUAGCCUUUCCAGAGUAGUAUGCUCCAAUUUCCGGCAAAUAUCUGAAAAUGGGUACGUUACAGGCAUUUUGUCACAGCCAGGAUAUAUGGUUCUGAGGAUGCCCUGGGAAUAGGUUUAACAGAGGCUAUUCAAGAUGGGAUGGUGGAAAGAGAAAACAUUUUUGUUACCUCUAUGUUAUGGGGUAGUCAUCAUCAUUACCCUGUUGUUUCAGUGCUCUAAAGUAAGCACAGAUUCUAGAUUACUUACUUAUCAACACCAAAUUCAUUUCUUAAUCUACUGGCUAAAUUUUGAACUAGGCAGAUGGUUAUGUUGGUUGAUAACUUGAUAUUGUGGACUUCAAUGGUAGCUUUUUGGCUGGUGCGAAUCGGAUAAUAUUAGUGAUUACUAAGGUAUUAAGCUGCUCAUUGGUACUUAUGUAAUGUGGCAUUGAUUCAUGCAGUUUUCUAAUUGGACUUUCUAAUGACAGGUUGGGGACUGUUUUAAUUUGUAUUGGUGAUUGAGUUGCGGAGGACUGGAGGCCGCUGUAAAGAAGAAGCUUAAGAUUAGUUUCAGUGGCCUUUGCUUGUACUUAUUUAUAUAUUAUCCAUCCAAAUGAGUUCCCCUUGGUGCUUGUUUGCAGUGUUAUAAGCAUUCAUCUGAUGAGUUCAAAGUCUUCGGUUCGGUUGGAGUAGCUAGCUGGAGUUGCAUCAGAGAUUCAAAAGGAAAAGAAGGUAUGCACUUCUUAGUUAUGUGUAUGCAUGUGUCCAGUUCAUUGUUUAAAGCCAUUGAUAUCAGUUUAUGUGUAUAGCAUUAUCCAUUCUCAUGCGUAUUUUGUACUUUCUGUUGAAUGAAUUGGAACUUGAACUUCUAUCAUUUACAUGAACUCCAAAUUGAGUUCUUUGGCUGUGUUUUGGUGCAGGGGGUGUGACGUGUAAGUUAUGGUGAGCUUUUUGUUACAAACUCAGGGAAUCACCUCUUUGAAUUGAACAAGACAUCUGGGGAGAAGCAUGAGUGAACACUGUGAACCCAAAGUCUCAUCUAUCUUAGCACAUUGCCCUCUCAGCACAUUGCCUCUCCCACUACCAGGACCACCUGAGAAUGAGGUCAACAUAAUGUAAUAACCUCUUCUAAGGCAACAUAACUGAUCAUUCAUAAGAAUGACAUACUUCUUUGCUAUCAUUUCUAAGUAUAACUUGGUCUGAUUCGUCGAACGCUUCUCUUUUGGUUCAGAUGUUUUACUUUACCACGGUGAAUGAUCCUUCCUAGUAAAGCUUAUUCAUCUUCAAGACUUCAACGUACGUAUGAGAAACUUCUUGUUUGUUUACGUGUGUUAGCUAGAUUGAUCAUGCAAACAAUCUCACAGCUCUCAUUUAGGUAACAAGUGUAUAUGUAAAACUGUGCUUCGAGUAGUUCCAUGGUGGUGGCAUUCAAAUGUUUGUGCCUAUUUCGAGCCCUGUGCUCAGUUUGGUAUUCUAAAGCUUUGAAUUUGUAUGCCAAAUCUGUUCGUGUAUUAGAUUUUCGAAUCAUUUUUGUGGUCUCUAAGAUGAUAUGAAGAACAACAUUGUCUAAGAUGGUUGAUUGCUAAGUCCAGGAACAACAAUCGCAGAUUUUUGACGAAUUAAAAAGAAGAUGGGUUGGGUUUAUUCUUGUUUCUCUCUCAAAGGAGCAAAGAGAUAUGGGUUGGGGUUGUUGCAAAAGUGUAGAGAAAGAUGGAGAGAAGAAGAAUCGACAAAGGAAGAGGAAAGAGUUAGAGUGAUAUGCUUUAUCUCUUUUCUUCUUCUUUUUUAAUUAAAAAAAAGCUGAAAAUAAUUAAGUUAACAGUGUUAAUCUCUGUUAAGUUGGUGGACUGAUGUCACGAUAUGAGGGGUAGGCACAGGUUUGGCACAUAAUUUUUGAGCAUAGGUGAUUUACUCUCGUAAUAUACACAUUCAAAAACUGCAUGCUAAAUCGGCGUCGCUCAUAUCGAUUGAAUUGAAAGCUGGAUCGCUACCACGAGCCUUAAACGGCACCCCGUAUUGGAGAUCAAAGAGGCAGAUCUCUGUCUUCUGGAAUCUAAAAGCGACGAGGUAAAGGGCCGGCUAUUGGCGUUGAUGUGGCUCUCGUCUUGUAUUCCAUGAGAAGGAGACGAUGGGCUCCACCACUGACGGUGGUGUUCGACAAAACCCUAGAAAUGAGUUGUGAGGGGAUCAGAGAGAGAGAGAGAGAACGCGAGAACGAAUCGAGAAUAAUCCUUCAUAAGAUUUUAAGUUUUAUUUUUUAUUUUUAUGGUGGACGGUAAAAAACCCGACACCUAUGACCACCUAGACACGCGUUAGUUCUCCCUAAGAUGCAUAAGAUCCAGUUCGUUUGUUUUUUAUUCACCAAAAAAAUUAUAGCAAACUAGGCCUUAUGCAAGCUUGACGAAACUGACGCGUGUCUAAACGGUCAAUGGUGUAGUGGAUCUAUCGGGCUUAACGGCCCACCUUAAAAAAAAAAAAAAAAAAAAACGUAAGAUGUCUGCUAGUCUUGCCUGGCAUGGGUACGUCACGAUGCCUAUGUUCGCAUGACGAAAGGAGUGCAAGACUUGUAGUCGGCCGUUCACUGUCUUCCGGUGGAGACCGGACUGGCCGUGACGCCCGGUUCAAGAAAGACAGAGAUUUGAUGAGGGUUUUUGUAAAUAUGUGUGAUGAUGGAUGUAGGCUUUUGCUAAGAGAAUUGGGGGGAGUAAAGUUGCCAAGGGAUACAAGGGAGUUUGAUCAAAACCAGGGUUGCGCAUGAUACUGCAGAGCCUCAAAGGUUCACUGAGAGGAUCACUGUCCUGCUCCUCACUGUGGAUGGCUGGAUGCCAUUGAGGUCACUUGCAUGAUCUUUCUCUAAGCUCUAUAUAUCUGAACUUGAAUUUGAUCAAAACCAGAAAUUGAUGUAAUGGAUGGUUUGUAUAAUAUGUUGUCGUGCGAUUCUCAUAGCUUGAAUGUAUCGGGGCUCGAUCACUUGUUAUGCUCAUGUGAAAUUCUUUUUUCCAAAGACAUUGCACUUAAACUUUACUGAAUCAACCAUUAGGAAUCUGCACUCGAUUCCUUUGUGAUCACUGGUAAGUGGUAACGGGUUAGGGGGACAUUGUUCCAUCUUCUGUGUAGAAAAGGGUGAUGUGGGGAAAGAAGAAUAUAUGUUUUAGCAUUUCAGAUAAUAGCAUUUCAUGGAAUCUAGUUUUCAACUGCAUUUCUCUUUCAUGUGGAUGAUUUAUAGAAGUAGGAUUUAGAACUACACUGUGCUAAAGCAAAUUGGGGUUUAAGUGGUGAGAUACAGUCAAACUCCUAUAAUAAGAUAAAUCUGAAUCUUGGUUGAAAUGGAUGUAGAGAUUUCUGAACAUAGUUAUUUCUGCUAUAGGAAUCUUAAGCGAUAGGAAUCUUAUUUGAACCAUAGGUGUGGUGUGGUGGGUUUUAAUACAAAACACUACCCUGCAAUAAUCUGGAAGACCUGCCAUGUAUUUCAUAUUGACAAUAGGUUCUUUGAAAAAGAUGUCAAAUUUCUUGACAAUAGGUUCUUUGAAAAAGAAAGCUUGUUUCAUUAGCUGACAUGUUAAAUUUCUUGUUUUCACCUAGCUAACCUCAUGGUUAAAGCAAUCAAAUAGUUACAAAAUGUUUUUAACACUUUGCGUUGUAUUAGGGUGCUGAUGUAAUGGUGUGAUUUGUACGGUACCUUGUAUGCAAUGGUUUUAUUGGGUUCACAUAUUAGUAUUGAAAAUGGGCCACCGGCAAAUCUCCAAUCUAAUGACGCACACCAAAAAGUGGUAUUUUCACAUAGCAAAUUUCCAAUGUUGAAGCAGAUGAUGAUUCUGAUUGCAGAUGAACAUACUUAAUGCGUUUUUAAUUUUCCUAAUGAAUAGAUUCGGAAUGGUUUGAUCAAUUCAACAAGAAGAAAGAAAACAUGCAGAAUUGUUCCAGGAAAGUGAUAAACAUGCUCAUAAUAAUGGGGUUUGAUCAAAUCAAUAUCAACAAGGAGAGCAUUGAAAUUUUAUACUAGUCUAUGAAUAAAAUAGCUGAUAUUUUCAUUUUAGUUUUGAUGGACUAGACUAUUUUACACUAUUAUAAUGUUUGACGAGAGAUGCCACCCUAAAUAUCAAACCACGCCUAGCGUAUAAAACCCUGGGAAUCAAUUCAACUAGACAAAACUUUACUAUGAUAUAUAUAUAUGUUACUUAUAAUGGUACCAAGUUUAGGAGUUAGUUAUUUUAUUGUGAGUAAUAACAAUAGCAUAUCUUCAAGAAAUAGAAUUGAUAGUACUUCGAUUUCAGAUUUUAUAUGAUUAAUUAGUUUCUCCCAAUAACCCAUGGAAAUGAGUUGUACCUCUUGUAUUUGAAUAACAAAUUAUAUGAAUAUAAGCAAGUUGAAUGUUAAUUAACGCAUGUAUGCAAAUGCAAGUAGUAUGAGAAGUUUACCACAGACUGUGAUCAUGCUAAUGAAUGGUACGGAAUUGAAAAUAGUAUGAGAAGUUUGUCAUAAGAAUGUGAUCAUGUUAUGAGAAUGUAUUAGAGGCCUCUAAUCCUCAAUAUAGAACAUUAGUACUUACGUACUCCUUACGCCACGAAAUGGCAUUCCCACAUUGGUGAUGAUAACGGUGGCCAAGCAACUUCACUCACCUACAGGAAUGAACUACAACAAUAUCCUAAAUUUGUUCAUAUGAAGAUUGAGUCGUUAAUGUUUUGGAUAAUGAAUUUGCAUUAGUAUAGAGUGAGAAUGAACUCAACAACUUAGAGUAAGGUAAAUGUUCUUAAUUACUAAAGCUACACGUCGAUCUACUCGAAAAGAGGUAACGAGGUAUAGUGACCCGUACAAUACGGAGUAUAGGAUAUUUAACCAACCAGCUGUCCAACUCCCAACUCCCAACUCCCUCGUACAUUGUUUUAGCCUACCAAUCGGUGGCUAUAUGCAGCCCAUGCUACUCGAUUCAGUACAUAGUUUCUGGAAGAAAAUGAAUCAAACCAAAACAAAUCAACUCAACUCUCCGAUUCUUGGAUCCCUAAUUGCAGACAGUCAAAACAUUGAAACUCUGAUAUAUAAUUGAUCAAGUCAAUUAUUCAAAAGCUGCUUGCUAAAAGGGCGGGGCCUCUGUGUCCCUCAGCUAGCUAGCUGGUCCUUGUUGCUUCUGCUUCGCAUUGCCUUUUCGUUUUCGGGGCAACAAUGAAUGAAUGAGUUUUCAGAACAAGAAAAGGCCAAUUUGUGGAAUCCCAUUUUUCUAUUCAGCUUGAAUUUUCGCCAGAAGAUCGAGUCUCAGUUUUCUGUUUCUUACAAAUCAAGAAACUCACAAGCUGUCUGAUUUCCUCGCUGCCCAAUGGGAUUGUUUAUUUUAGGGUUUAUAAGAUUCUGGGUUCGAAUAUAUGCUGCACGUAGAACGCAUAAAACAAGUAGCUGGGUUCAAGUCAAAGCAAUGCUAUUACUUGGGAGUUAAGAAAAUCUCUGAAUAUUAAUAUUGCAUUGUUGAAAAUUAACACAUGAUUAUGAUUAUUCUGGGUUUGCUUGAAGAAUAUACUAUCUAUGCCGCUAACGUGUUCCUCAUCAUAUUGUUAGGCUUGAUUUGAUUUUAGAGAGAAUCGGAAGCGUGUAGCUAUUUUCAACCUUGAAAUACAGAUUCGAAGCCCUUCACAGUUCACGGCAUACAUACUUGGUUUUUUCUUUUUUUUUUCUUAGUUUCUUACUUCGAUCUGGUUAUCAUGUUCCCAGAAUCUCAUUCCCUGUACUAAUUUUUUUGUUUUUGAUUUUGUUUUUUGAUUUGUUUUAAGUAAAUCAUUAACAUAUUGAUUAUGUGACACCCACUAAAACUAGAAUCGAAGAUUCCCCUUUGCAAUACAUUUUUAUAAACGAUCUGAAAAGUGCAGCUCAUGAUAAACAUGUGCUGCUCCAUGCCAUCAAUAUGCAACUGCAGAGACUAUUGCCUCCAGAACUUUUUGACAACUUUGGAAAGGCGAAGCCAUGAGAAACGUCUAAUUCAACCAAUCACGCAAACUCUAUUUUAAUUUGGCUUUUCGUUUUACUUUAUUGAUCUUUCUGGCUCUUUACGUGGGCGGGCGAUGUAAAGUGUUUUAUAUAACUCUUCAACUAAUUCCCAACCACAUCAGUUUAUGCAUACAGCUUGUAAAAAUAAUAUUGUUAAUGAAAAUCUUGAAACAUGAUAAAUGCCACGAAGUUUUAUUAUACAUAUGUGUCAACGAGAUCAAUAAGUUAACAUUUAAGCAGACAAGAAACACUUUAACUAUGUAUUACAGCACAAAAUAUGACCAUAUUAACAAUUUUAUAAACCGAAUAAGUGGGUUAAUGGUCGAAUGUCGGUCUAUUUCUUUAAAUUUGUUGUAGUGUUUUUUUGUGUGUGUAAUUAUACGUAAAAUACCUAAAAUAGAAACAUAAAUGCUUAAGAAACCUAACCGCAGGUCACGCCGUUGGUUCAUGAAAACUACUAAGUACCAACCGCAAUUAGGCCCCACGGUGGUGUUUAAUAUCUUUAAUGAAUAAUAAAUUACCUUUCUAAAAAUAGUCAGUCAAACCUCUUGAAAAGGCAACUCUCACUUUUUCUGAUGAGUUUUCCCAACACUCUUUUUUUAAAUUAAACCCGGUCUUCCUCGUAAUUUCCAUUUUCGUUUUGGGUUCCUCCAGCUGUCGCUGUCUUUGACCAAAUAAACGCAAAUCUAUGUGUCUCCAGCUCGGACUGGGGCCCAACCGUAACCCACACGUGUGCCCAAGUUUCUAGUAGUAUUUCUUGUGUGCCGGAAAAUGGUGACAUAGGAAGAUUACAUCGGAAACUACAUUAUUCAUAAAAUCAUAAUGUUAAUGUUUUUUUCUCAGGUAUUUGAGAAAAAAAGAGCUAUCCUGAUGAGAUUACGGCGAGUAGUGUGCUGACGUGUACGUAAAUUAGAAAGACGUAGCAUAUUGUUUUAAGAAAUUGAAUGAAACAAGGUCAUCUAAGAAGCGAUUAAUAAAUUUCAUUUUUGUGUUGAGUGAAUCUGACUAUCGUACAUAAUUGGAUUUUUCAUCAACAGUCUAAGAUAAGUUACAACAGGAAAAAAUUAGAUUUGAUUUUAUCGAUUUGAGUUCCGUUAAUUUAUCUCUCACUAAAUAUCUCUUACAUGAGCAUAUUAUUGUAAAUUUUGUAUUUUCUGCUCUCUAUUUCUCCUGUAGGGAAGGGGAACUACUCAAUUAUACAAACAAACAUACACCAACACCAAAUCUGAUCGAUCCCACACUAUUUUGUGAUGAUAAUUGAUUCUUGCAACUUACCAAAAAUAGCUAAUUUGGCAACUAGCCAGGUGCCAUUUCUUUGCUCUAACCACUCACAUGCAAGAGUUCCAUCAAACAAUGUCGUUUUUCCCCUCUCUCUGUCGUUUUAACGCCCCCCUUAAUAUCCGUGGUCCUCCAGAGGGGCCCAUAUACCGCCACGCAUUACAAUCCCGUGGCAAAGACCCUCUCCGAGCCCCACCCCACGAGGGCAUUACCGUCAUUCGACCCCCCCGCCACCGACGACCACCAACUGAUAGUGACGACACGUCGCACACACGUCCCUCCCUUCAUCGCGGGACCCACGUCCACAACGUGGCCAUGUCAGACUCGACGCAACACCCAAGUGUCCUCACGCGCUUUUGCCCGCGAAAGUCUCCCGCCCCCGUACGUGUCUCCCCUGGAUCCGCCGGGCCCCACACCCGCCAAAUUUUUAUUAUUAUUUUAACUCGCUCAAAAUUAGAAGCCAAUCAUUCUGGUCCGUCAGUUAUAAACCGAAAUUCACAAAAACCUUAAUUAUUUAUCAAAACCUACCCUACUCGCCCACAUAUUGGCGCGUGGCUUCCACGCCGGCUGGGGUUGGAUUGUGGAACACGUUGGGAAGGACUCUAUAAAUACCCGAACUCUAAAAUUCGAGGACUUUCUUUCUCUCUCUCUCACCAAAUUUCGGUUUCUCAUAUUCUAAUUGGGCGUUUUUGAGGGUUUAAGUUUUUCUUUUUGGGGUUUAUUUCCAAAUUUGCGAAAGCACUCCUGAUUUUAGGUAAUUUAUUUUCCAUUAAAGCCUUUGCUCUCUGUUUAACUUGGAUUUUGAAAUCCUGUUCAUCUCAAAGCUCUGGGAUUUUGAGUUAUUAUUUUUUUGUUGUUGGGUUUUACAGGAGAAUGAGUUUUUCGUUUUCUUAUUCUUUUUCGCCUUAUAAUUUGCUCUGUUUUCUUGGGCACCAAACAGAGCAUUCUGGGUUUUUCCAUCCGCCUUAUUAAACCUUUUAGUUUUCUUUUUCAAGGUUUCUAAGUCCCGCCGCCACCUGCAUUUCCGUCUUCGGAUUCAAGCUGCCCCCAACUGGUACGUCGUCGUUUCACCCUUUUUAAACUUCUGGGUUCUUCUUUUUUGUUAGAAAGGUGGAACCUUUUUUGUGUUUAUAUGCUUGUUAGGUGUUAAAGUUUUGAUCUUUAACAGUUUUGGUGAACCGGGUUUGUGUUAGUUUAUGUGUUUGUGGUGUGGAUUCUAAGGAAUUGAUAGUUCAGAUUUUGUUAACCGGAAAAACUGAAUCUGUCGGAAAUGUCUUGGAGCUGUUUUUCAGUUGAGCUGAUGUGAUAUAGAUAUUGUAUUAAUGUUUGAAAGUUAAAACUUUGAUUUAUUUAACCAAAAUGCUGAAUUUGUCUAUUUUUUCUUUGCUUCUAGGCAAUUGAUUGGUCAAGUGUCGAUUUGUGUCGUAAUCGCGUGAACUAUUCUAAACCAGGAAAUGAAAAGGAAAAUGAAGAGUCAUAAUCAUUGAGGUCAUAUUUUUGCUUAGGGAAAUCUUGACCUUAUAACUUUAAUGUAUAUAGUAUUUUUCCUCUUGGGUUUGGUCAUGCUGGUAAUUUCAUGAAUGCCCAGAAAGUUAAACUGUAUAUUCUGUGCUGCUUAUACAUGGUUGUAUGGUAUAUAAGUGUAUAGAAGCUUUUGAAAUCUGUUCUCUCUUUUAGGAGUUUUUCUUGGUGGGUCACAUUUGUCCCUCCAUCUAUUUCUGUCCAUUUCAUACCUCAAUCUUAUGUGUUGUGUCCAUAGUGUUAUUAAGAUUCCAUGUUUCGAGUAGGGCCUUCUUUUGUGGUUGUAUAUGAAUAUUUCCAUACAUGUGGGACAUGCAAACUUUCUAUACCAUGUCAGUAUGCCCAGUUUCUAGUGUUCUUUCAUAUUCAAGCAGAAGAAUCUGUAAUGUUCCGUGUAGUCUAUUUUUCUGUUAAAUGAAGGCAGUUUACAAUAUGAAAGUUACCACUUCGAAGCAUAUGUUUGUGUUUACUGAAAUGCUUGUACAGUAGAUGAUUCUCAACUAUAUUUGGGGUAUACCAAAUUAUUUUGCAUUUUAUUUUUACUACCUAUUCCUUAGUGGCUAGUUGUUUUUUUUUUUGUAAAGUAAUGAUUUUAUUUAAACAGUUAGUGAUUACAAUCACUCAAGAUGACAUCCCUUAUAAAAUCGGGAGCAACAGUGGCUAGUUGUUUCUUCUACCUUUGCUGUAUGUAUGUGAGUGUUUCUUCUGUGUUUCCCUCCUUUUGAAAAAUUUCAUGUGUCUUCUCAGAAAACUCAAAGAAUCUGAACAAGUUGCCACUACAUUUUAGGGAAAUAUCAUUUUCCGAAGAUAACAUAUAUUGACGUCCACUUAAAUACUUUUCCUUGUUUUUCUUUAUAUCUUGUAGUUUCCAGAGGGCUUUAGUCAUUAUUAUUUUAACACCUUUGUUCUUAACGUUAGGUUCAUCUGAUGAGAAGGCUGAAUUGUAAGUCUGAGAUUCAUUUAGCUUUUAGCAUUUUCUCAACCAAAAUUAGAACCAUCAAAGCAUUGUGAUUGUUUUCCAAUAUUGCUUGGAGAUGUGCUUCAUACCUUGGCAUAUCUCUCGUUUUAGUAAUAAUGUUUUGUUACUCACAUCUAUAUUCUGAAAAUAGAAAGCUAAAAAUGUACUUCCUUGUUGCUUACACUAGUUGGUAAAUACAUGAGAAUUGCAAUUCUGUUUGUCGUAUGUAAUUAUGUAUCAAAUUUCAUUGGUCUUUCACUAAUGUUAUUUAUUUGGUCCACUAGAUCUAAGAACUCUGUGCUUGAUGGAUAGCUUGCUUAUAUAGAAGCAACAAGAAGACACCGAAGAAGACACAAUAGAACUAGAAACUGCUUAACACUGCAUACACUUCAGAGUGUUGGUUACUUGUAAAGUUUUACUUUGGAUAACGAGCAACAAAUCUGGAUCCCAUGGACCUGAAGUCAAACCAUAUUUCUCCUGUUCUCACUGAUCCUGCGCCUUUAGGCAAGUCAAGACUUGGUGUACAUUCCAGUCUGUUAUCAUAUUCACCUCCUGGAACAGCUUUUCCAGCAGACCUUCUCUUAACCAUCCCUAGGAGGAAGAAUGCAUUUCUUGAUGAUGUUCGCUCUAGCUCUUGGCUUGAUGCUAUGAAAUCUUCAUCACCUCCUCACAGAAAGAUAACUAAGGAUGUUAACAAUGACUCUGCAGCAACUGAGUAUGAUAUUGCCUAUCGCACAUGGAUGGUAAUAAUUAUUUCUUUUCUCAUGUGUUGUAUCUCUUUGAUGUUUUGGCAACCUUCUAAACAAGUUUUUUAUGCAGUAGUCCACAUCUGUCUAAUCUUGCAGGUUAAGUAUCCGUCAGCUCUUACAUCCUUUGAGCAAAUCUCUAAUUACGCCAAGGGAAAGAGAAUAGCAUUGUUUCUCGAUUAUGAUGGGACUCUUUCGCCAAUUGUAGAUAACCCUGACUGUGCCUUUAUGUCUGAUGCUGUAAGAAUAUCUAGAUUGUGUAAAACAUUACCCUUUUUACUUCUACUUCAAUUACUUGGUUGCUCAUAGAAGGUGUUCUAAUCAUUUCAGAUGCGAAUGGCAGUAAAAAGAGUGGCAAAACAUUUCCCAACAGCAAUAAUUAGUGGAAGAAGCCAUGACAAGGUAAUCUCUACUUAAUGCUUUUGGUAAUAUCCUGAUUUUCUCCUUGUUACUAUAUAAUUUCAACAAUCGGUCUUGAUGUGCUGAUUUUGACUGUAGCAUGUUCAAUGACUUUUUCUAUCAGGUGUAUGAGUUUGUUGGACUAAAUGAACUAUACUAUGCGGGUAGUCAUGGGAUGGACAUAAUGGCCCCUGUUCUACAAUCAGUAGUUGGUGACCAUAGACAUGGCUUUAGGUCUACUGACAAACAGGUAAUUGUUACAAGGAUCUCAUAAGACUAAUAUGUUUGAUUUGUUUUUUUGUUCUCUUAUCUAUUAUGUUAAUCUUCCUUGUGAAAAUUUCAGGGCAACGAUGUUAAUGUGUUCCAGCCCGCUGCAGAGUUUUUACCUAUGAUUGGCGAGGUUUGUUGAGUGUAUUAUCUGCAAUAGAUUGCUUUAAUGCAAUUAACCAGCAGUUCCCCUUUUCCUUCUCAAUUACUUGAUAGUUUAGCGUCUGGUUGCUUAUGCUUGAACAGGUUCUUAAAUCCCUAGAAGAAAGUACCAAAGACAUUGAAGGAUCUAAAGUUGAGAAUAACAAGUUCUGCGUCUCUGUACACUACCGCAAUGUAGAUGAGAAGGUAAUCUUGAUUAUACUGAGUUAGUGGGGUUUUCUUUUACUCUUAGUUUAGCUCAGCAGUGGGACUCUGGGACCAUUACAAAAUUAUUACUUCUUGUUUACCUCUAUUUACUUUUUGUUUCCAGAAUUGGGCUGUAGUUGCACAGCGGGUUCACGACAUUCUUAAAAACUACCCACGCCUGCGUUUGACUCAUGGACGGAAGGUAUGAAGCGUCAAAUCAAGAGUUCAACUUUAGUCUGUUAUUUUGCAUGUGUAAUUAUUCAUUUAUCUAAAUUUUUUGUUUCUGUAUUUGUAGGUUUUAGAGGUCCGACCAGUGAUAAAUUGGGAUAAAGGGAAGGCAGUCACAUUUUUACUUGAAUCUCUAGGUGAGUAUUGAGUAUUAUUUUCUCUUCAUAUUACUUACUGUUCUGAAGUGUAUUCUCAACAUCAUUGAAUUCCAUCUAAAUUGUCACUACCUUAAAUUUUGUAUUAGGGCUAAGCAAUUGUGACAAUGUGCUCCCAAUAUAUAUUGGAGACGACCGCACAGAUGAAGACGCAUUCAAGGUAAAUUUUUGAAAAGCUAUGAGGGAUGUAUCUGAUGGAUUUGAAUUCUAAUUCUCAAUUGUAAAUCAAGUAAAUCAAAUCUGAACUUGUAACAGGUUCUGAGGGAAGGAAACAAAGGUUAUGGUAUUUUAGUCUCUGCGGUGCCAAAGGAAAGCAAUGCGUAUUACUCACUAAGGGACCCCUCAGAGGUACAAGGUUUAUUGUGUUUAAAAAUUUGCCGUGGUGUAGGCUUCCUUCUUUUUGGUCUACACUUCCAUCAGAUAAGAGUUAGUUUCCUCACUCAAGCGUUGUAAUUUAUGUAGGUAAUGGAGUUUCUCAAGUCACUGGUGCUAUGGAGGAAGUCAAGUGCUCUAUAAAUAUGAGAUAUUAAUACAAUAGAGAAAGAGGAGACAGGAUCAUUGGUCUGAGUCAUACAUAUAUAUAUAUAUAUAUAUAUAUAUAUAUGAUUGAUGAAGCCAAAGCGAGCCAGUCGUUUUUUUUGACUUGUCUAGAAUGCAGAAGUAUACCAAGUUUUUGGAAUAGUAGGAUAUAUUGGAUAGAAGAAGACCUUUAUUAUAUCAUCAACGUCGAAGAUGUUGGUGGUGCCUAAUUGAGUCCGUCUGCCUCUGCUCAAAGCUUGCUUUAGUCUGUAAAUUCCUUGCGUUUAUUUAUAUCUGGGCAUCUUCUAUAUUUAUGCCGAAGGAACGCCAUCAUUAUUUCUUUCUUUAUUUCUUUGUGAAGGCGAGGUUCAUCCUCACUUCUGAGAUGUAUUAUUAUUCAUUUCUUCGUUUUCCUUUUCGAUUUUGAUUCAAGUAUACUGUCUCCCUCCUUGAUUAUUUUUAAUGAAAUCCCAUUGAGUUACAUAGAUGCUGAUAAACUGAUUCUUUCCCAUCGGUCAUGUUCAUAUGUUUUGGUAUCUACUCGAUACAUGAAAUACACUCAACCUUGCAGGCUCGACCCUCCUGUUGAGAAUGAGGCCAUGAGGGGCUGGAUCAGGAAAUAUAUCAUUAUAUGACUGAAACAUCCUCUUCUUGGUGACAGCCUGGUGAGUGAUCUGUGAUCGCUUGCCGCUGAAGGUUCCAGCUUCCUAUUCCUUGGCCUUUUUCUCAAACAUGAAAAGAACAUGUUGGUCUUGUAGUGAAACAUUAUUAUUAGAUCUAAAAGAGCCCCAAUCAGCAAAUUUUCCAGUUCAAUCUUCAGCAGUGAAAAAUAAUACAAGUCUAUCACUAUCAGAAUGACUGCAGAUCUCUCUAGGUAAUGCUUAGAGUUGUAAAGAAAAUUUGUUGUAGCUUUCAUGGCUACUGUGGAAAUCAUGAUCAGAAUUGACCCUAGUCUUGAUGAUAAAGUGGUUGUAUCACAUGUUGCCCAUAACCAACCAACCCCAAAGUCUCUAGUAUGAUCCGCACGCUUAAGAAAGGUGUACAUACCCGUUUAAAGAGUAAUAUAAGCAUGAAGGUUCACAAAAAGUGUGGAAGCAUGAAUCAUGAGUUCUGGUUAUUGUUCUGAUGUAAGCAUAUCAGAAGUUCAGUAUAGCUAACCACUCGAUCAUGAUGUGUGUGUGUUUUGUUUUGUGUGUGUGUGGAGAUAAACUUUAUGGAGUAAAGUACUAGUGAAUACAAUUCACGAAUCAUGAUGCAUAUAUAGUUCGAACCAAAAAAAUGAUGCACAUAUAGAGUUAUAUAUGUUUAUUACCCUCCCUUGUCUUACUUGAAAGUUAUAGGGAUUUGUUGUUUUUGUUGUGUUGAAAUGAAAUGAAGGAUAUAAAGAAAUCGGGAAAAAGAUGAAAGUUACAUUAUGACUAUUUUUAUUGAUUAAAAAAUAUAUAAUUAUAGAGUAUAUAUAGCUAGAUUGAAAAUAAAAAAAUGUCCGAACCUCCUUAUUCUAUAUCACUCCAUUCACUCCUACAAUCCUAACAUGUCUUAGUAGAAAAUCAUUUUUGUUGUUGCAUUAUAAGUUAAUUUGGGUAAAUGAAUGCUAUGAAGUUAUUUGUCGGAAAAGUGACUUACUUAAACCCUAGAUCGAUCAUCAUAAAAUGAAUCUGAUUUCUUUUGGAUAUAUAUUAAGGACCAGUGAUUCAGUUCGUGAACCGGUUUCAAAGAGCCACAUAACAUAAUUAUAUGUCAGAUUUGGCAUCUUAAUCUAAGGUUGCAAGUACUAAGCAAGUGAUUAAUUAGUACAUAAUCGACAAAACCCAACUGCAUAAAUCACAAUCUGGGACUGUCCCUUUUAAUAGCUAGUCAACCAUUCCAUAAAUCACAAUCUGGUUAAAACACACAAUAGAUUUGAUUUGACCUACCGUUCCAUCCCUCAAUGAACAUUCUAAAUACUCAUCAAGAGUACGUACUCUGAAGAAUGUUAGGUCUGGGGGUGGUGUUUUAUGUGAGAUUUGGAACAGAUCGAACAGAGGUUUAGUUUAUAACACACUUCAAGAUCUGAUCUCUCUCGUGUUCUUUUGUUCUAGAUCAGAGACGUACCACAUGUUGGCAUGUUCGAAUGCAUCAUAUGUGCAUAGUCAUUUAGGUCACUCUAAGUCAUUUUAUAUGCCAUCUCUUUGCCUUCCCAGGCUAGAACUUGUGAGUUCUACGGUGUCAUCGUUCUACUCUUUUAUUUACUUUCAGUAAAUCGACCAUAUAGAUCGGACAACACAAAUGGUGUAUAUGUUCAUCUGGUUAUCAAGUGACAAGAAAACAAUGUUCAAUCACCGUUAUAUGUUAAUCGUUGACGAGGUGACAGUACUAUUAGAUAUAUGUAGUUGAAUCCACUUCACUUGUUUGUUUCUUAAUUAAUAUAUAUGAAUUAUCAGAGAUUUCUUGGCCUUGAAACUAUUAUCGAUUUAGUCACCAUACAUAUGUUUAUUGGUAUGGAUCGUAUGGACCAUCCCCAUAUAUGUAGUCUACUUCAUGCAUGAUAUAUCAUCCGGUUCAUCCAGUAGUGUCCAGAAGUGACUCUGUGUUACACUGUUAGCCACGUUUUAGUGUAGACCUUUUUGAUGACAACCCUUUUCCGAUUAUUAUUAGCAGACAAAAGUCCUUCGCAUGAUUGUUCUAUUUCCAGUUUUUAUUUUCUUUUUUCAUAAUUUCGUUCACCAAUUGUCUUGGAGCAAACUGAUCAAUCCGUAGUCAAAACUUACAAGCUGAUCAUCCAAAUCCUAGUUAGCUUGUCCGACUUGGCUGUGUUAGGAUUAAAUUUGUGAAUGUAUAUAUAUGCAGUUCCCACAGUUAGAACUGCAAGAAUCCCGACGGGUUAAUUCAUAGUUCUAGUUAGCUAUGAGGAAGGAAAGGAUGGAAGAUCACUUUUUUAAUCGUAUCAAAGUUGAAGAGUGUGGCUUAAUGCUAGCUACACGUACACGUUUAUCAAACUCAAAACAACGUAUUUGUAUACUAUACGAAACCAAUUAAGUCAGAGACUUUUGAGCCAAGUUACCGUAACAGCUAGGUUUCCACUAUUGUUCAUGUGUAAUUGUUCUUGCUUGUUUACCAUGAACAAAAUGACGUUUCCUCGACCUUAAUAUAAACAAUAACUAGUAAAGCCAUAAGCGUUUUACAGUACUUUUACUAAGUUCAUUAGAUCUUACUUGAAGAAGGAACUAUAUGACGAUGUAAGUAGCAUUUUGCACAUACUUAGGGAAACUAAUGACUAUACUAACCAUUUUUAAGAAUUGUUUUCUUUUAAACUUAUGUUAUUCGACUCUAUUUACGAGAAUUAUAAAAUAAAAGAUAAUGUUGAACCAAGUGACUGACAAUUAUGUUUUUUCUUCUUUUAUAUUUAGUUUUUUAAUAUUAUAUAUUUAUUCCCUUUCCUAGAGGGAAGUCAUAUUGCUGAAGAUGAUCGAAUUGCUUACCUUAUUAAUGUAGCGUCAACAAAUUGUGGUGGAGGAAAACACGGAUGGUAACUUUUCCUAUUACAAUCUUGAAUUGACAUGACCAGCCAAGUCUUUUUCUUUCCCUAUCGGAUGUGGUAUACUCAGCUAAUUGUUAUAACUUUCACAUGCUUAACUAAUUAGUUUAUCAAGUUCACAUGUUUAACGAGAAAGAACAUUGUGGUACUUACUAAGCUUAAGUUUGGAAAAUAUAAGCCCUUAAUUGCUAUCACUCAAUCUAGACAUACUACAUUGGGUGCCAUUAUCAAAUCAUGAAGAAUAGAGAUUUUCCUUUUUUUUUUUUUUUGUUGCUACAAUACUUGUACAAACUAGCCAACAAACAUAAAGCUGUCAACCAAGACAACACAAUGUGGAUAAUUUCCUAAAAUAUAUAAUACAUACCAAGUCCUAGAGUUUUCUUAAACUUCACUUUUGUCCCCCCUUUCAUAAAAUCAAAAUUAAAAUACAUACCCCCAUAAUUUUGGUAAGUAAUUUCCACUUACCAAAAAAAUUUCAAUGACUUACCUUCCCCGAGCUCUCUCUUUUCUAUCUAAUUUCGACAACCACCAAUCCACACCCUAUAUAAUCCCCCCACUUUAUUCUUCUCCGCAGUCCAUAAUCAACACCACAACAAAUUUCACGACCAAACCAAACCACAGCAAUGGUCGACACUAGUGAUUCUUCCUACGCUCCCUUGCCGGGGGAGGAGCCAUUAUUUUCCGGUCAUUCCCCAACAAGUCUACGGCGACCCUGGAAGGGAUUCGCCGUGAUCCUCGCCUCCGUCGUGUUUCUCUUGUCAUUGGUUGCAUUAAUCAUCCACCAAGGCCCGUCAAAUGUAGUGCCGGAAAAACAAGAUGAACAUCAACAUCGUCCACAUUCAACUACUCCAGCUUCGGAAACUACGUCGUCGUGGGAGCCGAGAGGGAAGGCACUAGGAGUCUCGGCCAAGUCGAACCCGCCGGUCUCCGACGAGCUAUCGUAUAACUGGACCAAUGCUAUGUUUUCUUGGCAGAGAACAGCUUUUCACUUUCAACCAGAAGAGAAUUGGAUGAAUGGUAGGUACAAAGUACACCCCAGCUUCACAGCUAGGUUUCUUUCACUACUUUUUUCCAAUGAUUGAUUAGCUUUCCAGAAGCGACAGGAAUCCAAAUUCUAUGAUUUGUUAGUUUGAUUUGUCAUUAGUUUUUAAUUUGGUCGUGUUUUUCUGUUACUAAUCACAAUUCCUCGUCUUGUUUCAUCCCGUGUUGCUGCGGCGAAUCUGGCUUUCUUCUACUUCAUCAGAUCCUAAUGGUAAGUUUCCUUACUUGGCAAGUUGGUAUCAAUUAUUCGAGCACAUUAGUAAACAUCAUUAUUACUGCUUUUUCUUGGGCAAUUAUCUUGCAUUCACAUAAAAUUCUUGGUGCGUAUUUAUGAUAUUAUUACAAUUCAAUUUGAUAUAGCUUAUUCUUAGAUCAAAUGUAACAAAAAAAAAGUUGUGUUUGUAUAGUAGAUAUAGUAGUUGUUGUUGUUUUUUUUUUUUCCCGAUUAGACGAUGGAAGUUACAUGCUCAACUUGUUUUUGAAUUUUGCUUUAAUAUUAGUUUUUUUUAUAGUGAAAAUUAUGUUUUCCAGUAAUGUUUAGUAACAAACUUAAUUUACCAAAAAUUUAGUCCAAGAUACCAAGCAAGCCAAAUAUUUUUCUUUGUUUUUGGUAAAAGAAUAAAAACUAAUUUUUAUUCUUAUUGUAAUCUAUUGUAAUAUGUGGACCGGAAAAGACAUUAUUUAUGGAGUUGUGGACCAAUCAAGAGCCACAAUUGUCCCGGCCCAGUCCAGCUCAUGAUAAGGUGACUACCUAGACAGUCCGGCCCCACCUUGGAAGAUAUAACCAAUGACUCCUUGCCACUUGGCACAAAAUACCCAUAAUACCGGUGAUAGUGAUUUUAAAGUUUAAACAGAUUUGGAUAUUACAACAUGUGUGGUUUUAAAUUUGUCAUGUGCUCAUCUCCCACCGUCCACCCCUACCCACCCUUCAAAUUUUUCUUUUUUUGGCGAGGCACCCACCCUUCAAUUUGACCAACGUUAGGUGUUUGUCUGCCCCUUCAUGAUUCAUAAUCACACUCAGACAAAAAAAAAAUACAUAAUCACAUAACACACUGUUGCAAAAGCCUAAUCUUUUUCUUAAUAAUGAAAUUUUAACCCAAUGUUUUUAUUUUUUGUGUAGGUCCAUUGUUUCACAAGGGUUGGUAUCACCUGUUCUACCAGUACAAUCCGGACUCCGCCGUAUGGGGCAACAUCACGUGGGGCCACGCCGUCUCGACGGACCUGAUCCACUGGCUGUACCUCCCCCUCGCAAUGGUCGCCGAUCAGUGGUACGACGCAAACGGCGUGUGGAGCGGCUCCGCCACGCUACUCCCCGACGGUAACAUUGUAAUGUUGUACACUGGUGACACGGUCGAUGCGGUCCAAGUGCAAUGCCUAGCGUAUCCGGGCAACUUAUCUGAUCCCUUACUCUUGGAUUGGGUCAAGUACUCGGGUAACCCGGUGUUGACUCCCCCGCCCGGGAUUUUAUCCACGGAUUUCCGUGACCCCACCACCGCGUGGAUCGGACCCGACGGCAAGUGGCGCAUUACCAUUGGCUCCAAGAUCAAUACAACUGGAGUUUCGUUUGUGUACAUCACAGAGGAUUUCAUAAACUACAAUAUGUCGCAGGGUCUCCUUCAUGAGGUUCCGGGUACGGGUAUGUGGGAGUGCAUUGACUUUUACCCGGUUGCCAUAAACGGGUCGAAGGGUUUGGAUACGUCUGUGAAUGACCCGAGUGUGAAGCAUGUUCUAAAGGCUAGCUUGGACGACACGAAAGUGGAUCACUAUGCGCUUGGGACUUAUUUCAUAGAGAAUGAAACAUGGGUACCCGAUAACCCGGCUCUUGAUGUGGGUAUUGGGUUGAAGUAUGACUAUGGAAGAUACUAUGCAUCAAAGACAUUUUAUGAUCAGAACAAGGAGAGAAGGAUCCUUUGGGGUUGGAUCAAUGAGACCGAUACCGAGUCCGAUGACUUGGCUAAAGGUUGGGCAUCAGUUCAGGUAUGAUUUCUUCGCCUUAAAACUAUUUUGGUCAUAUAUAUUUACUGAUGAAACUGUGAAGCACACUCUAAUACACUAAUAAAUGUUACAGACUAUUCCGAGGAGUGUGUUGUUUGACAACAAAACCGGCACCAAUUUGAUCCAAUGGCCAGUGGAAGAGAUUGAGGAGUUGAGACUGAACAGCACAGACUUCAGUGAUGUUUUGGUUGAAGCAGGAGCAGUUGUUGAACUAGAUAUUGGAACAGCUACACAGGUUAGUUUGUCUAGUAAAACUUGGUUACAUAAGCAUUUUUUGUACAUGAUCAAUUAUAUUUACUAACAUAUACUUCUGUUCUGGUUUUGAUAUCAGUUGGACAUCUUUGUGGAGUUUGAGAUAGAGUCGUUGGGAUCAGAGACUUUGAAUAGCAGUGUUGGUUGUGGUGGGGGUGCUACAGAUAGAACCAGUUUCGGACCAUUUGGUAUUCUGGUCAUUGCAGAUGAGAUUCUUUCAGAGCUGACCCCUAUCUAUUUCAACAUUGCCAAUUCAACUGAAGGGGAUGUCACAACUUAUUUCUGCGCAGACGAAAGAAGGUUUGCAUCUUCAUCAACGUUGAGAUAUGCUUAUGAGUAAUUGCUGAAUUGUUAUGUGUAGUGGUUCUGAUGUAAGUUUCUUAUCAAUGCAGGUCAUCUAAGGCUCCUGAUGUCUUCAAACAAGUUUAUGGAAGUGAAGUGCCUGUGUUGGAGGGCGAAAAACACUUCGCGAGAGUAUUGGUGCGUAUCUUGAUCUCCAUAACAAGUUUAAAUGUUCUUAUGUAGUAUAUACGAAUGCCAAAUAGUCUAACAUCUUGUUGUCGGUCUUCACUAAUUUUUCCGUGUUGAAUGUUUACAGGUUGAUCAUUCGAUUGUAGAGAGUUUUGCGCAAGGAGGUAGGACAGUGAUUACAUCUAGAAUUUAUCCAACAGAAGCAAUCUAUGGAGCGGCGAAACUAUUUUUGUUUAACAAUGCAACAGGAUUGAAUGUCAAGGCCACACUGAAGAUUUGGCAGCUGAACUCAGCUUUCAUUCACCCUUUCCCAUUAGACCAGGUCCAAUGAGAGUACAAUUUUUUGUAGUGAAGCCAGUUGAACUGAAUAUCUGUGGUAACUUUCCCUCCUUCAUUAGGAGUUGCAUUCAUCCGAGAUUUGUCUACCAAGUACCAAGCAAUGACAAAUUUUCUGGCAAACAAAUGUAAAAUGUGGUCUGUAAUAUUCUUUGGGUGCCCAUUCUGUUUGUAACCAGGGUACGUAUGCCCUUCAGCAAUAUCUGUUGAUUUGGACCUUAUUGGUUCAAAUGAAUAAUCAUCUUCAAUGAAAUAUAGAUUUUGCCUAUUGAGAUCCUUUUUCCCUGCUGCAUUAGUCCCACUGAGCUAAAUUUCUUUCUGGUUUUUGUUUUAGGCCAAGAAAAUUUCUUCAGGGUCUUUAUAAAUAAAAUAAAUAAAAAUAAACCUCUUUCCAAAUCCACUCCUUACAUGUUAAAAACUCCUAAACAAACAUGGUAGUUUAGGAGAUGGUAGUUUCAACUUUACUUGUUACUGGUGCAGUUGGACAGCAGUCUUCUUCUGGUUCAACAUCCUCGCAAUCUCUGAAGUUGAAAAUAAAAUUAACUGUCAGCAGAGACUCAAAUAAUUCAUCAGACAAUAACAGAGGUACAUAAGUAAAACAAGAAAAUGUGUGAGGUAACUUACGAUGUAAAGCAGAAGUUAACUCCGAAAAAGUGGCUGCCCAUCAAGUCGACUUGAAAAACAGAUGAGUAUAGGGUUCUGAUUUCAGUUCUUCCUUCUUCACUGAGGAUUCGAAAUGUAGUCAUACAGAGAUAUUGAUGCACAGGAGAAUAUUUAUUCUCGCCUGUUUUUACAAGACAAAAGUCCAGCCCUCCUAAAUAAACCAAACUCUGAGUUAGAGGCCCCAACAUCGGUGGGUUUGAGGUUCUGCGUAUAUACAGAGGCAAAGGUGCGUCUAGGCAACAAGUACCAUCUGAAUCCCGCCAAAAAGGGAAUGCUAGGACUUCGCCACGAAAAAACGACAGUGAAUAUAUAACACCGUCUACAACCACAGCCCUCCCCAGAAAAGGAUAGUAAUCCGACUUGGCGACCUUCACUCGAUGCCAUGUUUGUGAACCGAUAUGAAACGCCAUCACCGCAUGAUCUUUCUGGUUAUACAUUGAGAUCAAAAUAUAGCCGUAACAGACGGCAUAACCUGCUACAUCCAUGCGUGGGUUUGGUAGAGUCUCGUACGGCCAAGAAGGCAGGGAUUUCCAGGAAUUAGUGGCGGAAUUAUAUCGCUCAAGGGAGGGGUGGUCUGGGAUGCGUAGGAAGCAUGUUGGAUGUGCAAAGUAAUAUAGCUCACCGUAUGCAGAUAUAAUAGUACCGUGUGGUUUUAAUGGUUUGGAUGGAGGGAAGUCAUGGAUUGAGGUUGCGUCUGGGUCUGUGUCAAAAACAAAGGAAUUGGUGGGUGUGAUGGGUUCGCCAUAAUAAGGGUUCUCCUUUGCCAUCAAAUAUAACUUGGAGCUAACUCUCACACCCUCAAACAAACAGUUCUUCGGCGGAUACAGAGGCUUAUCAAAAAACUUCAUUACUGGGACGAGUACAUGUGGAGGGGAUUCAGCUCCUGCAUCACCUGAAGCUUCACCGGAUUCUCCAUGCUCUUUAAGGUUUACUUUAUAUAGUGCACCGUGGUACUGACCACAAUAGAAACGCACCAAAACAAACAUGGAUUUAUACGUCUGCAGGUUUGCGUUAAUCUCCAUGGCCAAUCUGAACGUAGAAGCCAAGUUCACCUAAAGUAACAAAGCAAAUCGAUUUAAUUUCAACACAAUCCACUCUAAAUCGAGAGAAAUACAAACUCAAAUUAAAGAGAAAAAAACACAGAUGAUAUAUAGAUUUGUACAUAUAGAUUUCAAUCAAUGGUACAAAAUUGAUAAUCACUUAAUCAAACACCCCUAACUAUCAUGUUACAAUAUUUAUGAGUUCUGCAGGAGAGCAUCUGAUGCAAAACCAAAUGAUCAAUCAUGGAACCCAAACCAACAGAAACACAAAAGCUACGCCAUUCUGAUUCUCUCGUUGUUAUAUCAGGCACGGCCUAUGUAUAUAUAUGACGCAUCUCAUACUUGUUGUUUCCAAUCACAGCUAUUUCACAGAUCGGUAAAGACCUUACGUAGAUGAAAUAAAUAAUAAAAGCAAAUCCAACAAAGUAAUCCACCGGAAAAUGUAAACUGACCUCGGAACACGCGCUUUUGAUCGGUCGGGAAACAACCGAGAGGCUCUGCUAAGAUGAUGUGUUGGGAACCGCAAGGUUAAACAAUUAAUUGCUUCAAUGGAUCACUAGAAAAGCCCACAUCACAUAAGACUCCAAUCCAUAUCCAAAGGACAAAGGCAUUAUAUGUGUGACCCAAGAAGGCCCAAAUACGCGGCCCAGAAACCAAAGAGAGCCCCAAGCAGCCCAACCAAACCCUACACGCUCUCAAAACUACGGUAAUGUGCCCUCAAAUCUAGCUAAGAAUUGCCACUUUUGUCGGAAUGGAAAGGAACACCUGUUCUCUACCUGCUGCAACAUACAACUUCAGAUCUGCUUUAUUUUCUUUGUCCUCCAAUGUCAUCCUGGUACUUCCAACUUCACUUUUAACUGGUGCAGUUGGACAACAGUCUUCUUCUGGUUCAACAUCCUCACAAUCUCUGAAUUCCAAUAUAAUGUAACAGUCAGCAGAGAAUCAUUAGAAAAAUAGAAUACCAAUAUAUCAAUAGGAAUUGCAUUGGAAAAUAAGUAAAACAAGCACUUGUGUUAGGAAACUUACGGUGUAAAACUGAAGUUAACUUCCAGAAAGAAGCUGCCCAUCAAGUCGACUUGAUAAACAGAUGACCGUAGGGUUCUGAUUUCUGUUCCUCCUCCUUCACGUAUGAUCCGAAAUGUAGUGAUACAAAGAUAUUGAUGCUCAAGAGAAUAUUCAUUCUGGCCAGUCUGCACAAGACAAAAGUCUAGCCCCACUAAAUGAACCAAAUUCUGAGUUAUAUACUCCAACAUCGGGGAUGGUGGAUGCGCGGUAUUCCAUAUAUGCAAAGGCAAGGCUGCGCCUAGGUAACAAGUAUCAUCUGAAUCCCGCCAAAACGAGAAUGCUGAAAUUUCGUCCCGAAUCAAAGACAUGGAAUAUAUGGUACCGUCUACAACCGCGGCCCUCCCCACGAAAGGAUAAUGUCCGGAGUCGGUGACUUUCACUUCAUGCCAUUUUUUUUGUAGUAAUAUGAAAAGCCAUCACCCGGCGAUCUCUGCUGUUAGACAUCGAAAACAAAAUAAUGUCCGGAGUCAACCAAAAAGCUACCAUUGAAGUCCACAAUAUCAAGUUAUCAACCAACGUAACCAUCUGCCUAGUUCAAAAUUUAGUCAGUAGAUUAAGAAAUGAAUUUGGUGUUGAUAGGUAAGUAAUCUAGAAUCUGUGCUUACUUUAGAGCACUGAAACAACAGGGUAAUGAUGAUGACCACCCCAUAACAUAGAGGUAACAAAAAUGUUUUCUCUUUCCCCGUCCCAUCUUGAAUAGCCUCUGUUAAACCUAUUCCCAGGGCAUCCUCAGAAGCAUAUAUCCUGGGUCCUGGCUGUGACAAAAUGCCUGUAACAUACCCAUUUUCAGAUAUUUGCAGGAAAUUGGAGCAUACUACUCUGUAAAGGCUACUACAUAUAAAUGUUUCGCUACUAAAACUUACUUACAACACUAUCUAUAAGAGAGUCUCAUGCUGUUGUUCAACACAUGUUUUGCUACUAAAUAUGUUACAUUUAAAAGUUCGACCUGUUUACUUUACUGACAAAUAUCAACCCUUGAGAGUGUUUUAGUGUCACAGUUUACAACCAGCAAUGGCAGCUUGUGUUUGAUUAGUAGCUUGACUAAGAUGACAUAAUACAUUGUUAUAAAGCCAUUGAAUACUACGAGUAUUUGAAUAGUGAUUAGCAAAUUAAACUUAAGCACAGAAUACAAAACUACAUUCAAUACAGAUCAAAUGCCUAAUGCAAGUUUUCCAGCACGAAACAAAACUAACAAAUUGAAUUGCAUUUUCACAGCUUAGCGUAUUUGACAAACCUCGACAGAGCUGAUAUUGUUUCUAUAGAUACAAAACUACAAGGAUAUGUAUCACAAACUCUUCCUGGAAGGGAUCGAGUUGAGACUCCAAAUGUCAUAUUAUGUGGAGGAGGAAAAGGAUGUGCUCUCACUGCUCAGCAUAUGGAGACCUGGAGAUGGAAGAAAUAAAAAGUUCAAAUUUAAAACCGAGGAAAGUUUGACAAGCUUCAACAUGUUCCCUCGCUUUUCUACAUGUAUUUGAUAACAUUAUCAUCAGUGCGGAUGUUGUCUGAAAUUACAAGUGCGUACCUGGAAACCACUCGAUCGAGGAGUGUUGGUUUUCUCUUAUAUGUCUUCGCCAUUAAUUCGUACGCAAGGGAUGUGUGCUAUCUUGUGCCGGUAUCGUCCUUUGUAUCUCUGUUCAAGGAGAGGACAGUUGCGAAUAAAAAGUCCCUCAAGUGAAAGAGGCAGGCCUUCCUCCACUGGAAGGGUUGUAAGCUUCGGACAGUUCCAGAUCCAAAUACUUUCAAGAGAGGUGAGGAAUUGAAAGCCCUUGCUCAGUUUCUUUAGAUUUGGGAAGUGUCUAAUACUCAAAAUAACAAGAGAUCUGGGGAGCAGUAUCUCCGUCUCCUUUGAAUUCUCAGCAGCAGGUGGAAAUGACACCAGACCUCCAUCAUCUUCACCCCUCAGACGCAAUUCUCUCAAAGAGGUGAGUCUCUGCAACCCUUGAGAUUCCAUCAGUGCCUUACAGUUCGUGAUCUUGUUAAUUGUCAGUGAUGUUAGGUUGGUGGGGAAGGAAGUUGUAGUUGUCAAACCUUCAAAGUAAUCAAUUGUCAGUUUUUCAAGAUUACUGGUGUGCAUCAUGUCUCUCGCCAACUGUGCCACCUCCAAUUUAUCGCAAUUUUCGAGUUUGAAAACUCAUUAAAAACAAUCGGGUGAAGAUUUUUCAAGUUCGUCAGUUUUACAAUUGCUUAAAGAUCAUGAUUUACCAAUGUAAAGACUUUGGUGAACAUACAAGAAUAUGAGAUUUUUGUCAAAAAAAACGUGCUACAAUCCACAAUUUCAUAUGAAUAUCAUGAUUUCGAACAAUUUCUUGUUUUCUUAGAAAAAUCUCUGCAGUUGGUUCCUAUUGUAAAACUGGUGUUUAACAGUGUUCUCCGGAGCAAUUUCUACAAUAUAGAAGAGUCAAAACUUCUUUUUCUCAGACAGACUGGUUCAGUAAAACAUGGUACACUCGGCAUUGUGCAUGUUUCUAUAUCUAUUGUCUGUAUAUAUGAAUAUCUACUCACCUCGGUUUCUUUUUUACAACACUAAAUGACAGCAUAUUUCUCUACAUACACAAGAAUCAAUAAUGCCAUUUUGGUCUUUCUUCCUCUUCCUUUUCGGUCAACUCCCGGUACUGAUACCACACUGCUCCAGACUUACCCACUGGGAUUGGAGACCUAACAAAUAUUUCGACUGGCUUGGGAACAUGCACAGCUAAAUGCAGUUCCCUGCAGUUUUUUCUGAAUUUGAAUCAGAACUUCUUAAUAAUCUGCAAAUAGGUUCAAUACUAAUCCAACCUAAGCCUGAUAUAGCCGCAUCACCUGCUGGCCUGCAUACAAGGAAAAGAGAAGAAUUCUCAUAUUGAUUAACUAACUAACUUUAAGGAAAUAUCAGAAUUGCAAUACUCAUAUGAAUGAUUUACCUUUGCACAUCUUCAACUUUUAUUUGCAAUUGACGCUGAAAGUCGAGACCUCUCCAUUCAUCUGCUCUUUCUUUCCCAGUUGGAGGUGUCAGUAAGACUCCAACGUGUUUCUGCAACAUGGUAAAAGGCACAUUACAAUCACACCAAUCAAUUUAAAGAGAAAAAUAUCAUGCACACCUUUAAGGCCGGAAUGGUAUCACAUUUUCAUAGUGUCAGUAACAUAAAAGGGUUCACUUUAAUUGUUUUCAAAAUAUUUUAAAUGCUUCAUAAGUCAGCUGUACUUGGGAAAUAAGAAACUAUGAAUCUCAAGUGGGACCUUGAUUACCUGGUAAAAUUCAUCAGCCUCAUCAGUUGGUACCAUAUGAAUCUGAAGACUCUUUGGCCCAUAAAAUGUUAAACGUGUCUCAGGGAGAACCUGAAAUUAUCAAUAUUUGAUUACUCAGGAAACACCGUAUAUGCAUCAGCCAGAUAAAGAUCGUAUCUGAAGCUACAAGGCCAAACCAAACCUUUAAGACAUCUACUCUGACAAGACCUCCCCAGAAUAUUAAAUAGCCAUUCAAAUCAUUGGAAUUUCCUUGCCUGGUUGUUCCACUUCCAGAAACCUGAGAAUUCUGGAGGGAUAAGAAACAGUCAACAACUCAAAGAUACCAAAGGAAAAAACAAGAGAAAGAAAAGCAAUUAACUUACAGGCAAAGAUUGACCCCUAAGCCGACUUUGAGGAGCAAGAGAAGGUAGGUCUUCUGAAUGAACGACAGCGGCUUGCCUAUGAUGGAGAUGAACUCCAGGUGUGUCGUAUAAUUUCUGCAGAUAACAGAAUGUUACUGUACUAAACUCUGAAAGGCCAUUGGUAAUAUACAGAUACUAUAGCAUACCCCUCCUCCUAGGAAAGCGUUGAUUUGAAUUGAACCCAGGGUAGUUCCAGGGACAGCAGACUGUAUUGGUUUGUACUUUUGCGCUGAUGCAGCAACUGGAUCCUUUUCCGCCAUCAGUUCUGGUAUAACGGUAAUACAGUAUUAACAAAAGUCAGUUCAAAAGAAGAAUAACUCAUUUAGAAAAAUAAAUCCUGGCAUUUAUCUUUGUGAACAGAAUUGCUAUGAACUUCAUAGCAACAAAACAUAUCAGAUGUCAACUAAUGAACCUACUCAGUAAAGCACUGAUAAAAGCUGAUUUCCCAACAUUUGCGGAGCCCUGUAGCAAAAGGUAAGCUAAACUAUCAGAUGCAAACGCAUUUUUUAUAGGUCAAUGCAAACGCAUUUUUUAUAGGUCAAUCCAAGUAUGCACCAACUAGAGGAUAAUCGAUACAGAAGGCAAAACAAGAUAUGACAACUCUUUUGUUUUACUUCCUUUUACAAGCAUACUCAAAUAGAAAUCAGCAACAUGACUUGACUGGGCAUGAAAGAUUUUCAUGGAUAAAAUACCAGUAAAAAAGCAUGUGCUGAUUCAAAAUCUUAUUGAAGUUCCAUACAGUCAACAGGUUAAAAUCUCAAAUGUGAUUGAGAAUCAAAUCAAAUUCAUAGCAGUUCACAAGAAACCACACACUCCAAGAGCAAGGAUAAGUAGAAAAAAAAAUUCAGGUUCUGAGAAGUGUUAAAUUCACUUGACAAAACCAAUACUCAGUACUAAGUAAGUAAACUUCCAGAGUUCCCAUCAAGAAGCUCACCAUAACAUACACGUCCCGCCCCUGCACCAAAAAAUAACCAAAGAACUCAGUUUGAAGUUCCUGUAAAUGAUAGAUGUUCAUACUUAUUUCAUUCAACAGGAAGUACAAAUUUACAAUGUAUAAACCUAUUUCUUCUGUUGGCUAUAAUUAAAUAACUUAUAUCAAUGGCUUUAGUCAGAUCAAUGAAUUUCACACAUGAAGAUGCACAUACACUGAGAAGUAAAUACCUUUUUUUCCAUUUGAAUCUCUGAUGCAACUCCAGCUACUCCAACCAAAGACUUUGAACUCAUCAGAUGAAUGCUCAAAACACUGCAAAUAAGCAUCAAGGACACUCUUUUAAAAAGACACCAUAUAAAAUAAGUAAAAGCAAAGGCUAAGGAAACAAAUCUUACUUAAGCUUCUUCUUUACAGUGGCCUCUACAACCCCAUCACCAAUGCAAUUAAAAUCAGUCCCCUUGGGAAGUAAAUCAAUCUGUCAUUCGAAAAGCGCAAUUAGAAAGCUGCGUGCAUCAAUGUCAUGUUACAUAAGUUACAUAAGUACAAAUGAGAAGCUUAAUACCUUAGUAAUGACUAAUAUUAUGGGAUUCGCACCGGCCAGAUCACGCAUACGAGCCAAAAAGCUACCAUUGAAGUCCACAAUAUCAACCUACAUUCCAAUAACCAUUUAAAAACAACCUACAUUUCGCAACGCAACUCACUCAAAACUAAAUGCCAGCACGUAGUAUACCAAUUUAACUAUCAGCGCUCUCUCGUAGCCCAAAUGCGAGAGCUCUCAUUCUCGUAGCCCAAAUCCAAUUUAAUUAAUAUCAUAUUUUGUGGAGGAAAAGGAUGUGAUCAACAGUUUUGAGCAUUAGGAGACCUGCAGAUGGAAGAAAUAAAACGUUAGAUGUGGAAAACAGAGGAAAGUUUGACAAGCUUCAACAUGUUCCCUCGCUUUUCUACAUGUAUUUGAUAACAUUAUCAUCAGUGCGGAUGUUGUCUCAAAUUACAAGUGCGUACCUGGAAACGGCUCCAUCGAGGACUGUUGGUUUUCUCUUAUAUGUCUUCGAAAUUAAUUACUACCUCAGGGAUGUGUCCUAUCUUGUGCCGGUAUCGUCCUUUGUAUCUCUGUUCAAGGAGAGGACAGUUGUGAAUACGAAGUUCUGAAAGAGGCAGGCCUUCCUCCACUGGAAGGGUUGUAAGCUUCGGACAGUUCCUGAUCCGAAUACUUUCAAGAGAGGUGAGGAAUUGAAAGCCCUUGCUCAGUUUCUUUAGAUUUGGGAAGUCUACAAUACUCAAAACAACAAGAGAUCUGGGAAGCAGUAUCUCCGUCUCCUUUGAAUUCUCAGCAGCUGGUGGAAAUGACACCAGACCUCCAUCAUCUUCACCCCAUAGACACAAAUAUCUCAAAGAGGCGAGUCUCUGCAACCCUUGAGAUUCCAUCAGCGCCUUACAAUUCUUGAUCUUGUGAAUUUCCAGUGAUGUUAGGUUGGUGGGGAAGGAAGUUGUAGUUGUCAAACCUUCAAAGUAAUCAAUUUCCAAUGUCUCGGUGUGCAUCAUGUCUCUCGCCAACUGUGCCACCUCCAAUUUAUCGCAAUUUACGAUCCGUAUCAUUCUCGGCCACACAUUCAUUCUCGGCAACGAAAUAAGACUUUGACAAUACAAAACAGUUAAUGACUGAAGAUUGGUGAGGUGGCACAGUCCCUCGGGUAAGGAUUUCAGGUUUGGGCAGUGAAAGAUGAAAAUUUGUUCGACUUGCCAGCUGUCAUCGAGGAACCUCUCAGUUAUUAGCUCCAGCUGUCCACAACUCACUAUCCGAAGCUGUUUAAGAGACCUGGGUAAUUGACUUUUGCAUGAUAAGCACAUCAAAGAGGGACAAUUCUCUAUCGUCAAACUCUCAAGACAAGAAGAAGAAGAACCGUUACCCACCUCCUCCUCUUUCUCUAUUAAUGACUUCAAAUUCCCACAAUUCCUAAUCUUUAUUCUUUUUAGGCUGAGAGGAAUCUGGUAUUUUGCAAAGUGCAACAGAGAUUCGCAGUCAUGAAUCACUAUGUCUUGGAGACAAGGUGGCAGACCAACAUCCGGAAAAGAAACAAGACUUGAACAUUCACUUAUGUGCAGCUCUUGAAGACAAGGUGGCAGACCAACAUCCGGAAAAGAAACAAGACUUGAACAUUUAAUUAUUCGGAGCUCUUUAAGUGAUGUAAGGUGAUGAUAUCCUUCAGGCACCAUCAAAAGCCUUCCACACUCGAUUAACGCCAGACGUUCAAUCUUGCAAUCCAGGAUUUGCAAUUGCACCAACUGCUCUGCUUCAAUCCCUAGCUUUUCAACAAGGAUCGAGUUGUCUUCGAUACACAGACGACCAAGAGAAAUCAAGUGUUGCAGUAAUCUAUCCUCAUUUUGAAAGCAACAUGUAAGCUCCUCACAACCAGUGAUCCUCAACUCUUUAACAUUUUUCAAGCUUUUCAUGAACGCCACUGUUUGGAAUCUCAAUUCUGAUACAUUUGAAAAUGUCAAACUCUCUAGUAAGUCAAACUGAACUGUACUUGUGUCGUACACCACCAUCUUGCACUUUUCAAUGUUUGAUCGGUGAAGCUGUUUAUAUUUGGAUACUGAAACCACCAAUUCCUCACAUCCGCAAAUCUCAAGCUGUGCUAAUGAAUCAAGCUUCUCCGGUAAAUCACCCUCCAAUUUGGAGCAGUCCUUGAUGGAAAGCUUUUUCAGGCAAGAGAAAACUUCAACACCCUCACUUUGUUGGCAAUGAGACCACUUCUUCCAAUUUUUCAGAUAAUGCAACUCCAGGGUCUCUAAAACAUGAAACGGCAGGUCACUUUCUCCAUAAAACUCAACACCAACACUCUCAACUGCAUCCAUUUCUUGUACACAAAGUUCUUUGAGACAAGGCAACUGUCCGAAUGGUGGCAAGAAUUGACAAUGAUUACAACCUUCUAACCUUACCCGCACCAUUUUAGUGAAUGAAGGAUUCCCAAUCCAUGUUGAAAAUUUCAAUCCACCAUAACCUUUG
rnacentral:lncRNA from 1 species